rnacentral:lncRNA from 1 species
ACCCUACCCCUAUGAGCACCUUCGAGAGAGUGGGCCGGCAUAUGAUCUUGAGAUUUUAUGAAGUCACCAUAGGUGCCUCGUAGUCGAGUGGAACGUCUCCUCCCACUGAACGCACAUCGCCGGAAAAUACUGAAAUUAACCCAGGAUAAAUGCGAGCACCUGGACUUUAACCCUGGUGGGCUCGAGAAACCACUGUCCUCCUAACCAUCCAACCACAUGUUGGUUAGCACGACAAAAUGUGUGUGGUGACCGUGAUGAGCUUAUUCCGAAGUCAAGUGACCAUAUCGUGCUUUCGCUUCAAAUACAAUGACCGUAAGUGUCGUCAACAAAAUACGGAGCACGCAUCAAAUGCAAAGUCCGUCAGUGUCAUCAAGAAAAUACGGAGACGUAUCAUGAGCUAGAUAUCGUAUGAUCACCACGAGAAUGUAUACGGUGACCGUAAUGAGCAUAUUCUGAACUCCAAUGAUCGUAUAGUGCUUUAGCUGGAAAUACAGUGACCGUCAUGCGUGAAUGUGUCGUGGGCAUGCAUACUGUUAGAGGGCCGAGAGAUAGUUUGUGUGCAUACGUGAAAGUGGUGUAGAAAGAGGGGAUGUCCGGUGGAGACAAGGAGAGAUAUGCCCUUCGUUUCUCUUUCCCGUGACUAAUAUUUUAGGAGAAUAUAUAAACAUUCACAAUGCAGAACAAAUAUUUUUGGAUGCACCAUGCAAUUAACUUUCAUGUAUAACAUUGUACUAUUGUAUAUGCUUAUUUUCUUAGUGGCCGAUUGCGUGUGUGGUGUGGUGGGCACAUCAUUUCUAGUUGUGGUGGGUCAACAUGAGGACUCAUGGGUCGGUUCCAUCCUGCGCCACAUAGGUUGGAUCGAGACGCGUUAUACGAAGACCCAUGUGGAGGACUCGGCGUAUAACACGAAGCUAGCUACCAGAGUCGCGGAGGACUCUAUCCCCACUGGUGAUAAGCCGACUAUAUAUGAUUUGUAACCCUAGGCCCCCAGUAUGUCAUAGAAGCUUGGGGGCUAGUUCGUCGAUAGUAUACACACACGCACAAUGCCUGGUAUUCACGUGUACUUUGUACACACCACUAUCACUAAUAUACAGUACGAGGAAUAGGCUUUUUCCUCAAUUGCAAGGGUCCGAACUAGGGUAAAACUUUGGCUCGUAUUACCAUCCAGCCUAACAGUCAGGGAUAUCCUACCGAAUGAUAUGAUGGGAUCAUAUCUGUUAACUACUAAGAGAGAGGUGUGUCUGGGGGGCAAUGUGUGCAAGAGAGGCCUAAAGAUAAUGUGCGUGCGGGAGACACGUAGGCACAUAUAUGUGCGUAUAGAGGGCUAGUAGAGACCGUGCGUGUGUAUAUAUGCAUGUGAGAGAAAUAGUGUUUUCCAACUGAGAUUAGUGAAAAGAGUGGUACAUAGUAGUCAGAAAGAGAGAGAGAGAGAGAGAUAUAGAGAGAGCAUGUGCGUGAGACUCCCCGACACCCCGAGAGAGAUUGUGAGCAUGUGUGAAAGAGAAAUGCCGAUGCAUAUAAAGUGUGUGCACUUAUGCGGUAGAUAGAGAGAUAUAUAGCGUGUUUGUGAGAACGGGCCGAGGCAUAGUGCAUCUACGUGCAAAAGGCGGUUCUACGCAUUAAAUUAAAAUAUAAAUGGCAUUAUUAUUUUUGGAUGAGAUCAUGAAUUUUGCAAAUGUCGUAUGGACAAAAAUCGGUCUAUCAGACACCCAUACUCUAUUGAAUUCUAGCAUGUGCAUGUGUUUAUUUCAUACGGAGUAUUAUCGAUCCAUAGAGUGAGAGCGGUUUGAAAUACAGGCAAUGGAUGCUUUUGCAAUUCAUAUAUAAACAUUAAUUAGUGCACUCCAUGUUGUUAGUGUGAAGCACUUUAUACAUUUGUCAUUUGCAUGGAUACGUUCCAAAUUGCUAGCUACGAAAUAGAAUACAUGUCGAAUUCAACAUAAAGGGGGUUUCGAAGAUUCGAAUUCAUAGGAAGUGCAUUCAUCUAUUUGAACCCGAGAUAAUGGCAUUUGGAAAUCAGAUGUAAAAGGGGGCAUCAAUCUUUGUUGUGCGUUUGAACAUGCUAUAUAUAUUCAUACGCAUGUCUAACUUUUUUUUGCAACCAAGGAGAUUAUAUCUGGAACCAUGCAUGAACUAAGGUAAGUUGCAUAUUUUUUAAUAUAUACUCGUGUACAAUGUAUAUUCAAAUGUACCACCUCCAUUCCAAAAUAAUGGUAGCUUUAGGAUUUUCAGGAGUAAAGAUUUGUGAAGUUUGACAAAUCCUGAAUGUUCAAUUCAAGAGAACCGAAAACGUUAAUGCUUCUGCUCCCAAAUAUUGAACGAAGCGCCAAAUAGGCCUCUGGUCACCCGAAACCGCGCGAGACUAAUGUUUGAUGGUAGGAAAUUACUGUCGUGACUCUGGCCCAUGUAGCCUAUCGGCCCGAUGUCCAAAGGUCUAAACCGCGGUAGGUUUGUAACGUCACCAAGACGCCAGUCUCGACCGCCUCCGAGAAGCAUUCAUACGCCGUGGGCGCCUAAACACCCAUGCGCUCGGCCGAAAUCUAUCCCGCCCACAUUUGGGACACCUAAGAUUACUGUCCUACCCCCAACCCACAAUAUGUCCGAAAUUUUAGAUGGGGGCAAAGUUUGUAACUUUCCCCAAAUUUCAAACAAGCGCGUCCCAAACCGAAACAUUGUUCCCCCUUAGUUCCCCGCCUCCCUCCGUUUCCCCAUUCAUACUCCGUAGGCGCCAAAACGCCCUCUCCACCAGCCGCGAUACCCCAGCCUCCUCCGUCCUCCACCCCAUAGCGCCCAAUCCACCGCCGCCCUCCUCCAUCACGCCGGAGCCGGUACCGCGACGUCGUCGUCCAACGCAACCACAACCGCAACGCCCUCAAGGACUUAGCUGCUGAAGCCGAUGUAGAGCUGCCUCCACGACGCCGACGCCGACGUGCGCUGUACCAGAACUACUCCGAUCACGCCGUCUUGCGCCUCACUACUGCUGCUCCACUGUCGCAACCGUCCACCGUACCGGAGCUGUUCCCGCUACGUCGUCGUUCGCUGCCUCGGAUCUGGUUCCCGCCGCCAAUAGACGGCCACCGCACCACACUCAACAACUUGGCCAUGGGUUCGUCCAAGGCUGCACCGUCCUACACAACUUCUCGUUUCUAGCGAACCACAAGAAGAUCGUUGGAAAAACAGAAGGAGGACACAGCACUGCCAGCAGAAAGAGGUACUCCUCUUCCCUUAUUCGUGCAAACCUUACGUCUCUGCUCACACCAUAUUCAUCCCAUGAAAGAAACUAGUUGAGCGCUUCUUACUGCAUCUUCUUCGUGAUACUAAAUGCACAAGGUUUCCUCCCUUUACUAUUUCACCUUUGCUAGAGGUCAGUAGCCCGCCUGGAUUUCAAUUCAGGGUCAGUCGAACCGCAAUUAAAAGAAGCAGCACCUGCUUAGGCGCGCGGAGCACCUAGUCCGCAUGUUCGCCCGGGAAGCGGCGCAUCGGUGUUUAUCAUAGGGGUGUGGGGCGCACGAGCUGCUUGCGCCCGAUCUGGAGGUCGGCGGGGCUUGAAUGGAUUGCCGGGGGCGGUGCCAAGCACGGCGGUGCGGUGAGGUCGAGGGGAGGGCGCAGGCAGGGGACUGGGCCGGUGGUCGCCGCCGUUUCAAGGAAGAUCGUCAACACUGACUGGCUGGAGGUAGAUGAAGGCGAUCUGCCAGUUCUUUGUACAUCAGACGGUGCAGAAAAAAUGGACUAACCUAUUUGUUUUCAGUCGAAUGUUAUUUUCAUAGAAUCCUAUAGUAAUUUAGUGUGCCAUGCAUGUUGUAGAGCUAUCAUAUGUCUCCCGUCAUUUAUUUCUCACCGACCUGCUAUCUGCUACCUUUACACUUUACUAAUUGUGCACACACUUCACCCAUACUCACACUAUUGUUUUUUUAUGCAUGGGUAUUUCAGACUCUGACGCAGUGUUGAUGAAUGCUGAAAAGAAAAGACAGAAGUCGCUCUAGUGUAAUUCGAAGAUAAGCACUAAGCGUUUCAACGCUCUAAAGGAUGCAGUGUCAGCAGUUGGAGACAGUAAACGUAGCUCUGCAAUUGAUGAUCUCAAUUGCCACACACAACCAUCCCAGGUGCUUGCUUUAACUUCGCGUUGUCAAAUGUGGUUGCAUGUUGCAUAUGGUGUCUAGCUUGUAUUGCUUCCAAUUUGGUUAAAUUGCAUCUGCUUACUUUACACAUUAUACCUUUGAUAAUGACAUGCCUUCUUGUUUUUGAUACAUACUACAUAUGUCUAUUAACCAUGUUCGUACAUCAAACUAAUGCUCUUUUGUAUCCCUCGUCAAUCACUUAUGAUGAGACAGUCACCCGGGUGGGUUAGUGUGAGACGCCAUACUCGUUUAAAGACAGCAGUGUCAUCCUCCCCACAUGAUUCUCAAGAAACAACAAGGCUAAAUGAAGAUAGUCAACGUAGCUCUCUAGUUGAUGACCGCAAUUCCCCCACACCACCAUCAUAGAUGCUUGCUCUAACUUCGCAGUGUGAUAUGUGAUUGCAUUUUGCAUACGGUGUCUAGCUUGUAAUGCUUCUAAUUAGGGUAAAUUGCAUCUGCUUAGUUUACACAUUAUACCUGUGAAUAUGACAUGCCUUCCUAUUUUUGGUACACACUACAUCUAUGUGUUAACCUUGUUCUUACAUGAAACUACCUCUCUUUUGUAUCCUGCAUCAAUCACUUACGAUGAGUCACCUUUAUUCGUUGCAUAUUGCAUAUUAUUUCUAGCCUGUUGCCAUGUAUUGCUUCUAAUUUGGACAAAUACAUUUGUUAGGGCACCCUUUUAAUUUGGCAGGGUGAUAUUGGUUUCAUCUUUCAUAUGGUUUCUAGCUUGCAUUGCUUCUAACAAGUUCAAGCACCUUGUGCUUAGUUUACACUUUAUACAUCAUACAUGUCAAUAUGUCACGCCGUCCUGUUUUUCAUACAUAUUCCAUCCUCCUAUCAUGCGGCAGCCUUACAUGAAAGUAGUGUUCGUCAGUAUCAUGCAUCAAUGAGUUCUGAAGAGCAAAUUUUAUUCCUUUUUCUUAUGGGUUUGACUUGACAAGGCAAAAUCAAGAAAGAUGAAGGAAAAGAGUAAGGAAGGCGAUGAUGGUGGUCCUCUGCAGCAACAUAAACGGAGCAUCUAUACCGAUUCUCCUUGUACUGAUAGUGCAUUACAAGGUCCAAUACUCCGCUCCCCUACUGCACCAUCCAAGGUGCUUGCUCUAACUUGGCAGUGUGAUAUCUGGUUGCAUGUUGCAGAUGGUGCCUAGCUUGUAUUGCUCCUAAUUAGUGUAAACUGCAUCUGCUUCGCUUACACAUGAUACGUGUGAAUAUGACACGCUUUCCUGUUUUUGGUACAUACUAUAUCUGUCUAUCACACCAUGUUCUUACAUGAAACUACACUUCUUGUGUAUCCUGCAUCAGUCACUUAUGAUGGAACACCUUUAAGUUGGCAGUGUGAUAUUGGUUUGCGUCUUGAAUUUGAGUUCUAGCAUGUAUUGCUUCUAGUUUGAUGAACGCCACCUAUGACGAGACAGUGUUAACUUGGCAGAGUGAUAUUGAUUGCACCUUUCAUAUGGUGUCUAGUUUGCAAUGCUUCGAAUUUGUUGAAGUGCCUUCUGCUUAGUUACCACAUCAUAGGUGUGAAUAUGUCAAGCCGUCCAUUUUUUCGUACAUAUUCCAUCCUCGUAUCAUGAAUUUGCCUUUCAUCAGAGUAGUGUUCGUCAGUAUCGUGCAUCAAUGAGUUCUGAAGAGCAAAUUUUAUUCCUUUUUCUUGUGGGUUUGACUUGACAAGGCAAAAUCAAGAAACAGGAAGGAAAAGAGUAAGCAAGGCGAUGAUGGUGGUCCUCUGCAGCAACGUAAACGGAGCAUCUGUACCGAUUCUCCUUGUACUGAUAGUGCAUUACAAGGUCCAAGUCUCCACUCCCCUACUCUACCAACCAAGGUGCUUGCUCUAACUUGGCAGUGUGAUAUCUGGUUGCAUGUUGCAUAUGGUGUCUAGCUUGUAUUGCUCCUAAUUAGUGUAAACUGCAUCUACUUAGCUUACACAUGAUAUGUUUGAAUAUAAUACGCUUUACUGUUUUUGGUACAUACUAUAUCUGUCUAUCACACCAUGUUCUUACAUGAAGCUACUCUUCUUGUGUAUCCUGCAUCAGUCACUUAUGAUAGAACACCUUUAAGUUGGCAAUGUGAUAUUGGUUUGUGUCUUGAAUAUGAUUUCUAGCAUGUAUUGCUUCUAGUUUGAUGAACGCCACCUAUGACGAGACAGUUUUAACUUGGCAGAGUGAUAUUGAUUGCACCUUUCAUAUGGUGUCUAGUUUGCAGUGCUUCUAAUUUGUUGAAGUGCCUUGUGCUUAGUUACCACAUCAUAGGUGUGAAUAUGUCAAGCCGUCCAUUUUUUCGUACAUAUUCCAUCCUCGUAUCAUGACUUUGCCUUUCAUCGGAGUAGUGUUCGUCAGUAUCAUGCAUCAAUGAGUUCUGAAGAGCAAAUUUUAUUCCUUUUUCUUGUGGGUUUGACUUGACAAGGCAAAAUCAAGAAAGAGGAAGGAAAAGAGUAAGGAAGACGAUGAUGGCGGUCCUCUGCAGCAACGUAAACGGAGCAUCUGUACCGAUUCUCCUUGUACUGAUAGUGCAUUACAAGGUCCAAGUCUCCGUUCCCCUACACCAUCCAAGGUGCUUGCUCUAAAUUGGCAGUGUGAUAUCUGGUUGCAUGUUGCAUAUGGUGUCUAGCUUGUAUUGCUCCUAAUUAGUGUAAACUGCAUUUGCUUAGCUUACACAUGAUACGUGUGAAUAUGACACGCUUUCCUGUUUUUGGUACAUACUAUAUCUGUCUAUCACACCAUGUUCUUACAUGAAACUACUCUUCUUGUGUAUCCUGCAUUAGUCACUUAUGAUGGAACACCUUUAAGUUGGCAGUGUGAUAUUGGUUUGCGUCUUGAAUAUGAUUUCUAGCAUGUAUUGCUUCUACUUUGAUGAACGCCACCUAUGACGAGACAGUGUUAACUUGGCAGAGUGAUAUUGAUUGCACCUUUCAUAUAGUGUCUAGUUUGCAGUGCUUCUAAUUUGUUGAAGUGCCUUCUGCUUAGUUACCACAUCAUAGGUGUGAAUAUGUCAAGCCGUCCAUUUUUUCGUACAUAUUCCAUCCUCGUAUCAUGACUUUGCCUUUCAUCAGAGUAGUGUUCGUCAGUAUCAUGCAUCAAUGAGUUCUGAAGAGCAAAUUUUAUUCCUUUUUCUUGUGGGUUUGACUUGACAAGGCAAAAUCAAGAAAGAGGAAGGAAAAGAGUAAGGAAGGCGAUGAUGGUGGUCCUCUGCAGCAACGUAAACGGAGCAUCUGUACCGAUUCUUCUUGUACUGAUAGUGCAUUACAAGGUCCAAGUCUCCGUUCCCCUACUCCACCAUCCAAGGUGCUUGCUCUAACUUGGCAGUGUGAUAUCUGGUUGCAUGUUGCAUAUGGUGUCUAGCUUGUAUUGCUCCUAAUUAGUGUAAACUGCAUCUGCUUAGCUUACACAUGAUAUGUGUGAAUAUGACAAGCUUUACUGUUUUUGGUACAUACUAUAUCUGUCUAUCACACCAUGUUCUUACAUGAAGCUACUCUUCUUGUGUAUCCUGCAUCAGUCACUUAUGAUGGAACACCUUUAAGUUGGCAGUGUGAUAUUGGUUUGCGUCUUGAAUAUGAUUUCUAGCAUGUAUUGCUUCUAGUUUGAUGAACGCCACCUAUGACGAGACAGUUUUAACUUGGCAGAGUGAUAUUGAUUGCACCUUUCAUAUGGUGUCUAGUUUGCAGUGCUUCUAAUUUGUUGAAGUGCCUUGUGCUUAGUUACCACAUCAUAGGUGUGAAUAUGUCAAGCCGUCCAUUUUUUCGUACAUAUUCCAUCCUCGUAUCAUGACUUUGCCUUUCAUUGGAGUAGUGUUCGUCAGUAUCAUGCAUCAAUGAGUUCUGAAGAGCAAAUUUUAUUCCUUUUUCUUGUGGGUUUGACUUGACAAGGCAAAAUCAAGAAAUAGGAAGGAAAAGAGUAAGGAAGACGAUGAUGGUGGUCCUCUGCAGCAACGUAAACGGAGCAUCUGUAACGAUUCUCCUUGUACUGAUAGUGCAUUACAAGGUCCAAGUCUCCGUUCCCCUACUCCACCAUCCAAGGUGCUUGCUCUAACUUGGCAGUGUGAUAUCUGGUUGCAUGUUGCAUAUGGUGUCUAGCUUGUAUUGCUCCUAAUUAGUGUAAACUGCAUCUGCUUAGCUUACACAUGAUACGUGUGAAUAUGACACGCUUUCCUGUUUUUGGUACAUACUAUAUCUGUCUAUCACACCAUGUUCUUACAUGAAACUACUCUUCUUCUGUAUCCUGCAUCAGUCACUUAUGAUGGAACACCUUUAAGUUGGCAGUGUGAUAUUGGUUUGCGUCUUGAAUAUGAUUUCUAGCAUGUAUUGCUUCUAGUUUGAUGAACGCCACCUAUGACGAGACAGUGUUAACUUGGCAGAGUGAUAUUGAUUGCACCUUUCAUAUGGUGUCUAGUUUGCAGUGCUUCUAAUUUGUUGAAGUGCCUUCUGCUUAGUUACCACAUCAUAGGUGUGAAUAUGUCAAGCCGUCCAUUUUUUCGUACAUAUUCCAUCCUCAUAUCAUGACUUUGCCUUUCAUCAGAGUACUGUUCGUCAGUAUCAUGCAUCAAUGAGUUCUGAAGAGCAAAUUUUAUUCCUUUUUCUUGUGCGUUUGACUUGACAAGGAAAAAUCAAAAAAGAGGAAGGAAAAGAGUAAGGAAGGCGAUGAUGGUGGUCCUCUGCAGCAACGUAAACGGAGCAUCUGUACCGAUUUUGUUGGAAAUAUGCCCUAGAGGCAAUAAUAAAUGGUUAUUAUUAUAUUUCUUUGUUCAUGAUAAUCGUCUAUUGUUCAUGCUAUAAUUGUAUUGUCCGGAAAUCGUAAUACAUGUGUGGAUACAUAGACCACAACGUGUCCCUAGUAAGCCUCUAGUUGACUAGCUCGUUGAUCAACUGAUAGUCAUGGUUUCCUAGCUAUGGACAUUGGAUGUCAUUGAUAACGGGAUCACAUCAUUAGGAGAAUGAUGUGAUGGACAAGACCCAAUCCUAAGCAUAGCAUAAAAGAUCGUGUAGUUUCGUUUGCUAGAGCUUUUCCAAUGUCAAGUAUCUUUUCCUUAGACCAUGAGAUCGUGCAGCUCCCGGAUACCGUAGGAGUGCUUUGGGUGUGCCAAACGUCACAACGUAACUGGGUGACUAUAAAGGUGCACUACGGGUAUCUCCGAAAGUGUCUGCUAGGUUGGCACGGAUCGAGACUGGGAUUUGUCACUCCGUAUGACGGAGAGGUAUCUCUGGGCCCACUCGGCAAUGCAUCAUCAUAUUGAGCUCUAUGUGACUAAGGCGUUAGUCACGGGAUCAUGCAUUGCGGUACGAGUAAAGAGACUUGCCGGUAAUGAGAUUGAACAAGGUAUUGGGAUACCGACGAUCGAAUCUCGGGCAAGUAACAUACCGAUUGACAAAGGGAAUUGCAUACAGGAUUGAUUGAAUCCUCGACACCGUGGUUCAUCCGAUGAGAUCAUCGUGGAACAUGUGGGAGCCAACAUGGGUAUCCAGAUCCCGCUGUUGGUUAUUGACCGGAGAGGCGUCUCGGUCAUGUCUGCAUGUCUCCCAAACCCGUAGGGUCUACACACUUAAGGUUCGGUGACGCUAGGGUUGUAGAGAUAUGUGUAUGCGGAAACCCGAAAGUUGUUCAGAGUCCCGGAUGAGAUCCCGGACGUCACGAGAGGUUCCAGAAUGGUCCGGAGGUGAAGAAUUAUAUAUAGGAAGUCAAGUUUCGGCCACCGGGAAAGUUUCGGGGGUUACCGGUAUUGUACCGGGACCACCGGAAGGGUCCCGGGGGUCCACCGGGUGGGGCCACCUAUCCCGGAGGGUCCCGUGCGCUGAAGUGGGAAGGGAACCAGCCCCUAGUGGGCUGGGCGCCCCCUCAUGGGCCUCCCCCAUGCGCCUAGGGUUGGGAACCCUAGGGGGGGAGCUUCCCACUUGCCUUGGGGGGCAAGGCACGCCCUUCCCCCCUUUGGCCGCCGCCCCCCCUUGAGAUCCCAUCUCCAGGGCCGGCGCCCCCCCAGGGGGCCUAUAUAAAAGGGGGGGAGGGAGGGCAGCAACAAAACAGCCUUGGGCGCCUCCCUCCUCCCCUGCUACACCUCUCCGACUCGCAGAAGCUCGGCGAAGCCCUGCCGAGACCCGCUACAUCCACCACCACGCCGUCGUGCUGCUGGAUCUCCAUCAACCUCUCCUUCCCCCUUCUGGAUCAAGAAGGAGGAGACGUCGCUGCACCGUACGUGUGUUGAACGCGGAGGUGCCGUCCGUUCGGCACUCGGUCAUCGGUGAUUUGGAUCACGGCGAGUACGACUCCGUCAUCCACGUUCAUUGGAACGCUUCCGCUCGCGAUCUACAAGGGUAUGUAGAUGCACUCCUUUCCCCUCGUUGCUAGUAGACUCCAUAGAUGCAUCUUGGUGAGCGUAGGAAAAUUUUAAAUUAUGCUACGAUUCCCAACAGUGGCAUCAUGAGCCAGGCCUAUGCGUAGUUACUAUGCACGAGUAGAACACAAAGCAGUUGUGGGCGUUGAGUUUGCCAAUUUUUCUUGCCGCUACUAGUCUUUUCUUGUUUCGGCGGCAUUGUAGGAUGAAGCGGCCCGGACCGACCUUACACGUACGCUUACGUGAGACAGGUUCCACCGACUGGCAUGCACUAGUUGCAUAAGGUGGCUAGCGGGUGUCUGUCUCUCCUACUUUAGUCGGAACGGAUUCGAUGAAAAGGGUCCUUAUGAAGGGUAAAUAGAAAUUGGCAAAUCACGUUGUGGUCAUACGUAGGUAAGAAAACGUUCUUGCUAGAAACCUACAAACCACGUAAAAACUUGCAACAACAAUUAGAGGACGUCUAACUUGUUUUUGCAGCAAGUGCUAUGUGAUGUGAUAUGGCCAGAAGAUGUGAUGAAUGAUAUAUGUGAUGUAUGAGAUUGAUCAUAUUCUUGUAAUAGGAAUCACGACUUGCAUGUCGAUGAGUAUGACAACCGGCAGGAGCCAUAGGAGUUGUCUUUAUUAUUUUGCAUGACCUGCGUGUCAUUGAAUAACGCCAUGUAAAUUACUUUACUUUGUUGCUAAACGCGUUAGCCAUAGAAGUAGAAGUAAUCGUUGGCGUAACGACUUCAUGAAGACACAAUGAUGGAGAUCAUGAUGAUGGAGAUCAUGGUGUCAUGCCGGUGACGAAGAUGAUCAUGGUGCCCCGAAGAUGGAGAUCAAUGGAGCAUAAUGAUAUUGGCCAUAUCAUGUCACUAUUUGAUUGCAUGUGAUGUUUAUCAUGUUUUUGCAUCUUAUUUGCUUAGAACGACGGUAGUAAGUAAGAUGAUCCCUUAUGAUAAUUUCAAGAAAAGUGUUCCCCCUAACUGUGCACCGUUGCGAAAGUUCGUUGUUUCGAAGCACCACGUGAUGAUCGGGUGUGAUAGGUUCUAACGUUCGAAUACAACGGGUGUUGACGAGCCUAGCAUGUACAGACAUGGCCUCGGAACACACGCAAUACACUUAGGUUGACUUGACGAGCCUAGCAUGUACAGACAUGGCCUCGGAACACGGAGGACCGAAAGGUCGAGCAUGAGUCGUAUAGAAGAUACGAUCAACAUGGAGAUGUUCACCGAUCUUGACUAGUCCGUCUCACGUGAUGAUCGGACACGGCCUAGUUAAACUCGGAUCAUGUUUCACUUAGAUGACUAGAGGGAUGUCUAUCUGAGUGGGAGUUCAUUAAAUAAUUUGAUUAGAUGAACUUAAUUAUCAUGAACUUAGUCUAAAAUCUUUACACUAUGUCUUGUAGAUCAAAUGGCCAACGUUGUCCUCAAUUUCAACGCGUUCCUAGAGAAAACCAAGCUGAAAGAUGAUGGCAGCAACUAUACGGACUGGGUCCGGAACCUGAGGCUCAUCCUCAUAGUAGCCAAGAAAGAUUAUGUCUUAGAAGCACCGCUAGGUGAUGCACCAAUCCCACAGAACAAGGACGUUAUGAACGCUUGGCAAUCACGUGCUGAUGAUUACUCCCUCGUUCAGUGCGGCAUGCUUUACAGCCUAGAACCGGGUCUCCAAAAGCGUUUUGAGAAACAUGGAGCAUAUGAGAUGUUCGAGGAGCUGAAAUUAGUUUUUCAAGCUCAUGCCCGGGUCGAGAGAUAUGAUGUCUCCGACAAGUUCUUCAGCUGUAAAAUGGAGGAGAACAGUUCUGUUAGUGAGCACAUACUCAGAAUGUCUGGGUGGCACAACCGCUUGUCUCAGCUAGGAGUUAAUCUCCCGGAUGACGCGGUCAUUGACAGAAUCCUCCAGUCGCUUCCACCAAGCUACAAGAGCUUUGUGAUGAACUACAAUAUGCAGGGGAUGGAAAAAACCAUUCCCGAAGUAUAUUCAAUGCUGAAAUCAGCGGAAGGGGAGAUCAGAAAAGAACAUCAAGUGUUGAUGGUGAAUAAAACCACUAAGUUCAAGAAGGGCAAGGGUAAGAAGAACUUCAAGAAGGACGGCAAGGGAGUUUCCGCGCCCGGUAAACCAGUUACUGGGAAGAAGUCAAAGUAUGGACCCAAGCCCGAGACUGAGUGCUUUUAUUGCAAGGGAAGUGGUCACUGGAAGCGGAACUGCCCCAAAUACUUAGCGGACAAGAAGAAGGCCGGCAACACCAAAGGUAUAUGUGAUAUACAUGUAAUUGAUGUGUACCUUACCAGUACUCGUAGUAGCUCCUGGGUAUUUGAUACCGGUGCGGUUGCUCAUAUUUGUAACUCAAAACAGGAACUACGGAAUAAACGGAGACUGGCGAAGGACGAGGUGACGAUGCGCGUCGGGAAUGGUUCCAAGGUCGAUGCGAUCGCCGUCGGCACGCUACCUCUGCAUCUACCCACGGGAUUAGUUUUAAACCUCAAUAAUUGUUAUUUAGUGCCAGCUUUGAGCAUGAACAUUGUAUCUGGAUCUCGUUUAAUUCAAGAUAGCUACUCAUUUAAAUCCGAGAAUAAUGGUUGUUCUAUUUAUUUGGGAAAUAUGUUUUAUGGUCAUGCCCCGCUGGUCAAUGGUUUAUUUUUGAUGAAUCUCGAACGUGAUGUUACACAUGUUCAUAGUGUGAAUACCAAAAGAUGUAAAGUUGAUAACGAUAGUCCCACAUACUUGUGGCACUGCCGCCUUGGUCACAUUGGUGUCAAGCGCAUGAAGAAGCUCCAUGCAGAUGGACUUUUGGAGUCUCUUGAUUACGAAUCAUUUGACACGUGCGAACCAUGCCUCAUGGGUAAGAUGACCAAGACUCCGUUCUCCGGAACAAUGGAGCGAGCAACCAACUUAUUGGAAAUCAUACAUACUGAUGUGUGCGGUCCAAUGAGUGUUGAGGCUCGCGGAGGAUAUCGUUAUGUUCUCACUCUCACAUAUGAUUUAAGUAGAUAUGGGUAUGUCUACCUAAUGAAACACAAGUCUGAAACCUUUGAAAAGUUCAAGGAAUUUCAGAGUGAGGUUGAGAAUCAACGUGACAGGAAAAUAAAAUUCUUACGAUCAGAUCGUGGUGGAGAAUAUUUAAGUCACGAGUUUGGUGCACACUUAAGGAAAUGUGGAAUAGUUUCACAACUCACGCCGCCUGGAACACCUCAGACAAAUGGUGUGUCCGAACGUCGUAAUCGCACUCUAUUGGAUAUGGUGCGAUCUAUGAUGUCUCUUACCGAUUUACCGCUCUCAUUUUGGGGAUAUGCUUUAGAGACUGCCGCAUUCACUUUAAAUAGGGCUCCGUCGAAAUCCGUUGAGACGACACCGUAUGAAUUAUGGUUUGGGAAGAAACCUAAGCUGUCGUUUCUAAAAGUUUGGGGAUGUGAUGCUUAUGUCAAGAAACUUCAACCUGAAAAGCUCGAACCCAAGUCGGAAAAAUGCGUCUUCAUAGGAUACCCUAAGGAAACUAUUGGGUAUAACUUCUACCUCAGAUCCGAAGGCAAGAUCUUCGUUGCCAAGAACGGGUCCUUUCUAGAGAAGGAGUUUCUCUCGAAAGAAUUGAGUGGGAGGAAAGUGGAACUUGAUGAGGUGAUAGUCACCCCUUCUGAACCGGAUAGUAGCGCAGCGCGGGAAAAUGUUCCUGUGGUGCCUACACCGACUGGGGAGGAAGUUAAUGAUGAUGAUCAUGAAGCUUCGGAUCAAGUUACUGAACUUCGUAGGUCCACAAGGACACGUUCCACACCAGAGUGGUACGGCAACCCUGUCCUGGAAAUCAUGUUGUUAGACAACGGUGAACCUUCAAACUAUGAAGAAGCGAUGGCGGGCCCGGAUUCCGACAAAUGGCUAGAAGCCAUGAAAUCCGAGAUAGAAUCCAUGUAUGAAAACAAAGUAUGGACUUUGACUGACUUGCCCGAUGAGCGGCGAGCCAUAGAAAACAAAUGGAUCUUUAAGAAGAAGACGGACGCAGAUGGUAAUGUGACCAUCUACAAAGCUCGACUUGGGCUAAGGGUUAUCGACAAGUUCAAGGGGUUGACUACGAUGAGACUUUCUCACCCGUAGCGAAGCUGAAGUCCGUCCGAAUCAUGUUAGCAAUUGCCGCAUACUAUGAUUAUGAUAUAUGGCAGAUGGACGUCAAAACGGCAUUCCUUAAUGGCUUCCUUAAGGAAGAGUUGUAUAUGAUGCAGCCGGAAGGUUUUGUCGAUCCUAAGAAUGCUAACAAAGUAUGCAAGCUCCAGCGCUCAAUCUAUGGGCUGGUGCAAGCAUCUCGGAGUUGGAACAUUCGCUUUGAUGAGAUGAUCAAAGCGUUUGGGUUUACACAGACUUAUGGAGAAGCCUGUGUUUACAAGAAAGUGAGUGGGAGCUCUGUAGCAUUUCUCAUAUUAUAUGUGGAUGACAUACUAUUGAUGGGAAAUGAUAUAGAAUUCUUGGAAAGUAUAAAGGCCUAUUUGAAUAAGUGUUUUUCAAUGAAGGACCAUGGAGAAGCUGCUUAUAUAUUAGGCAUCAAGAUCUAUAGAGAUAGAUCAAGACGCCUCGUUGGUCUUUCACAGAGUACAUACCUUGACAAGAUAUUGAAGAAGUUCAAUAUGGAUCAGUCCAAGAAGGGGUUCUUGCCUGUAUUGCAAGGUGUGCAAUUGAGCACGGCUCAAUGCCCGACCACGGCAGAAGAUAUAGAAAAGAUGAGUGUCAUCCCCUAUGCCUCGGCCAUUGGGUCUAAUAUGUAUGCCAUGCUGUGUACCAGACCUGAUGUAAACCUUGCCGUAAGUUUGGUAGGAAGGUACCAAAGUAAUCCCGGCAUGGAACACUGGACAGCGGUCAAGAAUAUCCUGAAGUACCUGAAAAGGACUAAGGAUAUGUUUCUCGUUUAUGGAGGUGACGAAGAGCUCGUCGUAAAGGGUUACGUCGACGCUAGCUUCAACACAGAUCUGGAUGACUCGAAGUCAGAAACCGGAUACGUGUAUAUUUUGAAUGGAGGAGCAGUAAGCUGGUGCAGUUGCAAGCAAAGCGUCGUGGCAGGAUCUACAUGUGAAGCAGAAUACAUGGCAGCCUCGGAGGCAGCACAGGAAGCAGUCUGGAUGAAGGAGUUCAUUACCGACCUAGGGGUGAUUCCCAAUGCGUCGGGCCCAAUGACUCUCUUCUGUGACAACACUGGAGCUAUUGCCCUUGCGAAGGAGCCCAGGUUUCACAGGAAGACCAGGCAUAUCAAGCGUCGCUUCAACUCCAUUCGUGAAAGUGUUCAAAAUGGAGACAUAGAUAUUUGUAAAGUACAUACGGGCCUGAAUGUAGCAGAUCCGUUGACUAAACCUCUCCCUAGGGCAAAACAUGAUCAACACCAGGACGCAAUGGGUGUUCGAUUCAUCACAAUGUAACUAGAUUAUUGACUCUAGUGCAAGUGGGAGACUGUUGGAAAUAAGCCCUAGAGGCAAUAAUAAAUGGUUAUUAUUAUAUUUCUUUGUUCAUGAUAAUCGUCUAUUGUUCAUGCUAUAAUUGUAUUGUCCGGAAAUCGUAAUACAUGUGUGGAUACAUAGACCACAACGUGUCCCUAGUAAGCCUCUAGUUGACUAGCUCGUUGAUCAACUGAUAGUCAUGGUUUCCUGGCUAUGGACAUUGGAUGUCAUUGAUAACGGGAUCACAUCAUUAGGAGAAUGAUGUGAUGGACAAGACCCAAUCCUAAGCAUAGCAUAAAAGAUCGUGUAGUUUCGUUUGCUAGGGCUUUUCCAAUGUUAAGUAUCUUUUCCUUAGACCAUGAGAUCGUGCAGCUCCGGGAUACCGUAGGAGUGCUUUGGGUGUGCCAAACGUCACAACGUAACUGGGUGACUAUAAAGGUGCACUACGGGUAUCUCCGAAAGUGUCUGUUGGGUUGGCACGGAUCAAGACUGGGAUUUGUCACUCCGUAUGACGGAGAGGUAUCUCUGGGCCCACUCGGUAAUGCAUCAUCAUAUUGAGCUCUAUGUGACUAAGGCGUUAGUCACGGGAUCAUGCAUUGCGGUACGAGUAAAGAGACUUGCCGGUAACGAGAUUGAACAAGGUAUUGGGAUACCGACGAUCGAAUCUCGGGCAAGUAACAUAUUGAUUGACAAAGGGAAUUGCAUACAGGAUUGAUUGAAUCCUCGACACCGUGGUUCAUCCGAUGAGAUCAUCGUGGAACAUGUGGGAGCCAACAUGGGUAUCCAGAUCCCGCUGUUGGUUAUUGACCGGAGAGGCGUCUCGUUCAUGUCUGCAUGUCUCCCGAACCCGUAGGGUCUACACACUUAAGGUUCGGUGACGCUAGGGUUGUAGAGAUAUGUGUAUGCGGAAACCCGAAAGUUGUUCGGAGUCCUGGAUGAGAUCCCGAACGUCACGAGAGGUUCCGGAAUGGUCUGGAGGUGAAGAAUUAUAUAUAGGAAGUCAAGUUUCGGCCACCGGGAAAGUUUCGGGGGUUACCGGUAUUGAACCGGGACCACCGGAAGGGUCCCGGGGGUCCACCGGGUGGGGCCACCUAUCCCGAAGGGCCCCGUGGGCUGAAGUGGGAAGGGAACCAGCCCCUAGUGGGCUGGGCGCCCCCUCAUGGGCCUCCCCCCAUGCGCCUAGGGUUGGGAACCCUAGGGGGGGAGCUUCCCACUUUCCUUGGGGGACAAGGCACGCCCUUCCCCCCUUUGGCCGCCGCCCCCCUUGAGAUCCCAUCUCCAGGGCCGGCGCCCCCCAGGGGGCCUAUAUAAAAGGGGGGGAGGGAGGGCAGCAACAAAACAGCCUUGGGCGCCUCCCUCCUCCCCUGCUACACUUCUCCGUCUCGCAGAAGCUCGGCGAAGCCCUGCCGAGACCCGCUACAUCCACCACCACGCCGUCGUGCUGCUGGAUCUCCAUCAACCUCUCCUUCCCCCUUGCUAGAUCAAGAAGGAGGAGACUUCGCUGCACCGUACGUGUGUUGAACGCGGAGGUGCCGUCCGUUCGGCACUCGGUCAUCGGUGAUUUGGAUCACGGCGAGUACGACUCCGUCAUCCACGUUCAUUGGAACGCUUCCGCUCGCGAUCUACAAGGGUAUGUAGAUGCACUCCUUUCCCCUCGUUGCUAGUAGACUCCAUAGAUGCAUCUUGGUGAGCGUAGGAAAAAUUUAAAUUAUGCUACGAUUCCCAACAGAUUCUCCUUGUACUGAUAGUGCAUUACAAGGUCCAAGUCUCCACUCCCCUACUCUACCAACAAAGGUGCUUGCUCUAACUUGGCAGUGUGAUAUCUGGUUGCAUGUUGCAUGUGGUGUCUAGCUUGUAUUGCUCCUAAUUAGUGUAAACUGCAUCUGCUUAGCUUACACAUGAUAUGUGUGAAUAUGACACGCUUUACUGUUUUGGUACAUACUAUAUCUGUCUAUCACACCAUGUUCUUACAUGAAGCUACUCUUCUUGUGUAUCCUGCAUCAGUCACUUAUGAUGGAACACCUUUAAGUUGGCAGUGUGAUAUUGGUUUGCGUCUUGAAUAUGAUUUCUAGCAUGUAUUGCUUCUAGUUUGAUGAACGCCACCUAUGACGAGACAGUUUUAACUUGGCAGAGUGAUAUUGAUUGCACCUUUCAUAUGGUGUCUAGUUUGCAGUGCUUCUAAUUUGUUGAAGUGCCUUGUGCUUAGUUACCACAUCAUAGGUGUGAAUAUGUCAAGCCGUCCAUUUUUUCGUACAUAUUCCAUCCUCGUAUCAUGACUUUGCCUUUCAUUGGAGUAGUGUUCGUCAGUAUCAUGCAUCAAUGAGUUCUGAAGAGCAAAUUUUAUUCCUUUUUCUUGUGGGUUUGACUUGACAAUGCAAAAUCAAGAAAUAGGAAGGAAAAGAGUAAGGAAGACGAUGAUGGUGGUCCUCUGCAGCAACGUAAACGGAGCAUCUGUACCGAUUCUCCUCGUACUGAUUGUGCAUUACAAGGUCCAAGUCUCCGUUCCCCUACUCCACCAUCCAAGGUGCUUGCUCUAACUUGGCAGUGUGAUAUCUGGUUGCAUGUUGCAUAUGGUGUCUAGCUUGUAUUGCUCCUAAUUAGUGUAAACUGCAUCUGCUUAGCUUACACAUGAUACGUGUGAAUAUGACACGCUUUCCUGUUUUUGGUACAUACUAUAUCUGUCUAUCACACCAUGUUCUUACAUGAAACUACUCUUCUUGUGUAUCCUGCAUCAGUCACUUAUGAUGGAACACCUUUAAGUUGGCAGUGUGAUAUUGGUUUGCGUCUUGAAUAUGAUUUCUAGCAUGUAUUGCUUCUAGUUUGAUGAACGCCACCUAUGACGAGACACUGUUAACUUGGCAGCGUGAUAUUGAUUGCACCUUUCAUAUGGUGUCUAGUUUGCAGUGCUUCUAAUUUGUUGAAGUGCCUUGUGCUUAGUUCCCACAUCAUAGGUGUGAAUAUGUCAAGCCGUCCAUUUUUUUGUACAUAUUCCAUCCUCGUAUCAUGACUUUGCCUUUCAUCAGGGUAGUGUUCGUCAGUAUCAUGCAUGAAUGAGUUCUGAAGAGCGAAUUAUAUUCCUUUUUCUUGUCGGUUUGACCUCACAAUGCAAAAUCAAGAAAGCUGAAGGAAAUUGGCAAGGCAUUGGAUGAUGGUGGUCCUUCCGAGCAACUGAAAUGGAGGUUCUCUACAGAUUCUACUAUGUGAUCCUCCCAACAAGAUUCGCAAGACAACGCAAGGCUAGACAGUCAACGUAGCAGUGUAGAUGAUGAGCACAUCUCCCCUACUCCACCAUCACAGGUUGUCGUGGUGGGCGCACGGCAGAUGCCAAGGGAUGGCUAAAGAGAGGAGGAGGCUCGAGGCCGCUGGUGGGCUCCAGAGGCGAGGUUGGCAUGAGCGGGCGCGGGACGCCGGACAUACCCAGGUUCGGGGCUCUCCGGAGAGAUAAUACCCCUAGUCCUGCCGAGUGUAAUUGGAUGAUCGAUAGUACAAUGUUGCUCCUGGAGCUGUAUGAGGGAGGAAGGAAGCUGGCCAAGGCUUGGGCUGCCCCUUCUCUCCGGUGUUGCUGUUUUUGUGGCUAGUCCUCCUGCUUUUCCUUUUGCUUGAUCGUGGGCUCCCGGGGGUUUUAUAGUCCAACCCCUCAGGGGUACAAUGCUAAUGUUAUAAGUCGGUGGGUCCGUGUUGUCGGUGUCCGGGGACCCGGGCUCGGCCCCGCUGAGGGCUUGUGGUUCGCCGGGUUCCCCUAGGUGUGGGCCCUGCAAGCCUAGGGGGACUGUGCGCCGUCUUGUCGAUCGUUAGGGCGUGGCCGAGUCGAGUCGCGUACAGUGCUCUCCGUCAAGUUGCCGCUUGCUUUCGUCAACUGUGAGGGUGGGGGCACUGUUGCCACGCCGGCCCUGGUCAGCGGGUAGGUGAGGGGCACUGUUGCCACGUUCCUGCUGACAAGAGGCAUGGGUGGGGCACUGUUGCCUCGGUCAUCGUUGAUUGAAGUCUCGUCCCCGUCAUACGGCCUGGAUGGGACGGGAGUUGACCCGCGGCUGGAUUGCGUAGCACGCCAUGGGUGGCGCUGGCUUGGUGAGGAGGCUUUGGCCGUGCCGGGUUCGGCUGUCUUGCGCCAGUUGUUGGGGCCGAGUCGACGUGUCUUGCCGGGUCGGCUAGCCUGGCCGGCUUGGGGGGUUUGGCCGGGUUGAGCGACCCGGCCAAGCUCGCGCCGGUAUUGAGGGGUGGUGCCAGCCCCGUUGUUUUUGAAGAGGGUCUGGGUUCCGUUGCCUGCCCGGGGUCCAUCCCCCCGACAGUAGUCCCCGAAGCUGUGAAGGUCCGCCAUCUUUGCAUGAGUGGGCCUUCGCAGUUUCCCCCUUAAGCAAGGUGGAUUCUGCGAGCGCCAGGUCCGGCAACACCCACUGUGUGCCGAUUUCUCGGAAACCGGAUCGCGGCGUCUCGGUCGUGGCGGGGACCGAGAAGUCCGCUGAAUCUUGGGGCAAUCCUCGGGCUUUGCACGGGCGCCACAUGGUGCCCGGAAGCCGGAGGGGCCUGACAGGCCACACGCGUGACGGGACCGGGCGACGGGUUGUGGCCCGCCGCCGCGUGCCCUUGGCCCAAGCGCGCGGAUUUAUUGCGGCGUCCGGGGGCCGGUUGCUCUUCCCCGGGCAGUUACUGCGCGUGCACGCGUGCACUUAUUGCGGGGUAGUGGAACAGGCGCAUGCAGAUGAUCCCACUUCCCCACGUUCAAACCGAGGGUUAUAAAUCGGGGGGGCGGGGGCGGCGGACAUUAGUCUUGCUCGCGCCCUCCUGUCCCUUUGCUCUCGCUCCGCUCUUCGCAACAGACGCACUGCGGCGCCCGCUGCUCCUGGCAGAACUCCUUCGCCGUCCAUCUUCCUUCUUCUUCCUUCGAUCAUGUCGCUGCCAUCGGGCUCCUGGAUGGGCUCAAACGUCACCUCCGAGGACAUCACCCAACUCCGGGCGACGCGGCGCCUGCUGCGGGAGACAGACGUCAGCGUCCGCCUGCCGCACGGCGAGCAGAGGCCUCUGCCCGAGGGGCAGGAGCGCAUGGUCUUCCUCACGCACUUCAAGCGCGGGUUAGGGCUGCCGGCGAGCACCUUCUUCCGCGCUUUCCUGGAGUUCUUCGGACUCCAGCCGCAUCAUCUUGGCGCCGGCGCCAUCGUUCAGCUCUCCGGCUUCGUCACCCUCUGCAAGGGGUACCUGGGGGUUGAGCCUACGAUCGACCUCUGGGCGCGCUUCUUCUCCUUGAAGCAGCAGGGCCCGUCGGCUGGGGAGUUCACCGAUUGCGGCGCCGCCGUCAUCUUGAAGCGGUCGGGGGCGGAUUUCCCCAAGAUCCCGCUGGAGGACUCUGCCAAGAAGUGGCGGAACUCCUUCUUCUACGUCCGCAACCUUGGAGCGGAUCGCAUCAAUCUUCCGGCCUUCACCAUCGCACCGCCGCGGGCGAAGACGAACUAGGGCUACUCGCCCAAGCGCCCGUCGCAGGAGAUCGUUAAUCUCUGCAAGCGGGUGACGGUGAUGAGGACGCGGGAGGGGCUCACUGGCACCGACCACCUCGCCGCGUUCAUCAUGCGCCGGGUCCUUCCGCUUCAGGGGCGCUCCUGCCUCAUCGGCGAAAUGGUCGGCCUUCAAGACCCCAACCGCAUGGGGUCGACGCGGCUGUCCGCGGAGCAGGUCGCGCGCGGCGUGAACGACAUCUCCAAGGCCAACCUUGGGGAGGACUGACGGUUCGGCAAGGCACCGUACAGCUAGUCGAACUCGGCGCCGCAGGUGAGUGUCUGGUCUUCUCACUUUGCUGCCGUGCACCUUCUCAUCCGUCCUGACACGACGCGGGGGGUACUUCUGAACGCGAUUCGGCAUCCUUACGCCCGGGCUCCGUCGCAGGUGGAGCCGGUGGCGCCAGAGGAGCCCGUGGCUCGUGGCGGGGAGGAGGAGGCCGAGUCCGACGCUGGCGCUGGGCGUCGCGCGGGUAAGUCUCGCGUUUUUCUUCAUGUGUCUUGAAUUGCUGACCGCGGCACGGAACGGCCGGUGCUGAUGCCAGUUGUUGGUGUAGUGGCGUUGGGCGGGGGAGGCGACGAUGCGGGCGGAGCCGGGUCCUCGCAUGGGGCGGCGCCGAGCCGCCCGCAUGGGAAAGACAGCGUCGCGCCGCGACCCCGGGCCCCGAAGCGCACGGCGGACCCGGCCGGGGCCGGGAGGCCGGCCAUGAGGAAGCGUGGCGGCGGGCACGGGAGGCCAACCCCGGUCCCGGUCUUGGCAGGGUAAGCUUCAUCUCUUGUUUGUGCUCAGGUUUUUUCUUGAGCUAGUCUUGUUUCUUUUCUGCUCAUUCUGUCUUCUUCUCUAGGUCGCCAAUCGUGCUGGCGAGGGCGGCGGCGGAAACCGCGACCGCUGAAGGGGCCGCGUUCCGCAGGAGCCGGUCCGACCUUGCUGACCAGGCCGAGGCGGAGGGACGGGCCGACUCGGACCUCGGCCUAGAUCCGAAUGACGCCGAAGCCUUGGCCUAGCGGGACAGGAACCGGGCUGAGGCGGAGCUGGAGGCGGCCUCGGUCCGUGCUUGGACCGACGCGGCGGCGGCAUGGGCGCGACCCGGCGCGGAGCCGGUCUGGCGCGAGAUGCCGGUGGGCACGGUGGUGGCGGCGACGGUCUUUGAGUCGUCGUCGGUGAGGGAGCGCGGCCGUGGAGGCCGAGCUGAGGUGGUGACCCCCGACCGGGGGGUCGUGGAGGUGGAGGAUGACACCCCGCCGCGGGCCGACGUGGCCGAGCGAGCGGGGACUGAUGGUGGUGGAGGCGGCGGCGUUUUGGAAGAGACGCUGCGGGCGGCGGCGGCGGAGGCGCCGCCGGUUUUGGAGGAGGCACCGCGGGCGGCGGUGCCGGAGGUCACCUCGGCAGCUUGGCCGGAGAUGGCGACGCAGGGCGUCCCGGCGUUCGGGUCAGGGACGGGGACGCAGGGCGUCCCGGAGGAGGUGCUGGCCGCGUCGCGAGCCGGCGAGGAGCACGCCUUGGUGCCCCGGCAGGGAGAGCGCCGAGCUGCCGUGCCGCAGCCAGCGCGGAGCGGGGGGCGCCGUUAUCUUCGGGCCUCAGACCCAGGAGGUCGAGGCGCUGGAUGCCGUUAGUCGCCGCCUGCGAGGCCGGACGAAAGGGCUCGAGGCCUUCGCCCAGGCCGAGGUGGAGCAGUCACGUGACCUGGAGCGCGCCGUUCUGGUAAGUCUUCUUGCAAUUUUCUUCUUUGUGAGGGCAUGCCAGCGCACCCACUGGGUGUAGCCCCGAGGUUCGGGCCAACUACGUAGUAGUUGGGUCGAAUCUUUAGAGUGUUGGCCUUGUUCUGAUUUGUGCUCUCUUCAGUAUCUCGACGCCUUCCAGGUCGCCGCCUACAAUCGUCUCCUGGGCAAGAACCAGGAGCUCGUGGAGCGGCUUGCCGCCAAGGAGGAGCUCCAUGUCGCCGCAGGUAUCCUUGUGCUCUUUUCUAGUGGGGGCGCGCUAGCGCACCCACUCGUUGUAGCCCCCAAGAUUCAGGCCAACUGUGUAACAGUUGGGCCAAAUCUUAAGUCUUGCUUUUUUCUUCUGCCGAGUCCUUCUUUUUCGCAGCCGAGGUGCUGUCUUGGCGGACUCGUCUGCUCCGGGCCGGUCAUCACUAUGACCGGCUCGUUGCCGACACCAGCCGUCUUUGCGUCGAGGCGGCGCAGGCGAGGGCGGAGGCGGCCGCGGCUCGGCGGUCUCUCGACGAGGCCAACCGGCUGCAUGAGCAGCUGGCGGGUCACAAGAGCCGCCUCGAGGCCGAGGUGGAGCUCCUUAAGGCGGAAGCCGCCAAUGUGGCAGAGGCGCAGCAGGCCCUGGUGGAGGCGGACCCGCAGCGCGGCCAGCUGGCCGACGACAAGGGCCGGCUCCAGGCCGAGGUGGAUCACCUGCGGAGGCAGGUCACCACAGCUGAGGGGGCCCGUCAGGACGAGGCCCGUCGCCGCGAGGCGGCCGAGAAGGCGGCCGAAGACAAGGACGCCGAGCUGAAGGCGACCCUUGCCAAGGCGGCCAAUCUGGAGAAGGCGCUCGAGGAGCGCCACCGCGCCAUCGAGCGGGAGCGGCGUGGUACGUUGCUUGAGGCGCAGCACCUGGAAGAGUCCUUCUCGAGUAAGUGCUUUUUUCUUGUCAUUUGCCGUGUCGGGAUUCGGCCUUUCUUCCUUGCUGUUCUUCUUCUAACUCGCUUCUUCCUUUGCGGCAGGGGCCUUCCCAGAGACGCAGCGGCUGGCGGAGGAAGCCGUCCGCUAUCAGCGUGACCUGACCGGCGUCGUUGGGUCCGGGACGGAUCCGCGGGUGGCCUGGACCUUCCCGGAGAUCAUCGCCACCGCUGAGGCCCGCCUGCAGGUUCUGGGAACGCAGUUGGGGCGGCUGUCCCAGGCCGGCACCGCGAUGACGGCGGCCCUAUGGCCGGACUUCGUCCAACCGAGCAGCUUCUCGUGCUUGGCGCGUUGGUUGGAGAUGGGGCCGGACCUGCUUGGCGAGUGGCGCGUCUCCGCCGCUCGUGCCGGUGCUGAGAUGGCGCUCCGGUUCGUGCUGUCCUGGCAUCCGGACCUGCAGCUGGACGCGUUGAUGGGCCAGCGGGCCGGUUCGGAGCAGCUCUUGCAGGAGCAAGCCGGCCGGAUCGCCUCCCGGGCCAGCUACAUCGCCGAGUUCGCCUUCCAUGACGAGUUCCAUCCGGAGCAGACGGAAGACGGCGGGGUCGUGGACGGCGACGACUACGGCUUGCUCCUCCACGAUCCGGAGGGGAGCUCGGAGGAGACGGGCGUCUACCGCGACGCGGAUGCUGAGGAGGGCACCGGCACCUCGCUGGACCCGGAGGCUGCGAGGGGAGAGCCGUCGAUGUCGCGACGCGGCGCUGGAGAUGCCUGAGACACUUUGUGUAAAAUCUGUUAAAUAGCAGGUCCACCCACCCACUGGGGGUUUUUAGGGUGUAAUGAACUCGGGCCGUGGACCUUUUCUUAAAUACUUGUAGAUGUCGUGGGUGCUUUUGCUUUUUUGCCUUCCUUUUUUGGACCAAUUUCAUUCGCUUUUCCUUUCUCAAACCNNNNNNNNNNNNNNNNNNNNNNNNNNNNNNNNNNNNNNNNNNNNNNNNNNNNNNNNNNNNNNNNNNNNNNNNNNNNNNNNNNNNNNNNNNNNNNNNNNNNNNNNNNNNNNNNNNNNNNNNNNNNNNNNNNNNNNNNNNNNNNNNNNNNNNNNNNNNNNNNNNNNNNNNNNNNNNNNNNNNNNNNNNNNNNNNNNNNNNNNNNNNNNNNNNNNNNNNNNNNNNNNNNNNNNNNNNNNNNNNNNNNNNNNNNNNNNNNNNNNNNNCAAACGGCCGAAGCUCCGGUCCGUGACAAGGAGUUCGGUUCUUUGAGAGGAGCGCGUAGGACUUGGGUCCCUCGAAACGUUGAGCACGAGCGAAACACCCCCUGGGCCGGCUGGCGGCAAUCCGGCGAAGCGGUUGGGGAGCAGCCGGUCGUGUGGCUGUUCAUUUGAUGAAUGGCGGGCCGGGUUGAUCGACCCGGCAACCUUUGGCUUAGUGUAUGAAGCGUAAAGGACCUUGGCCCGUUGUGCUUGCCAGCCGACAGCCAAAGCUGGAUCUGUGGCUUUAGGGCGAAGUGGGGGACCGCGGCAUCCUAACUUUAUCAGGAAUCACCAAGUAAGGCGGCGGGGUAGCGACCGAGCCGGCCAGCCCCCGAGCCCCCGGGUCGAGCGAGUCGGACCGGUGGCCGGGUUCAGUGGUAUAGUGAUGCAAGAAAAUAGGGACACAAUAAAUUGGUCGACAAAAGGCAGCCCCCGAGUCUCGUUCGGGGACCCCAUAGUUUCAUGCAUUUGCAAAAGGCGAUGAUACAUACGCUCGUGCGGCUAACUGUAAAACGGGCGGAGGAGUUCCGCGUUCCACGGCCGGGUCAUUUCUUCACCGGCGGUGUCCUUCUUGUGCUUCCUCGACUUGCGUGCAUCGAUGAGGUAGUAGGCGUUGCGGUCAUGCAAGGCCCUGCUCACGAUGAAUGGGCCCUCCCAUGGAGGGGACAGCUUGUGCUGGCCUGCCUACUCUUGGACGAGUCGGAGGACGAGGUCGCCCUCGCGGAACGCGAGGGGCUUGAUCUUCUUGCUGUGGUAGUGCCUCGAGCCUUGCUGUUAGAUGGCCGAGCGACUGAGCGCCAGGAGGCGUGCUUCUUCGAGCAGGUCGACGCCAUCUUCGCGGGCUUCUCUGGCUUCGGCUUCGGUGUUAGCGCCCACCGUGGGGCAGCUCGAGGAGCUGGCCGGGAGCAUGCUUCGGACGGGGCCCUUCUCCUACGCCGACGAGUCUGUCGCUCUGGCGGACGACGUCGUCGGCACGCUUGUCGCCUCCUUCACCGCGCAGCGCAUCUCCGAUGCGUUCGCGACCGACGAGUGACUCGGCCCCCGGACGCCACAAUAAAUCCGCGCGCUUGGGCCGAGGGCGCGCGGCAGCGGGCCCCAGCCCGUCGCCCGGUCCCGUCACGCGCGUGGCCUGUCAGGCCCCUCCGGCUUCCGGGCACCACGUGGCGCCCACGCAAAGGCCGAGGGAUUGCCCCAAGAUUCGGCGGACUUCUCAGUCCCCGCCACGACCGAGACGCCGCGAUCCUGUUUCCGAGAAAACCGGCACACAGUGGGUGUUGCCAGACCUGGCGCUCGCAGAAUCCACCUUGCUUAAGGGGGAAACUGCGAAGGCCCACUCAUACGAAGACGCCGGACCUUCACAGCUUCGGGGACUACUGUCGGGGGGAUGGACCCCGGGCAGGCAACGGAAUCCGGAUCCUCUUCAAAAACAACAGGGCUGGCACCGCCCCUCAAUACCAGCGCGCGCUUGGCCGGGUCGCUCGACCGGCCAAUCCCCCCCAAGCCGGCCAGACUAGCUGACUCGGCAAGACACGUCGACUCAGCCCCAACAAUUGGCGCAAGGCAGCCGAACCCGGCACGGCCAAAGCCUCCUCACCAAGCCAGCGCCACCCAUGGCGUGCUACGCAAUCCAGCCGCGGGUCAACUCCCGUCCCAUCCAGGCCGUAUGAUGGGGAUGAGACUUCAAUCAACGAUGACCGAGGCAACAGUGCCCCGCCCAUGCCUCUGGUCAGCAGGAACGUGGCAACAGUGCCCCUCACCUACCCGCUGACCAGAGCCGGCGUGGCAACCGUGCCCCCACCGUCACCGCUGACGACAGCAAGCGGCAACCUGACGGAGAGCACUGUACGCAACUCGACUCGGCCACGCCCUGACGAUCGACAAGACGGCGCAUAGUCCCCCUAGGCUUGCGGGGCCCGCACCUAGGGGAACCCGGCGAACCACAAGCCCUCAGCGGGGCCCAGCCCGGGUCCCCGGACACCGACAACACGGACCCACCGACUUAUAACAUUACCAUUGUACCCCCGAGGUGUUGGACUAUAAAACCCCCGGGAGCCCAUGAUCAUUCGAGAGGCGAAGCGAAAGGCGAUGCAGGAGGACUAGCCACAAAAACAGCAACACCGGAGAGAAGGGGCAGCCCAAGCCUUGGCCAGCUUCCUUCCUCCCUCAUACAGCUCCAGGAGCAACAUUGUACUAUCGAUCAUCCAACUACACUCGGCGGGACUAGGGGUAUUAUCUCUCCGAAGAGCCCCGAAGCUGGGUAUGUCCGGCGUCCCGCGACCGCUCAUGCCAACCUCGCCUCUGGAUCCCACCAGCGCCCUCGAGCCUCCUCCUCUCUUUAGCCAUCCCUUGGCAUCUGCCAUGCGCCCACCACGACAGUUGGUGCCCACCGUGGGGCAGCUCGAGGAGCUGGCUGGGAGCAUGCUUCGGACGGGGCCCUUCUCCUACGCCGACGAGUCCGUUGCUCUAGCGGACGACGUCGUCGGCGCGCUUGCCGCCUCCUUCGCCGCGCUGCGCAUCUCCGAUGCGUUCGCCGGGCCCGCCAAGGCGGGCGGAGCCGGAUCCCGCCGGCUUGGCGAGCUGGUUGAGGCGGUCCUGCUGGGUGUUGGCGGCGUGGAGGAGUUCACGCAUCCGCCCGAUGCGCUUCUUCAGCUCCUCACCCGCGAGCUGGUCCAGGCCGAUUGUGGCUGCCUGGGCAGUGCGCAUGUUCUUCGCUGGGGUCUCGUGGAUGGUUGGGACGGCGCCGAGGGCCCGGCCGAUCGCUCUUCCCCGGGCACGCACAUCGGUGACCCGGCUUGGCUCGGCCGCGGCGGGCAUGAAUCCGUAAGCGGCGUCGUGCUCCAGCUGAGCGGCGUCCAGGCGACGCUGAGUGGCGGCGAGCGUCUCAGAUAGGUCUAGCAUCUGCUGGCGCCUUUCCUCGAGCUGGGUUCGGGCCUCAGCGACGUUGGUGGCGUCGACGUCGGUGCCGAUGGGCAUGCGGAGACUCUGCAUCACGGCGCACAACGGAUCGGACGGCUCGAUCCGAUCCGCUGCAGCCCUGGCUUUGGCAGCCUUCCUCGUCUUGCUCGACGAGGAGGAGGCGCCGUCGCCGGUGACGAAGACCUCCCCAAUGACGUCCAUUGGCCCGGCGGAAACGCCGCCGCCGAGGGAGAGGGUAGAGUCGGAGUAGCUGAGCACCUCGCUGGGGUACUCGUCGGCCGCGAACGCAUCAGAGAUGCGCAGCGCGGCAAAGGAGCCGACAAGCGCGCCGACGACGUCGUCCGCUGGAGCGAUGGACUCGUCGGCAUAGGAGAAGGGCCCCGUCCGAAGCAUGCUCCCAGCCAGCUCCUCGAGCUGCCCCACGGUGGGCGCCAACUGUCGUGGUGGGUGCACGGCAGAUGCCAAGGGAUGGCUAAAGAGAGGAGGAGGCUUGAGGGCGCUGGUGGGCUCCAGAGGCGAGGUUGGCAUGAGCGGGCACGGGACGCCGGACAUACCCAGGUUCGGGGCUCUCCGGAGAGAUAAUACCCCUAGUCCUGCCGAGUGUAGUUGGAUGAUCGAUAGUACAAUGUUGCUCCUGGAGCUAUAUGAGGGAGAAAGGAAGCUGGCCAAGGCUUGGGCUGCCCCUUCUCUCCGGUGGUGUUGUUUUUGUGGCUAGUCCUCCUGCUUCGCCUCUCGCUUGAUCGUGGGCUCCCGGGGGUUUUAUAGUCCAACCCCUCGGGGGUACAAUGGUAAUGUUAUAAGUCGGUGGGUCCGUGUUGUCGGUGUCCGGGGACCCGGGCUGGGCCCCGCUGAGGGCUUGUGGUUCGCCGAGUUCCCCUAGGUGUGGGCCCCGCAAGCCUAGGGGACUGUGCGCCGUCUUGUCGAUCGUCAGGGCGUGGCCGAGUUGAGUCGCGUACAGUGCUCUGCGUCAGGUUGCCGCUUGCUGUCGUCAGCGGUGAGGGUGGGGGCACUGUUGCCACGUUCCUGCUGACCAGAGGCAUGGGCGGGGCAUUGUUGCCUCGGUCAUCGUUGAUUGAAGUCUCGUCCCCGUCAUACGGCCUGGAUGGGAUAGGAGUUGACCCGCGGCUGGAUUGCGUAGCACGCCAUGGGUGGCGCUGGCUUGGUGAGGAGGCUUUGGCCGUGCCGGGUUCGGCUGUCUUGCGCCAGUUGUUGGGGCCGAGUCGACGUGUCUUGCCGGGUCGGCUAGUCUGGCCGGCUUGGGGGGCUUGGCCGGGUCGAGCGACCCGGCCAAGCGCGCGCCGGUAUUGAGGGGCGGUGCCAGCCCCAUUGUUUUUGAAGAGGAUCCGGGUUCCGUUGCCUGCCUAGGGUCCAUCCCCCCGACACAGGUGCUUGCUCUAACUUGGCACUAUUAUAUGUGGUUGCAUGUUGCGUAUGAUGUCUAGCUUGUAUUGCUUCUAACUUUGUUGAAUUGCAUCUGCUACUUUACACAUAAUGCGUGUGAAUAUGACACAUGUUCCUGUUUCUAGAACAUACGUGUACAUGAUGAGCACAUCUCCCCUACUCCACCAUCACAGGUGCUUGCUCUAACUUGGAACUGUUAUAUGUGGUUGCGUUUUCCGUAUGAUGUCUAGUUUGUAUUGCUUCUGAUUAUGUGGAAUUGCAUCUGCAUAGCUUACAACUUAUACCUGCAACGAUUACUUACCCAUAAGACACAUUUAACUUGGGACUGUGAUGUAGGUUGCAUCUUGCAUUGUCUUCUAGCUUGUACUGCUUCUAAUUUCUUGAAAUGGCACUUACGACGAGACACUUUUUACCUGAUAGAGUGAUAUUGGUUGCAUUUCAUAUUGUGCCUAGCUUUCAUUUCUUCUAAUUUUGUUGAAAUGCCCUCCGCUUACUGUUUUUUCAUCCAUAUUCCAUCGUCCUAUCGUACGUGUGAAUAUGAAACGCUGUCUUUUUUUGUAUAUAUUCCAUCCUCCUAUCCUGUGCUUGCCUUACAUCAAAGUAGUGUUCGUUUGUAUCAUGCAUCAACCAGUUAUGCAGAGCUAAUUUUAUUUGUCUUCUUGUGGUUUUGACUUCAUAAGGCAAUAUCAGAAAAUAGGAAGGAAAAUAGUAAGUUAGGGGAUGUUGGUGGUCCUCUGCAUCGACGCAAACAGAGACUCUCUAGAUUUGCCACUGCUACUGCUAAUGAAGUCGAAGUCCCAAGUCUACAUGAUGAGUUCAUCUCCCGUACUCCAUCGCAGGUGCUUGCUCUAAGUUGACAGUGUGAUAAUUGGUUUCAUGUUGCAUAUGUUGUCUAGCCUGUAUUUCUUCUAUUUUGAUUAAAUUGCACCUGCUGAGUUCAUACGUUAUACUGUGCAUAUGACAUGGCGUUCUGUGUCUAGAAUACACUGCAUCUAUCUAUCAUACCAUGUUCUUACAUCAAAGUACUGUUGUUGUGUAUCCCGCAUCAGUCACUCAUGAUUGGACACUUUUAACAUGGCAGUUUGAUAGUGGUUGCAUCUUGCAUUGAUUUCUACGUUGUACUGCUUCUAAUUUUUCGAAUUGCCACUUAUGACAAGACACUUUUAACUUGGCAGAGUAAUAUUGGUUGCAUCUUUCAUAUGGUGUCUAGCUUGCAUCACUUCUAUUUUCUUGAAAAUCCUUCUGCUUAGUUUACACAUCGUAGCUGUGAAUAUGUCAUGCCGUCUUGUUUUCCUUACAUAUUCCAUCCUCAUACGGUUGUCUUACAUCAAAGUAUUGCUUGUCUAUAUCAUGCAUCAAUGAGUUCUGAAGAGCGAUUUUAUUCUUUUGUGUUGUGGGUACGGCUUGACAUGGCAAAGUCAAAAAAGAGCAAGGAAAAUAAUAUAGUAGGGAGUGGUGUUACUCGUCGGGUGAAACGGAAAAGGAUCGGCCAUCCAGAUUCUGCUGGUACUUAUAGUGCAGUAGAAGGUCCAAGUCCACCGGCUAAAUCUACAAACACAGUAUCACCUGCUCCACCAGCUGCAGCAUCCGCUUCAACUGUACCAGCAUCUCACCGAGUUACUCGUUUGUUUUCUCUGGAACUGGCCAGUUCCAAAGCUGCCUUCACACCUAACACUACUUCCGAAGCACUGCUGACACAACAGGACUUGGCAAGAUCAGAUGAACCUCAUGAGCAUCAACACCAAGACGGUACCUGACCGAGUCAAGUUGUAGUUGCAUGCUCCUUUAUAUGUACUCUCGCAGUUUGAUGUACCCUAACACUUUCCAUAUUCAUUGUUGAACUAGCACCACGAUGCAAGCGGAAACAGACAUCAGGGAUAAUGCUUGAUAGAUUAACAAAAUCUAAAGGAGGAAGAAUGGAGAUCCAUUUUGAGGCAGGUUUAAAAAGGCCACGUGAUGCUACAGAGUCAGCCAAGUUAGUAUCAGAGGCAGCCGUUGCCGUUAGGUGUCAUGCACGUAUCCUCCCAACGUGGAUCCAGUACAGGAAUGAGAAAGACAAUACCCAGUUUAACACCUUCCUUGACCAUUUAUCCGUAAGUAAUGUUAUUCAUCGCAAUUAGUCAUAUUGUCUUGCUCUGUCCCAUACUUUCUAGCUUCCUCCUAAUAAGACUCACAUUCUUUUUUCAACAGCUAAGGUUCAAGUUGGAUCCGAAAGAUGAUGCAACUAAACAAGCAUGCACUCAUGUUUUUCAGUCUGCUCUGCGACAGUAUCGGUACCACCUUAGAAAAUCUCACUUUGAAGGCAAGGCUAACAAUGAAAUCGCCCAAACAUCUCCAGUGGAAUAUAUUACAGAUGAAGACUGGACAGCCCUCGUUAAACACUGGUCUGAUCCAAAGUAUCAGGUAGGCUAUAUGUAUUUGAUCAGACCACAUAUUGAACUUGUAUUUAUGUAUGUGCCUUACAAGUGUAUCUUCUUCUAGGCUAACUGUUUGAAGAACAAAACAACCCGUUCUAAAGUGAAAUUCCAACAGACAACAGGAUCUCGUAGCUAUAUUGCACACUGCGAGGCUCUUGUAAAUAGCUGCUACUUCCUUAUUUUUUUCUGUGCCAUAUUAUCGUAUCUAUAUUGACUUGUUCCAAAUACAGAGGAAAGCCUGUGCGGACCAAAAAGAACCUGAACCGAAUGCAGUGCAAAUCUUCAAGGAUUGCCACACCAGCAAGAUGAAGGGCAUGAGCACACCAAUUCAAGCCGGUGUUGUAAGUCCUUAUUCCUCCUGCCUUUGAACUAAUUGGUACUGUGAUGUGUUCAUUUAACUACUUGGUUUGCAGCCAAUGUCAGUUACUUUGUUCACUUUUAUACAUAGUUGUCUUAAUGUAUCAUUUCACCUUACAUGGUUCAAAAGAGAUGAAGGAUAUUCUUUUGGUCUUGAUCAGUAUUCUAGUUGUUAUGUUUACGUGCGCACACAAUGAUAAAAUAGCAUGUUUGUUUUAUAUCUGUUUGCCCAUGAUAUAAAUGAUGUCAUACUAUGUUCAUCCUACUUUAAACCAUGUCUCUUUAUCCUUAGAUGUCAACGAAUGUGAGGAAAUAGACAAUACAGUAGGCAUGCUACAUGGACAUAUGUUCCGAAAGUGAUUUUAUUAUGUAGUUGGCACUACAAUACAUGCUAAUGUAUUACAGUAGUUCACCAAAAUAAGUUAUGUAUAAACGUGUAACCUACUUUUUUUGUUUUUGUCUCAUUAGUAACUUAUCUGGUGCACUAAUCUACAAGUUCAAACUUUCAGGAAGCUAUGGAAAAAAUGAUUGAACAACCACAAUCACCUGAAGGUGACGAGGCUACCACAGGCACAAUGUCAACUCUUGAUGCAGUGCAUUAGUAUCUCUCCUCUAACAGUGCAAAAAACACCUUCCUGUGUAAUUCUGGGUUGGUUGUCAAGGUAACCUCGUCCGAAUUUCCUACUGAACAAAAUCUUCCUGCCAGACAGAGUGAUAUAUCUGUGCUCCAGACACAAGUCCAAUCCCUAAUGGACGUCGUUUUGGAAACAAGAAUAGUGGUUGACAAAUGUCAUCAAGAUAUGAAUGGUUUUGAAACCAGACUAUCAGACAUUCGCUUCGUUGUUCAAGAGCAAUGGCGAAAAAAAGGUGAAGAUCGUGCUGCUCCAUCAGAUUCUACAGCCUGAAACAUUAGCACUCAGGUCAAAUGAUCUGUGCUUCUAUACAUCUGAUGGUGCUUUUAUCUGCAAGGACUGUAAACUUUAUGCCAACAGUGCUUUUGUUGUGAUACAACAUUUAUGCUGCUGCCAAAGGCUGCAAUAAUUACGAUGCUAUUUUUGUAUAGUGUAGGUUUAUCUUAGUAAUGUAUUCGGCCGAAAGCUUCGUAGGAGCCCAACAUGCCAACAUUCGUCGGGCCCAUUCCAAUUGGGCUAAAAACGAUUAUGGGCCGAAAUUUGCAUGUAGCCCACUAAAAAUAUCUGGGCCUAAAUCAGCAUAAGAUUUCAUAUUUUUCUGGUAGGCCCGUGCCCAUAGUGGACCUUUAACAGGCCUAACAUAAUUUGGGCCCUCAGUAACAAUAGGCUGUUUACAGGUGUAAAUAUCUCGAGCCCAUAAAAAACAUGGGCCUUUAAAAGACCGAAAGUGAGAUUGGGCCCAUUUACGAUGCGGAUCUUUCACAGGCCGAAAUUCGGACGGGCCGUAAAUGCGCCGACCUAAUACACGGGCCUUUAACAGGCCGGAAGUUCGGUCGGGCUAGAUUAUCGUCAUUUCUAUAUGGGCCGUUAAUGGGCCCGAUGUGACGUUGGGCCACAUAUGGCCCAUGGAUUUCGUCCGACGUUAACAGGCCGAAAAUCACAACAUGCCGAAAGUGGCCCAAGUUUAUGGCGGGCCGCUAACAGGCCGAAUGUGAGACAUGGCCGAAUAUGACCCAAAUCCUUCACGGUUGUUUAUGGGCCGAAAGUUUCAAUGGCAUGUAAAUGGGCCCAAAUGAAGCAGGACCUUUAACAGGGCGGAAAUACACCGGGUCGUAAUUCGGCCCAUAUACUUAGCGGACUGUUAACGGGCCAGAAGUGAUCAUGGGCCGCGAUGAUGACAAGUUUAGGACAGGCCGUUGACGGGCCGAUUUGACACUAGCCGUACGGGCCUUAACUGAGAAUGUUGGGCCUUUAUUUGGGCCGGCCCAUUAUGGUCCGCAAAAUCUCACGCGCCUUUAGCUGGGCUGGCCCAUUAUGGCCCGCAAAAUCUCGUGGGCCUUUAGCCGGGCCGGCCCAUUAUGAUACGAAAAAUCUCGUGGGCCUUUUGCUGGGCUGGCCCAUUGUGGACCGCAAAAUCUUGUGAGCCUUUAGUUGGGCCGACCCAUUUAAACUUUAUGGGCCACUUUUGGGCCGGUCCACGUGUCAGCAUAUCAUAGGCGCAUCUCGCCCGUUGGACGAGUGAGACCUGUGCCAACGCAGAGCUGAGACGUGUUUCCCUCAGCCAAUCAGAAUUUUACACGUGGAAAAUCCCCAUUGGUCCUGGCUGUUAACGGGUUAUCGGAUCCAAAACCUGACCCGAUAGCUUAACGGCGUUCCGUUACGGUGGAUGCCACGUGACGGUCACCCUUGACGAAAGCACUUCUGUGACGCGCGAUUUAUCGUCAUGGAAGUGGACACUUCCGUGAUGAUAAUUUUGUUAAUGUCAUGGAACACUUCUACGACAGCACAGGUAUGACUAUCUUGAUUCUGUCAUAAAUUUGUCAUGGAUGUGUCAUCACGUAUCAUCACGUACUAUGACAAACACGUAUCAUCACGGAAGUGUCUUUUUUUGUAGUGAUAUUGGCCAAGUCAAAUGCAUCAAGGACGGAGCAGGCCAACUCUUGGUGAAGGACGAGGAGAUUAAGCAUAGAUGGCGGGAGUACUUCGACAAGUUGUUCAAUGGGGAGAAUGAGAGUUCUACCAUUGAACUGGACGACUCCUUUGAUGAGACCAGCAUGCGUUUUGUGCGGCGAAUCCAGGAGUCUGAGAUCAAGGAGGCUUUAAAAAGGAUGAAAGGAGGCAAGGCGAUGGGCCCUGAUUGUAUCCCCAUUGAGGUGUGGAAAGGUCUCGGGGACAUAGCGAUAGUAUGGCUAACCAAGCUUUUCAACCUCAUUUUUCGGGCAAACAAGAUGCCAGAAGAAUGGAGACGGAGUAUAUUAGUACCAAUCUUCAAGAACAAGGGGGAUGUUCAGAGUUGUACUAAUUACCGUGGAAUUAAGCUGAUGAGCCAUACAAUGAAGCUAUGGGAGAGAGUCAUCGAGCACCGCUUAAGAAGAAUGACAAGCGUGACCAAAAAUCAGUUUGGUUUCAUGCCUGGGAGGUCGACCAUGGAAGCCAUUUUCUUGGUACGACAACUAAUGGAGAGAUAUAGGGAGCAAAAGAAGGACUUGCAUAUGGUGUUCAUUGACUUGGAAAAGGCCUAUGAUAAGAUACCGCGGAAUGUCAUGUGGUGGGCCUUGGAGAAACACAAAGUCCCAGCAAAGUACAUUACCCUCAUCAAGGACAUGUACGAUAAUGUUGUGACAAGUGUUCGAACAAGUGAUGUCGACACUGAUGACUUCCCGAUUAAGAUAGGACUGCAUCAGGGGUCAGCUUUGAGCCCUUAUCUUUUUGCAUUGGUGAUGGAUGAGGUCACAAGGGAUAUACAAGGAGAUAUCCCAUGGUGUAUGCUCUUUGCGGAUGAUGUCGUGCUAGUUGACGAUAGUCGGACGGGGGUAAAUAGGAAGUUAGAGUUAUGGAGACAAACCUUGGAAUCGAAAGGGUUUAGGCUUAGUAGAACUAAAACCGAGUACAUGAUGUGCGGUUUCAGUACUACUAGGUGUGAGGAGGAGGAGGAGGUUAGCCUUGAUGGCCAGGUCGUACCUCAGAAGGACACCUUUCGGUAUUUGGGGUCAAUGCUGCAGGAGGAUGGGGGUAUUGAUGAAGAUGUGAACCAUCGAAUCAAGGCCGGAUGGAUGAAGUGGCGCCAAGCUUCUGGCAUUCUCUGUGACAAGAGAGUGCCACAAAAGUUAAAAGGCAAGUUCUAUAGGACGGCGGUUCGACCCGCAAUGUUGUAUGGCGCUGAGUGUUGGCCGACUAAAAGGCGACAUGUUCAACAGUUAGGUGUGGCGGAGAUGCGUAUGCUGAGAUGGAUGUGUGGCCACACGAGGAAGGAUCGAGUUCGGAAUGAUGAUAUACGAGAUAGAGUUGGGGUAGCACCAAUUGAAGAGAAGCUUGUCCAACAUCGUCUGAAAUGGUUUGGUCAUAUUCAGCGCAGGCCUCCAGAAGCUCCAGUGCAUAGUGGACGGCUAAAGCGUGCGGAGAAUAUCAAGAGAGGACGAGGUAGACCGAAUUUGACAUGGGAGGAGUCCGUUAAGAGAGACCUGAAGGAUUGGAGUAUCACCAAAGAGCUAGCUAUGGACAGGGGUGCGUGGAAGCUUGCUAUCCAUGUGCCAAAGCCAUGAGUUGGUUGCGAGAUCUUAUGGGUUUCACCUCUAGCCUACCCCAACUUGUUUGGGACUAAAGGCUUUGUCGUUGUUGUUGUUGUAUAAGUUUAUGCGUGAGGUGCGCUCCAAGGAUGGAAUCUGGAGCUAGAUCGUGGAAAUCGAGCCCGUAAUAGAACAUAAGCCCUCUAACAAAGGGAUCAAGACUAAAGCCUAGCCCUCGGAGGAAGUGGGAAACAAAUACGACACUCUCGUUGGGUUCGGGAGUGGGGAUGACCUGCCCUUGAGCAGGCAGCCUGUGCGAGAUUUCAGCGGUCAGAUACCUGGCUUCUCUUAGCUUCUUGAUGUCCUCCUCUGUGACAGAGGAGGCCAUCCACCGGCCUUGAAGGCUGGAUCCGGACAUGAUUGAAGGUCUGAAGCACUUAGCAUGAGCCUUCGGUGUUGGAACUCGAGGUGGGGGAAGGGAUGGAUCGAGCGCGAGAAGAAAAGGACAGGCCUUGGGCCCUUUAUAAAGAGGGCGAAUAUCAAGCGUCCUCCGCAUGGCCGUUUGGAACUUGCCUAAAAUCGAGGAGUCAUACCAACAAGCACAAUUGGGUUACCCACACCCGUAUUGAUGAGAAUCCCGUGAUAAGGGGAACACGAUCUCUACUUCGACAAAACGUGCCAAUAAAACUGCCUCGCAACACGUGAAGUGGCAGGCUGGGAAAAACGGUUCGUAAUGACCAGACCACGGCAGGAUGUCAUGUUAUGAAAAGUUAUCAGCAGAUCAGAUUUGUGGAAUAAUAUACUCUCUACGGUGGUAUGUGGAAUUUGUUUUGCAGAGCCGGACACGAUCCUUGUGUUCAAAAUCUUCUAUGGAGUAUUCGGAGGAGGAACCCACCUUGCAAUGCCGAAGACAAUCUGCACGCCGGACUCAUCGUCAUUGAAGCCUGGUUCAGGGGCUACUGAGGGAGUCCUGGAUUAGGGGGUCCUCGGACAGCCGGACUAUAUACUUUGGCCGGACUAUUGGACUAUGAAGAUACAAGAUUGAAGACUUCGUCCCGUGUCCGGGUGGGACUCUCCUUUGCGUGGAAGGCAAGCUUGGCAAUUCGGAUAUGUAGAUCUCCUCCCUUGUAACCGACUCUGUGUAACCCUAGCCCCCUCCGGUGUCUAUAUAAACCGGAGGGUUUAGUCCGUAGGACAACAACAAUCAUAAUCAUAGGCUAGCUUCUAGGGUUUAGCCUCUACGAUCUCGUGGUAGAUCAACUCUUGUAAUACUCAUAUCAUCAAGAUCAAUCAAGCAGGAAGUAGGGUAUUACCUCCAUCGAGAGGGCCCAAACCUAGGUAAACAUUGUGUCCCCCGCCUCCUGUUACCAUCCGCCUUAGACGCACAGUUCGGGACCCCCUACCUGAGAUCCGCCGGUUUUGACACCGACAGUAGCCCCUCAAUCAACACCGAGUGAAGUCCUCCAGACUACGGCUCCACCUUCAACAUGACUCCAUGGCAGAUGAUCAGUCCACCCCCGUGCCUCAUCGACUUCAAGCUCCGUGUAUACACCACCUUGAAUCAAUCCCGCGCAAUAGUCUUGUCGAAGCCACACAAGCCCUCAGGCCUACGUCACGUGUUUACACGCCCCAGAAGUUGGUCACCAUCAGCAUCACGCUCCUAUGUCGUCGUCACUGAUCCCACCAUCGUCUUCUGUACCAAUCGACUUACGUCAAACCGUCAGACUGUCCAGUCCGACCCAGCUUCCAGAUCAUCUUCCGCGAAUUUCCAUCCAUCACAUGAUAAUUCCAUCUUAGCUGACAUGACUUCCCGCAACGCCUUGAAGCAUCUCCAUUGUGCCAACAAAUCUUUCGUUUUUGUCUGCCAUAACCCAAGGUUUUCAGUUCCGUGAACUUCUCCACCUCAAACUUGAUACCCAUUGGUACCAUGGUUCUUUAUACGGCUGAUCCUGCAAAAAACUAACCAAGCUGCUACCACAUGCGAUGCCAUGCAGUCCGUGUAUGUCUAAUAAUAUCCCAAAGUCCAGCACCCUUCCCGCGUGCAAGUAGCAAAAUACCAGGUUGAAAAUUGACCAAACUUGCUACUCACGGGAGCUACUCUACUCCUUGAUGCUUAGCCAGAACCUCUCGUACUGCGGCCUGGCUAUUCUGCUGCAGCCACGCGCACGACCCGAUGCAAACUGUUGUUGUCGCCCCUGCUCCCUGAUGGAUGCGUACGAGUGUACCAUGAGAGCAUCUCCAGCCGUUGGCCCCCCAAGACGCAUAAAAAUUGCCGCCUGGGGGCGAGCCGGCGGCAGAAUCGGCGCUGGGGGCGGUUGGGCAUCCAGUCGUAGCCCCCAGGUCGCCUCCAGGCGCCGAUAUCGAGCCAUUCGUGGCCGCUUUUCGGUCCAGAUAAAUAGAAAAUGGCCCGAUAUCGGCGAGAAACGGCACAUAUUCGGCGUGGUUCGGCGUUGAAUUCUCAACAUAAGUAAUUUUUUAUCACAUAGUUCAUCACAGUAAAUCAAAUAGUUCAACAGAAUAGUGCAACAACAAAUAGUUCAAUACAAAUUAUAUAUUUCAACAAAUAAAAACUCAUAUUUCAUCACACGUCGAGCCCGGCGUCGCCCUUGAUCCUCCAUAGGUGCUCCACCAGAUCCUGCUGCAGUUGAUGAUGCACCUGUGGUUCUCGGAUCUCCUGACGCAUACUGAGGUAGGCAGUCCAGGUUGCCGGUAGCUGGUGAUCAACUUCGGCUAGAGGACCCUGCCUGUAGUAUGGUUCAGUGUCAAACACUGGCUCUUCCUGCUCGCUCUCGAUGAUCAUGUUGUGCAAGAUGACACAACAAGUCAUGAUCUCCCACAUUUGAUCUUUUGACCAGGUCUGAGUAGGAUACCGGACAAUAGCAAAUCGAGAUUGGAGCACACCAAAUGCCCGCUCGACAUCCUUCCUGCAAGCCUCCUGCACCUUGGCAAAGUGGGACUUCUCGCCUCCUGGCACAAUGUUUGAGAUAGUCUUCACAAAUGUAGACCAUCUCGGAUAGAUGCCCUCAGCUAGUUAGUACCCCUUGUUGUAGUGCCGCCCAUUGACCUCGAAGUUCACCAAAGGAGAAUGACUUUCAACAAGCUUGGCAAAGACAGGGGAGCACUGCAGCACGUUGAUGUCAUUGUGAGUUCCUGCCAUACCAAAGAAGUGAAGGAAAUAUGCCCUAGAGGCAAUAACAAAGUUGUUAUUUAUAUUUACUCAUAUCAUGAUAAAUAUUUAUUAUUCAUGCUAGAAUUGUAUUUGAAGGAAAUAUGCCCUAGAGGCAAUAAUAAAGUAUUAUUUAUUUCCUUAUAUCAUGAUAAAUGUUUAUUAUUCAUGCUAGAAUUGUAUUAACCGGAAACAUAAUACAUGUGUGAAUACAUAGACAAACAGUGUGUCACUAGUAUGCCUCUACUUGACUAGCUCGUUAAUCAAAGAUGGUUAUGUUUCCUAGCCAUAGACAUGAGUUGUCAUUUGAUUAACGAGAUGACCUCAUUAGGAGAAUGACGUGAUUGACUUGACCCAUUCCGUUAGCUUAGCACCCGAUCGUUUAGUAUGUUGCUAUUGCUUUCUUCAUGACUUCUACAUGUUCCUAUGACUAUGAGAUUAUGCAACUCCCAUUUACCAGAGGAACACUUUGUGUGCUAUCAAACGUCACAACGUAAAUGGGUGAUUAUAAGGGUGCUCUACAGGUGUCUCCAAAGGUACUUGUUGGGUUGGCGUAUUUCGAGAUUAGGAUUUGUCACUCCGAUUGUCGGAGAGGUAUCUCUGGGCCCACUCGGUAAUGCACAUCACUAUAAGCCUUGCAAGCAUUGUGACUAAUGAGUUAGUUGCGGGAUGAUGUAUUACGGAACGAGUAAAGAGACUUGCCAGUAACGAGAUUGAACUAGGUAUCGAGAUACCGACGAUCGAAUCUCGGGCAAGUAACAUACCGAUGACAAAGGGAACAACGUAUGUUGUUAUGCGGUUUGACCGAUAAAGAUCUUCGUAGAAUAUGUGGGAGCCAAUAUGAGCAUCCAGGUUCCGCUAAUGGUUAUUGACCGGAGAGGUGUCUCGGUCAUGUCUACAUAGUUCUCGAACCCGUAGGGUCCGCACGCUUAACGUUACGAUGACAGUUUUAUUAUGAGUUUAUGUAUGUUGAUGUACCGAAGGAGUUCGGAGUCCCGGAUGAGAUCGGGGACAUGACGAGGAGUCUCGAAAUGGCCGAGACGUAAAGAUCGAUAUAUUGGACGACUAUAUUCGGACUUCGGAAAGGUUCCGAGUGAUUCGGGUAUUUUUCGGAGUACCGGAGAGUUACGGGAAUUCGCAUUGGGCCUUAAUGGGCCAUACGGGAAAGGAGAGAAAGACCCCAAAGGGUGGCCGCACCCCUCCCCAUGGGCUAGUCCGAAUUGGACUAGGGAGGGGGGGCGCCCCCUUCCUUCUUUCUCCUUCCCCCUUCCCUUCUCCUACUCCCACAAGGAAAGGAGGAGUCCUACUCCCGGUGGGAGUAGGACUCCCCCCUUGGGCGCGCCACCUCCCCUUGGCCGGCCCUCCCCUCCUUGCUCCUUUAUAUACGGGGGCAGGGGGCACCUCUAGACACAUUUGAUAUACGAUAUUUUAGCCGUGUGCGGUGCCCCCCUCCACCAUAUUACACCUCGAUAAUACCGUUGCGGAGCUUAGGCGAAGCCCUGCGUCGGUGGAACAUCAUCAUCGUCACCACGCCGUCGUGCUGACGAAACUCUCCCUCAACACUCGGCUGGAUCGGAUUUCGAGGGACGUCAUCGAGCUGAACGUGUGCUGAACUCGGAGGUGCCGUGCGUUUGGUACUUGAUCGGUCGGAUCGUGAAGGCGUACGACUACAUCAACCGCGUUGUGAUAACGCUUCCGCUGUCGGUCUACGAGGGUACGUGGACAACACUCUCCCCUCUCGUUGCUAUGCAUCACCAUGAUCUUGCGUGUGCGUAGGAAAUUUUUUGAAAUUACUACGUUCCCCAUCAGUAUUAACCGGAAACUUAGUACAUGUGUGAAUACAUAGACAAAACAGACCGGCAUGUUAUACUUUGGUUCAGCGGUAUUGUGAGAUGAAGCGGCCCGGACCGACAUUACGCGUACGCUUACGCGAGACUGGUUUCACCGUUGGGAGCACUCGUUGCUUAAAGGUGACUGGCGGGUGUCUGUCUCUCUCACUUUAGUUGAACCGAGUGUGGCUACGCCCGGUCCUUGCGAUGGUUAAAACAGCACCAACUUGACAAACUAUCGUUGUGGUUUUGAUGCGUAGGUAAGAACGGUUCUUGCUAAGCCCGUAGCAGCCACGUAAAACUUGCAACAACAAAGUAGAGGACGUCUAACUUGUUUUUGCAGGGCAUGUUGUGAUGUGAUAUGGUGAAGACAUGAUGCUAUAUUUUAUUGUAUGAGAUGAUCAUGUUUUGUAACCGAGUUAUCGGCAACUGGCAGGAGCCAUAUGGUUGUCGCCUUAUUGUAUGCAAUGCAAUCGCCAUGUAAUUGUUUUACUUUAUCACUAAGCGGUAGCGAUAGUCGUAAAAGCAAUAAGUUGGCGAGACGACAACGAUACUACGAUGGAGAUCAAGGUGUCGCGCCGGUGACGAUGGUGAUCAUGACGGUGCUUCGGAGAUGGAGAUCACGAGCACGGUGCUUCGGAGAUGGGGAUCACAAGCACAAGAUGAUGAUGGCCAUAUCAUAUCACUUAUAUUGAUUGCAUGUGAUGUUAAUCUUUUAUGCAUCUUAUCUUGCUUUGAUUGACGGUAGCAUUAUAAGAUGAUCUCUCACUAAAAUUUCAAGAUAAAAGUGUUCUCCCUGAGUAUGCACCGUUGCAAAAGUUCUUCGUGCUGAGACACCACGUGAUGAUCGGGUGUGAUAGGCUCUACGUUCAAAUACAACGGGUGCAAAACAGUUGCACACGCAGAAUACUCAGGUUAAACUUGACUAGCCUAGCAUAUGCAGAUAUGGCCUCGGAACAUGGAGACCGAAAGGUCGAGCGUGAAUCAUAUCGUAGAUAUGAUCAACAUGGUGAUGUUCACCAUUGAAACUACUCCAUCUCACGUGAUGAUCGGACAUGGUUUAGUUGAUAUGGAUCACGUGAUCACUUAGAGGAUUAGAGGGAUGUCUAUCUAAGUGGGAGUUCUUAAGUAAUAUGAUUAAUUGAACUUAAAUUUAUCAUGAACUUAGUCAUGAUAGUAUUUUGCAAAUUAUGUUAUAGAUCAAUAGCUCGCGUUGUUGCUUCCCUGUGUUUAUUUUUGAUAUGUUCCUAGAGAAAAAAUUAUGUUGAAAGAUGUUAGUAGCAAAGAUGCGGAUUGGAUCCGUGAUCUGAGGAUUAUCCUCAUUGCUGCACAGAAAAAUUAUGUCCUUGAUGCACCGCUAGGUGACAGACCUAUUGCAGGAGCAGAUUCAGACGUUAUGAACGUUUGGCUAGCUCAAUAUGAUGACUACUUGAUAGUUUAGUGCACCAUGCUUAAUGGCUUAGAAUCAGGACUUCAAAGACGUUUUGAACGUCAUGGACCAUAUGAGAUGUUCCAGGAGUUGAAGUUAAUAUUUCAAGCAAAUACCCGAGUUGAGAGAUAUGAAGUCUCCAACAAGUUCUAUAGCUAAAAGAUGGAGGAGAAUCGCUCAACUAGUCAGCAUGUGCUCAGAUUGUCUGGGUACUACAAUCGCUUGAAUCAAGUGGGAGUUAAUCUUCCAGAUAAAAUAGUGAUUGACAGAAUUCUCUAGUCACCAUCACCAAGUUAGUAGAACUUCGUGAUGAACUAUAGUAUGUAAGGGAUGACGAAAGUAAUUCCCGAGCUCUUCGCGAUGCUGAAAUCGACGAAGGUAGAAAUCAAGAAAGAGCAUCAAGUGUUGAUGGUUAACAAGACCACUAGUUUCAAGAAAAAGGCAAAGGGAUAGAAGGGGAACUUCAAGAAGAACGGCAAGCAAGUUGCUGCUCAAGUGAAGAAGCCUAAGUCUGGUCCUAAGCCUGAGACUAAGUGCUUCUACUGCAAAGGGACUGGUCACUGGAAGCGGAACUACCCCAACUAUUUGGUGGAUAAGAAGGAUGGCAAAGUGAACAAAGGUAUAUUGGAUAUACAUGUUAUUGAUGUGUACUUUACUAGUGUUUAUAGCAACCCCUCGGUAUUUGAUACUGGUUCAGUUGCUAAGUGUAGUAACUCGAAACGGGAGUUGCAUAAUAAACAGAGACUAGUAAAAGGAGAGGUGAUGAUGUGUGUUGGAAGUAGUUCCAAGAUUGAUAUGAUCAUCAUCGCACACUCCCUAUACUUUCGGGAUUAGUGUUGAAACUAAAUAAGUGUUAUUUGGUGUUUGCGUUGAGCAUGAAUAUGAUUUGAUCAUGUUUAUUGCAAUACGGUUAUUCAUUUAAGUUAGAGAACAAUUGUUGUUCUGUUUACAUGAAUAAAAACCUUCUAUGGUCAUACACACCAACGAAAAUGGUUUGUUGGAUCUCGAUCGUAGUGAUACACAUAAUCAUAAUAUUGAAGCCAAAAGAUGCAAAGUUAAUAAUGAUAGUGCAAAUUAUUUGUGGCACUGCCGUUUAGGUCAUAUUGGUGUAAAGCGCAUGAAGAAACUCCAUACUGAUGGGAUUUUGGAAUCACUUGAUUAUGAAUCACUUGAUACUUGCGAACCGUGCCUCAUGGGCAAGAUGACUAAAACGCCGUUCUCCGGAACUAUGGAGAGAGCAACAAAUUUGUUGGAAGUCAUACAUAUAGAUGUAUGUGGUCCAAUGAAUAUUGAGGCUCGUGGCGGAUAUCGUUAUUUUCUCACCUUCACAGAUGAUUUGAGCAGAUAUGGGUAUAUCUACUUAAUGAAAUAUAAGUCUGAAACAUUUGAAAAGUUCAUAUAAUUUCAGAGUGAAGUGGAAAAUCAUCGUAACAAGAAAAAUGAAGUUUCUACGAUCUGAUCGUAGAGAAGAGUAUUUGAGUUACGAGUUUGGCCUUCAGUUAAAACAAUGUGAAAUAGUUUCACUACUCACGCCACCUGGAACACCACGGUAUAAUGGUGUGUCCGAACGUCGUAAUCGUACUUUAUUAGAUAUGGUGCGAUAUAUGAUGUAUCUUACCGAUCUACCACUAUCAUUUUGGGGUUAUGCAUUAGAGACAGCUGCAUUCACGUUAAAUAGGGCACCAUCAAAAUCCGUUGAGACCACGCCUUAUGAACUGAGGUUUAGCAAGAAACCAAAGUUGUCGUUUCUUAAAAUUUUGGGGUUGCGAUGCUUAUGUGAAAAAGUUUCAUCCAGAAAAGCUCAAACCCAAAUCGGAGAAAUGUGUCUUCAUAGGAUACCCAAAGGAGAUAGUUGGGUACACCUUCUAUCACAGAUCCGAAGGCAAGACAUUCGUUGCUAAAAAUGGAUCCUUUCUAGAGAAGGAGUUUCUCUCGAAAGAAGUGAGUGGGACGAAAGUAGAACUUGAUGAGGUAACUGUACCUGCUCCCUUAUUGGAAAGUAGUUCAUCACAGAAAUCUGUUCCUGUGACUCCUACACCAAUUAGUGAGGAAGUUAAUGAUGAUGAUCAUGUAACUUCAGAUCAAGUUACUACCAAACCUCGUAGGUAAACCAGAGUGAGAUCCACACCAGAGUGGUACGGUAAUCAUGUUCUGGAGGUCAUGUUAUUUGACCAUGACGAACCUACGAACUAUGAGGAAGCGAUGAUGAGCCCAGAUUCCGGGAAAUGGCUUGAGGCCAUGAAAUCUGAGAUGAGAUCCAUGUAUGAAGAACAAAGUAUGAACUUUGGUUGACUCGCCCGAUGAUCGGCGAGCCAUUGAGAUUAAAUGGAUCUUUAAGAGGAAGACAGACGCUGAUAGUAGUGUUACUAUCUACAAAGCUAGAAUUGUCGCAAAAGGUUUUCGACAAGUUCAAGGUGUUGACUACGAUGAGAGAGUUUCUCACUCGUAUCUAUGCUUAAAGUCUGUCUGAAUCAUGUUAGCAAUUGCCGCAUUUUAUGAAAUCUGGCAAAUGGAUAAACAAAACUACAUUCCUUAAUGGAUUUAUUAAAGAAGAGUUGUAUAUGAUGCAACCAGGAGGUUUUGUCAAUUCUAAAAGUGCUAACAAAAUAUGCAAGCUCCAGCGAUCCAUCUAUGGACUGGUGCAAGCAUCUCGGAGUUGGAAUAUACGCUUUGAUAAGUUGAUCAAAGGAUAUAGUUUUAUACAGACUUGCGGUGAAGCCUCUAUUUACAAGAAAGUGAGUGGGAGCACUACAGCAUUUCUGAUAAGUAUAUGUGAAUGACAUAUUGUUAAUCAGAAAUAAUGUAGAAUUAUUCUGCAAAGCAUAAAGGAGUGUUUGAAAGGAGUUUUUCAAAGAUAGACCUCGGUAAAGCUGCUUACAUAUUGAGCAUCAAGAUCUAUAGACAUAGAUCAAGACGCUUGAUAAGGUUUUUCAAUGAGUACAUACCUUGACAAGAUUUUGAAGUAGUUCAAGAUGGAACAGUCAAAGAAAGAAUUCUUGCCUGUGUUACAAGGUAUGAUAUUGAGUAAGACUCAAAGCCCGACCACGGCAGAAGAUAGAAAGAGAAUGAAAGUCAUUCCCUAUGCCUCAGCCAUAGUUUCUAUAAAGUAUGCCAUGCUAUGUACCAGAUCUAUUGUAUACCCUACACUGAUUUUGGCAGGGGAGUACAAUAAUGAUCUAGGAGUAGAUCACUCGACAGCGGUCAAAAUUAUCCUUAGUGGAAUAUGGAUAUGUUUCUCGAUUAUGGAAGUGACAAAAGGUUCGUCGUAAAGGGUUAUGUCGAUGCAAGUUUUGACACUAAUCUAGAUGACUCUUAAGUCUCAGUCUAGAUACAUAUUGAAAGUGGGAGCAAUUAGCUAAAGUAGCUCCGUGCAGAGCAUUGUAGACAUAGAAAUUUGCAAAAUACUUACGGAUCUGAAUGUGACAGACCCGUUGACUAAAAUUAUCUCACAAGCAAAAUAUGAUCACACCUUAGUACUCUUUGGGUGUUAAUCACAUAGCGAUGUGAACUAGAUUAUUGACUCUAGUAAACCCUUUGGGUGUUGGUCACAUGACGAUGUGAACUAUGGGUGUUAAUCACAUGGUGAUGUGAACUAUUGAUGUUAAAUCACAUGGCGAUGUGCUCUAGAUUAUUGACUCUAGUGCAAGUGGGAGACUAAAGGAAAUAUGCCCUAGAGGCAAUAAUAAAGUUAUUAUUUAUUUCCUUAUAUCAUGAUAAAUGUUUAUUAUUCAUGCUAGAAUUGUAUUAACUGGAAAUAUGAUACAUGUGUGAAUACAUAGACAAACAGAGUGUCACUAGUAUGCCUCUACUUGACAAGCUCGUUGAUCAAAGAUGGUUAUGUUUCCUAGCCAUAGACAUGAGUUGUCAUUUGAUUAACGGGAUCACAUCAUUAGGAGAAUGAUGUGAUUGACUUGACCCAUUCCGUUAGCUUAGCACACGAUCGUUUAGUAUGUUGCUAAUGCUUUCUUCAUGACUUAUACAUGUUCCUAUGACUAUGAGAUUAUGCAACUCCCGUUUACCGGAGGAACACUUUUUGUGCUAUCAAACGUCACAACGUAAAUGGGUGAUUAUAAAGGUGCUCUACAGGUGUCUCCAAAGGUACUUGUUGGGUUGGCGUAUUUCGAGAUUAGGAUUUGUCACUCCGAUUGUCGGAGAGGUAUCUCUGGGCCCACUCGGUAAUGCACAUCACUAUAAGCCUUGCAAGCAUUGUGACUAAUGAGUUAGUUGCGGGAUGAUGUAUUACGGAACGAGUAAAGAGACUUGCCAGUAACGAGAUUGAACUAGGUAUCGAGAUACCGACGAUCGAAUCUCGGGCAAGUAACAUACCGAUGACAAAGGGAACAACGUAUGUUGUUAUGCGGUUUGACCGAUAAAGAUCUUCGUAGAAUAUGUGGGAGCCAAUAUGAGCAUCCAGGUUCCGCUAUUGGUUAUUGACCGGAGACGUGUCUCGGUCAUGUCUACAUAGUUCUCGAACCCGUAGGGUCCGCACGCUUAACGUUACGAUGACAGUUUUAUUAUGAGUUUAUGUAUGUUGAUGUACCGAAGGAGUUCGGAGUCCCGGAUGAGAUCGGAGACAUGACGAGGAGCCUCGAAAUGGCCGAGACGUAAAGAUCGAUAUAUUGGACGACUAUAUUCGGACUUCGGAAAGGUUCCGAGUGAUUCGGGUAUUUUUCGGAGUACCGAAGAGUUACGGGAAUUCGUAUUGGGCCUUAAUGGGCCAUACGGGAAAGGAGAGAAAGACCCCAAAGGGUGGCCGCACCCCUCCCCAUGGGCUAGUCCGAAUUGGACUAGGGAGGGGGGCGCCCCCUUCCUUCUUUCUCCUUCCCCCUUCCCUUCUCCUACUCCCACAAGGAAAGGAGGAGUCCUAUUCCCGGUGGGAGUAGGACUCCCCCCUUGGGCGCGUCACCUCCCCUUGGCCGGCCCUCUCCUCCUUGCUCCUUUAUAUACGGGGGCAGGGGGGCACCUCUAGACACAUUUGAUAUACGAUAUUUUAGCCGUGUGCGGUGCCCCCCUCCACCAUAUUACACCUCGAUAAUACCGUUGCGGAGCUUAGGCGAAGCCCUGCGUCGGUGGAACAUCAUCAUCGUCACCACGCCGUCGUGCUGACGAAACUCUCCCUCAACACUCGGCUAGAUCGGAGUUCGAGGGACGUCAUCGAGCUGAACGUGUGCUGAACUCGGAGGUGCCGUGCGUUCGGUACUUGAUCGGUCGGAUCGUGAAGGCGUACGACUACAUCAACUGCAUUGUGAUAACGCUUCCGCUGUCGGUCUACGAGGGUACGUGGACAACACUCUCCCCUCUUGUUGCUAUGCAUCACCAUGAUCUUGCGUGUGCGUAGGAAAUUUUUUGAAAUUACUACAUUCCCCAUCAGUAUUAACCAGAAACUUAGUACAUGUGUGAAUACAUAGACAAAACAGUGUCCCUAGUAUGCCUCUACUUGACUAGCUCGUUAAUCAAAGAUGGUUAUGUUUUCUGACCAUAGACAUGUGUUGUCAUUUGAUGAACGGGAUCACAUCAUUAGAGAAUGAUGUGAUGGACAAGACCCAUCCGUUAGCAUAGCAUAAUGAUUGUUUAGUUUUAUUGCUAUUGCUUUCAUCAUGACUUAUACAUGUUCCUCUGACUAUGAGAUUAUGCAACUCCCGAAUACCAGAGGAACACCUUGUGUGCUAUCAAACAUCACAACGUAACUGGGUGAUUAUAAAGAUGCUCUACAGAUGUCUCUGAAGGUGUUUGUUGGGUUGGCAUAGAUCGAGAUUAGGAUUUGUCACUCUGUGUAUCGGAGAGGUAUCUCUGGGCCCUCUCGGCAAUGCACAUCACUAUAAGCCUUGCAAGCAAUGUGACUAAUGAGUUAGUCAUGGGAUGAUGCAUUACGGAACGAGUAAAGAGACUUGCCGGUAAUGAGAUUGAACUAGGUAUGAUGAUACCGACGAUCGAAUCUUAGGCAAGUAACAUACCGAUGACAAAGGGAACAACGUAUGUUGUUAUGCGGUUUGACCGAUAAAGAUCUUCGUAGAAUAUGUAGGAGCCAAUAUGAGCAUCCAGGUUCCGCUACUGGUUAUUGACCGGAGAUGUGUCUCGGUCAUGUCUACAUAGUUCUCGAACCCGUAGGGUCCGCACGCUUAACGUUCGAUGACGAUUUGUACUAUGAGUUAUGUGAUUUGAUGACCGAAGUUUGUUUGGAGUCCCGGAUGAGAUCACGGACAUGACGAGGAGUCUCAAAAUGGUCGAGAUGUAAAGAUUCAUAUAUAGGACGAUGGUAUUGGGACACCGGAAGUGUUCUGGGUGAUACCAGGUCACCAGAAGGGGUUCCGGGCAACCUCCGGCAAAGAUAUGGGCUUAACGCAUGGGCCAUGUAGUAAGGGAACACACCAGCCCACAAGGGGCUGGUGCGCCCCCUAUAGGGCCAGCCACGUGGGGAGAAAGGGAAAGGAGAGGAGGAAAAGGAAAGUAUGAAGUAGGACUCCUACUUCCUUUCCCUCCCCCCUCCUUCCUUUCCCCUUGUCCAAAUAUGGUAGGGGGGCAAAUUGGACUAGGGGCCCAAGUAGGAUUCCUCCUACUUGGGCGCUCCCUAUGCAGCCUCCCUCCCUCUUCCUCCUUUAUAUACAUGGGGAGGGCACCCCUAGAACAUACAUCAAUUGUUCCUAGCCGUGUGCGGCGCCCCCCUCCCCAGUUAACACCUCGGUCAUAUCGUCGUAGUGCUUAGACGAAGCCUUGCACCGGUAAUUUCAUCAUCACCGUCGCCACGCCGUUGUUCUGACAAAACUCUCCCUCGUCCUCAACUGGAUCAAGAGCUCGAGGGACGUCAUCGUGCUGAACGUGUGCUGAACACGGAGGUGCCGUACGUUCGGUACUUGGAUCGGUUGGAUCAUGAAGACGUUCGACUACAUCAACCCCGUUACUAAACGCUUCCGCUUUCGGUCUAUGAGGGUAAGUGGACACACUCUCCCCGCUCGUUGCUAUGCAUCUCCUAGAUAGAUCUUGCGUGAUCGUAGGUAAAUUUUUUGAAAUACUGCGUUCCCCAACAAGGAGUGCCAAAUCCAGAGGUUGUGUGUGGCCACCGCCUCAAGUAGACCCGGGACGUCAGCCGGCCGCCACGCCGUUGUUGUCCAUCCGGGCGCCAUGGUCCAAACCGGCGUCGCCACGAUCCAGAUCGGUAUCAUACCCUCGAGAUGAGGCGUCCCGGGUCACCAGUAGACCCGGGAGGGGUGGCAGUACCUCCUCCGUCGCCGUCGGACGCACGGGCUUUCCCGGCGUCGACUACCGGCGGCGGCGGAGGGGGGAGGCCGGGAGGACUGGCGGCUAGGGCUAGGGCCCCUCGGUCACACGCGCGGAGGCGUCGGAGGGGGAGUAGAGGAGGGGACGGGCAGCCUGUUAAUCUUAUAUAUAGGUGUACUCGAUCAGACCAACCAAUUUAAUUUGAGCAGAUAUUUACUGAAUCACCUUUCAGUUAAUCCUUACAUGCAGGAGGAAAACAUUGUACCACAACAUCGCUAAUAUUUCCUCUUCCUUUUCUUUUCUUAUUUAAUUAACGUGCAACCCCAUGCAAGCUGAUUGGCAUGCUAACAUCCUGCCGUAACGUGCGGCGCAUCGUCUAGUUGAUAAUACAAUUGACGUCCUAACUUAAACAAUAUAUACACAUCAUCAGACGAAACGUAAAUGUGUACAUCUUUAUUAUGGCAAUUAUACUAACAAGACUCGAGCUCAAAAAGCUGACACGUCAAGACCGUUCGUCCUUAAAAACUAAAAAAACAUCCAUGUCAUGCAUAUAUAAAUUAUAUGUAUAUUAUUCGCGGUCGUGCAUGAUAUCGGCUUCUUCAAUGAUAUGUGGCCAUGCCGCUAUGGAACAGUUGUAGAGGUCUUUAUCGCCCGUGUUGAGCGGUUUGUACUUGUCACCCAUCUUUACCGCCUCGUGAAAUUUAUCCAUCAAAUGUCUCCUCUUUUGGCGGACAAUGGGCACGGUAAGUUCGCCACGGUAGAUGAUGGGUGACGGGACCUUUUUGAACUUCCAUAUGAGCUCCAGCACCGGUACGUCCCUGCCUUUGUAUUUCUUCUUCCUUCGGAGUAUCCCAUCAGCUUCAAUUAGCCAGCACUCAUCGCUAGAGUGCCAGUAGUUGUACGGAGCCCUCGGCCCCUGCUUCGUCUUGCUUAAACAACUGAGAUGAACUUCUUCCAUAGCUUACAUUUUUCUUUUACUGUUAUUACUAGGUGAUUUACCCGCGUGUUGCGGCGGGAAUUUAAAGAUUAAUUCCAGAUGAAUUAUGUAUGAUGAAAACGAUCUAAAUCAAAAGCUAAUAUUUUUUUAAUACAGAAAUCUUUCACACUUGCACUGUAUGUGAACAAAGAGUAUGCAUGUGGUUUGCAUGGGGCUACAAAAUAAUGUUAGUGGAUGUGGUUUGCAUGGGGCUACAAAAUAAUGUUAGUGGAUGUGGUUUGCAUGGGGCUACAAAAUAAUGUUAGUCGAUGCUUACAUGGCACACUUGGUCGCACACUUGGUGAGAUGGAGAGCCGCAUGUUGAGAGAAUUAGAGUUAAUGGGGAUUAACUAUUUAGGAAUUGUAGAUUCCCAACCCCAAAAUAGAAGAAUUGGUAGAACAAACAAUGGUACAAAUAUGUCCAGUAAAGUUUUAUGUUCUGAACUGUCUGAAUUUCAGCAACAAACUGAGACAUUACUAGUACUACAACAGAAAUAAUAAUCACCAACUUGUACAAAGCACACACAGGUUGAAAGUGAAAACCCAGAAUUCUCACCUGAGAUCGGACAGUGUUUCCCAUCAGCAACGCUGGUUUGGUUGGAAACUGUCUGAGAUGUAGAGUCAACUUCCUGCUCUGAUUCAAAAACAUUUGGUGCCUCCAAAUGGUAACCAGAAGCAAGCUCAAAUAAGUCAUCACUCCUGGUGUCAUCUAUAUUGAAUAGAUUCUUGGUAGAAGUCACUUGAUCCAUUAGUAAUGUGACAUGCUCCUGACUUGUAGACACUUGAUAAUUUGUUGGAACCUCAGUGGCACUCUCUCUGUUGCAGAUUUCCUCUUGUUGUUCAGGCCUCGCCUCACAGGAAGAAUCCAAUGCACUGCCCUUAACUAAAAUGCCUUUACUGCAGUUGUCCUCAGCAAUGGACUUGAGCAUGCCGUCGACAUUAGUAACAGCCAGAUCAUUCUGAUAACCAGGUACAGAGCAUACUGAAUUUACCAAGCAAGAAUUAUCAACUGGCAGCUGAACACCUGAAGUAUCUUGAGCAGACAAGUUCUGUGAAGAGCGCUCUGUGGAGUGAUCAGUUCACGUAUUUUCAGUAUGAAUUAGCUUCACCUUAUCUCCAGAAUUAGAUAUUGUUUCAGAUCCAAUAGGAUAUGAUUCUACAAUUUCUUCUCUUGGCGAUACUUCAGACAUGCAAUCCAGAACGUCCAUACCAUCUUUAAAGAAACUGCCCACCUUCCUGGAACAUGCAGAUUGGGAUUCUGGGUCGGACAUAAGCGGAGAGCACUUCUGAAGAGAUGAGGGAUUUAAAUCACCAAUAAACUCACAACUGCCAGAUGUUUUAUCAGAUUUGCUGUCAACCACAAUAUUUGUAUUGUUGCUGUCAAUGUCUGCUGAGCAGUCACCUGUACUCUGCAGGUUUAAGCCAUCUUCACGCCCAACCAAUCCAGGAGUUAUAUUCUCCGCAUAAUAUUCAGCUUCGUUUUCAACUUCGGAUCCAGCAGGAAAAUCAGUCAUGCUUGAUUCUCUUGAAAACUGAUAUUUGCACGUGUCAUAUCUUUCAAGAGAGAUUACAUCUGCAGCCACACUUGAACCCACUGAGCCUUUAUCCAGAUUCUUGAUUUCCAUAGGAACAUCUGACUCACGUGCCAUUGCUGCACCAUCUUCCGGAUCUGAUUGAUGAAGAAAAGAAGAUGCAUCCUGGUACUCCUCAAGACAAUCUUCUCGUUCAGUUGGGUGUGCAACUGCAAGCGGUCCAAUUCCAGUGAAACUUUCAGGCACUUUAUGUUGGAUUCCAUUGGUGCUAGGCCUUUCUGAAUCAGUUCCAUUGCCUUCAUCUGCAGUUUCAGAAGAAUUAUUGGGAAUCAGGCCGGUUUCAAUGUAGUCACUGGUGAUGGCUUGAAUUCUAGCAGCAUUAGGAGAAGCAUGUUCUGUAAAAACAGUGAAUCACUAGGUCAGCACACACACGCUGAUAUAUGAAUAAAAAGGUAGAAUGGUUAAAUACAAUGGCAUGUGGGAAUAGCCAGAAACAACUGAAAAAAAGGCAUGGCAGUAUUUCUACUAGGAAUAAACAUUGGUAAAAUUUGAAGGCAUGUUUAACACAACACAAUAAAUGAGUAUGAAAGAAUAAAGAAAAUUAGAUGGGCAGAAGAAAGAGGGUAAGGUGGAUUGUUGUAGUUAGCAGGAAAGGCAAAAUCAAAGUCAUACUGACAAGUCUAACUAGAGUAACACAGUCAAGACAACUAAAGAUAAUUGGUAGUGCAAAAUGUAACUGAUGUUUGCAAACUUGAACAAACAGUAAAAAUAAAACAGACGCUACAAUUGGAUGUUGUCUCCUAGGACCUACAGUUGUUAGUAAUUUUUUAGUGGCGAUGGUAUCCUGCAAUGAUAUGCAAUGAUGGACAAAGGGCACUGAAUCCACAACUACACCUGAGAUAAAAAGUUAGAAUACAAAAGAUAAUUGCAAUGCCUCUCUUGCAGCUAAGUUUGUAAAGCAGUCAGAAGCAACUAACUGCAAAAACAUGCCUGAAAUGACAUUGCUUUUUUUAAGAUGAAAUGACAUUGUUAAUAUAGGGGACAAAGCUAAAAAACGGGCUUUCAAAUAAAUAAAUGGGCAAGCCUGAAAAACACCUAAUAGUAGCUGAUUGUACCAUUGCAGAACCAAAGUCGUUAGAAACUUAACAGCAUGGUGACUUCAGAACUGACAGGUACUAAUACAUGACAACAAGGACACAUGUGAGAACAAGUAGGUAUUAAUAAAUUAUGGCAACAAAUUUCAACACCACGAAAUAUGAGAUGUUCCAAAGUAGAUAGAAUUAACAACGUGUGUGUACACAAUGAUACGUUCAAAACUUUGGGAGAUAGGCACAUAACUAAUGAGAUAGGCAAGGGCUUGCCGGAUCAGAUUAAGGUGUUGUAUGACCUUGCUGACGGGCAGGGCUUGUCUACUGACGACUGGUUUAGGAGAUACGCCCUCGAGGCCUCGCUCAUGGACAUUUACAAGAGCGAGGAGCUGUUCUGGCAGCGUCGAGGGGGCCAGAACUGGCUCCUUAAGGGGGAUGCGAACACUGCCUACUUUCAGGGGAUUCCUAAUGGCCGCAGGCAGAAGUGCGCCAUCCCUUUCCUCUGGAAUGGAGAUGUUCUUCUCGAAAGCCCAGAGGAUAUCUGCACCCAUAUUUACUCCUUUUAUAAGGAGUUGUUCUCGGCCGAGCCGCGCGGAGGCGUCUCUCUCUGCGCUGACUUCUGGCCGCUUGCUGACCAGGUCUCCAAUGCGGAGAAUGCGGAACUUACUCUCCCAUUCUCCCCUGAGGAGGUGGGUCGAGCGAUUGCGUCUAUGAAAGCUUGCUUGGCCCCAGGGCCGGAUGGCCUCCCGGUAGUCUUUUUCCAGAAAUUCUGGGAGAUCUUACGCCCGGUCAUUAAUCCCAUGUUUCAUGAGUUCUAUAUUGGAACCCUGGACAUGGCUAGGAUUAACUAUGGUGUCAUAUCUCUGAUCCCCAAAGUAGUUGGGGCGACGGAUAUUCGGCACUUCCGCCCCAUCACGGUGAUCAACGUGUUGGAGCGGAUCUUUGCGAAGGUUUGUGCAACUCGCUUAUCCCCGGUGGCGGAAAGGAUUGCUCACCCCCUUCAGUCCGCGUUCCUGAAGGGCCGACGGAUCCAUGACGGGAUUCUUGCCCUUCACGAGAUCGUCCACGAGGUGGCGUCGAAGGGGCUUAAGGGGGUCUUCCUCAAAUUGGACUUCCAGAAGGCGUAUGACCAUCUGGAUUGGUCCUUUUUGAGGUUGGUGAUGGAGCGUCGAGGAUUUGACGAGAGGUGGUGUUCCGGGAUCAUGCAACUGGUUAGAUCUGGGAACACGGCGAUCAACAUAAAUGGCGAGGUGGGACCCUUUUUUCAGGCUUCCAGAGGGGUAAAGCAAGGGGACCCUGUCUCCCCCUUGCUUUUUAACCUCGCAGUUGAUGCCCUUGCGGGCAUCUUAGAUAAGUUUGUUGUCCGGCCACCUUAAGGGUGUAGUUAGUCACCUCAUCCCGGAUGGGGGGGGGGGGGUUACUCACUCGCAGUAUGCGGAUGACACCAUGAUUAUGGUGGAAGGCUCGGACUCGGACAUUGUUAAUCUUAAGUUCCUUUUGCUCUGCUUUGUGGAAAUGUCUGGACUUAAGAUUAACUUUGAUAAGAGCGAGGUGGUGGUCCUUGGCUAUUUGGAGGCUGAGCAGCUUCGGAUCGCGGAUAACCUCAACCGUAGGUUGGCGUCAUUCCCCAUAUCUUACUUGGGGAUGCCCUUGGCUGAGUCCAGGAUUUUGGUGAGUAGGUAUGAUCCGCUUGUGGGACGAGUAGCGUCCCGUGCGGAGCCCUGGUGGGGUAGGUUCACUUCUAAAGGUAGCAAAACUGUCCUCAUUAGCUCUAACCUUGCCAGCCUCCCAUUGUAUAUGAUGGGGAUGUACAUCUUACCCGAAGGUGUGCAUAUGGUGAAGUGGGCUGACAUUUGCUUGCCAAAGGACCGAGGUGGGUUGGGCAUCCCUGCAUCUCGCCGGAUGAACGUUGCACUUAUGUUGCGUUGGGUUUGGCGGAUCUUGCGGGGAGAUGGGGGUUGUGGCUGCAGCUGGUUGAGUCCAAGUACUUGCAGGGCCAACCCCUCAUGGCUUGCUCACACUCGGCUGGGUCCCAGUUCUGGAAAUCUAUUAUGGCCAUCAAGGAAGAGAUUAGGCUGGGUUUGCGUUUCUCGGUUUAACAAUGGGUCUGGGACCCAAUUUUGGUUGGACCCAUGGCUUGAGGGCGAGCCUCUCCGCUUGCGGUUCCCGAGGCUCUUUGCGAUUGUGAUGACCCGGCCAUUCUUGUAUCCGCGGCUGCUUUGGAGGAGGGAUGGAACAUUGCGUUCCGCCGCUCAUUCAGACCAGAUGAGGUACGGGAAUGGACAGACCUGAGGGAAGUAGUCCCUCUUCCUCUGUCUCAGGACCCUGACACUGUUUCUUGGAGCCUUUCUCCUUCGGGUGAAUUCUCCGUUAGUUCGGCCUAUCAGGCAUUAUGUCGUAUGCCGGUUCUACGGUGACUAUCCCCAUUGUGGAAGGCACCGUUGCCCUUGAAGAUUAAGGUUUUUGUAUGGCAGCUCCUCCGUGACCGUCUGCCUUCGGGGAUCGAGGUGUUGAAACGCCAUGGUCCGGGCAAUGGCCUUUGCCCUUUGUGCCAUGUCCCGGAAACGGGAACGCACAUUUUGUUCUCUUGCGUAGCAGCGCAGGCACUUUGGUGCUUUGUUCGUGAGGCUCUAGGGCUAGAGUGGGAGGCUCAUGACCUUGCAGAGUUUCUACAGGUUAGGGCCACUUAGGUUGGCCGUAAGCGCCGACUGUUCUGGCUCAUCUUCGUGGCUAUGAUGUGGACUCUCUGGACUACUCGCAACAAGAUGGUGAUUGAGCGGGUGUUCCCGCUACGUGCUUCUGACUCUUUCUUCAAAUUUCUUGCCUUCUUGCAGCACUGGCAUCCGCUCACUAGGCCGAGGGAUCGUGAUCGACUUCAGCUAUUCCUGGACGCCCUGGUGUCUACCGCGCGUCGGCUCUCCGACCGUUCGCAUGUUUCGUAGCUUGCCCCUGAGGCCUUUUUGUUUCUUCUUCUUUCAUUUGGGCGUCUUUGUGCUGUGGCCCCAGCAUUUCUCUUUUAUGACUGUGCAUGAGAUGUGGUUGUAUGGACGUAUGUUUUAUCUAUAAAAGCGGGACGAAAGCCUGUUUUGAGAACUAAUGAGAUAGGCACAGAACAAAACGCACAUGUGACUAGGACAGCAUGUGGUGGAAGACCACUAAGAGCAAACUAAGCAAAGAGAAACCAAUGUAGAAACGACAUGUUCUUCCAAGAUAUCCUACCCAACAGCACGACUAACUAACGACAGAUAUGUUGGAUUUCGAGGACUGUCAGACUCGAGAAAGAAUCCAAUGCAUCAACGCACAGAGAAUUCUUAUUUGCUUGCUGACAGCCAACAUCAGGCCACCAACUUGCCAUAAGACACGGAACGAUAGUUAAUCUAGGUAAGAGAAGGCGGAAUGAGAAGGGCGAUAUGGCGGACGAGCUCGCGCGCUCCUGCUUCGUGGACGAAUAGAACAGCGCGUUCGUGGUGGUCGCAUUUAGUGCGGUGGAAAUACGCGGUGGCGUCAUUACGCAUACGGGUUUGGACUCGUACGACGUGGAACGGAUGAGGAACGGUGCUGUGACGGGAGUCAGCGUCAUGUUCCAGCGGUACAGGAUGCGCUGCCUUCCCAUGUACCGGCGUGCGCACAUGUCGUUUGCGAUGUCACUGAAAAAGUAGGUAAAAUCAGCAGCCCUCGGCCCCUCCAGUCAGGCAAUAGAUGUUUGUUCUCAAAGACGCCAUUCACUUUUGGGUGCUUUCGGCUGCGCGGCGGAGAGGAUCACCAUGGCGGCGGCCGGGAAUGGAUUCUAGUUCCGAUCAGAUCCGAGUGCGCAGGUAUUCUGGAUUUACCCUCGCUUGAUUUUCGGGAUUAUUCACUCUUUUGGUGUGAGUACAUCUCAGGAACGUUGCCUUCUUCGGGCAGGUUCCCCUUGCCGGUGAUUGGGGGCGGCGAGUACACGCCGGCGGCUCACACCGUCGCAGAUCUGCUGAGCAAGGUAGCCGAGUCCGACAUUGGUGAGGUGGGGGAUGCGCCACCGGCGCUGCAGCUAGACCUGAAGGGCACAGGUUUGUGCGUCCAUUAGCUUGACGGCGCCGGACUCAGAACAGUUAAAGGGCACAGACGUCGGGUUAGACAAGAGGUAAAUCAUGCGUGAACUAUGCCCGACUGUACUGUUGGCAUGUCUAUACUGCAGUUGAUCCUGUGAUGCUGCAACUGCGUAUGAGGACAUAUUAGUGAAUUGAACGUACCUCUGAAUUCUGAUACGUACAUAAGUACGUACUUAUGUGUUGGGAGUAGUAGUUCCUCAAAGUUAAAAUCGAUGAGGCAUGUGUGACUGCAAUGAUCUACUUGACACAGGGGUCAUGUUGGACGGGCACCUACAGAACGGCCCCCCCUAUGCUAGCAGAGUGUGCACUCUCGAGAAAACAAUCACGGGAUAUGCAAAGAAGAAGACUCAAACUGUUGUAGUACCUGAAGUCGGCAGCAUAUUUGACUCACUGGGAGAAGUGUAUGACUACAAUCUGUACUCGGGAAAUUGAAUAUGAAAUUAGGCAUGGAAAGAACAGACUGGACGUCAGAGAACCAAGUGCAUGCAAGAGAUAGUGUGUUGAUGCUCAGUGAGUGUUUCUUCAAUCUCUUAUAUUCAGAAUUGGUAGUCGCUAACUCUGUGCAUUCGGUUUAUUUGGUUCGGUAAAUAAGAUAUUUUUUGGUUUGUGCAAUAUCAAUAUUUCAGCAAGUAUGGUGUGAAAUUAAAAUACGGUUUGGUUUCGGUAUACACCAAACUAUUUCAGUAUAGUUUUGGUAGAUACCAAAUUAACAAAAUUAGACGUGAAUUUAGUAAUGAGGCAACACUUUUGAAACCAUUUGAAGACAGCUAGAUACAGGAUUAAUGUGAUUGUUGGCUGUGGCAACAGUGCCUUUGUUUGCUCACAAGGCAAUUUUGAGACAAAGGGACCAAUUCAGAGCCAAAUGCAGGGUACCCUGUGAACCUAGUUAGCACACAAACUAUCUUGUGCAUGUAAUUCUGCUGUCUGCAGUUCUGCCAAUAACACAAAAUUAGCAAUACACAUUUGACAAGCUUUGUGUAAUUGAGCCAUAUUGCUGAGUCUGUUGCCAGUUUGUGUUAGGAUACUCAGGAAUCUCAUAUCUUUCAAAUUCUCCAACACCAAACAGUAGGGCAGGUUAGGAUCUGGUAUAUCACAACUCACAGCCAUCCGAAGAUCUGAAGAAAUAAGAACACCAAAGAUAAACUAUUACCUGCAAGUUCUUCUAAAUCCAUAAAAUCAAAGCGAAAUAGCCAACAUCAAUGAAGUUGAGACAUUUGUAAAGCACUAUAAUAGUAGUGAGCGAUCUUUGCAUUAAAGACUUGUGCCUUUAUCUUUAUGGACUAUGGUGAAGGAAUUCAUGCAGCUUAUUAGGCUGUGCGGGACGGUCAGAGAAUGCGCCUAAGCAGGUCGGCGCCCGAUGAUGGAGAGGCGUAGUGUUGCAGCGAGUGCAGGGAGGGGAAGGGAUCAGACGAGAGGGCGAGCCGGUCGCGCAUCAGAUGGCAGAGUGCCGCUGGAGGCUUGGUGGUGCAGCGCCAGUGAGCCAGUGGUGGCUGGUGAGUGUGCUGCUGCCAUUGCUUGCGUGCGAUGGUGCGUGUCUGGUAGGCGUCUACACAAGGCCAGGUUCCAGGUCGUUAGUGAGGCCAGGAAUAUGCAUUGAGAUUCCUGCAGUUGGUUUAUUCUGGUAGGUUUGUGUGAUUGUUUCGCAUGGUGGCACACACAUGUGCAGUACAUUUGUCCCGAGGUUUCCGUUGUAAAAAGAAUCCCCACAUGUUGCAGAAAGUGUUAUUCCGCACCAUGAGCCUUACAAGCUGGAGCUUGACGGGCAUGCCAUGUUGAAAAACUAUGGGCCAGAUCUUGGCUUGAAGGCAAACAGGACGGGCACAUCCGUCCGCAUGAUGCAGUUGAAAGACGACAAGCUUUACCCAGGAAGUGCUCCCCGUGGGCCGUGGCGGUGUUUGAUGAACCUGAGUUUUCAGGUGAAUACCGUUAGCACCUCCUUCAAUCCCAUUUGUCCAGUGCUUGAUGCUUCGAAUUAUCGUAAUUUACAUUCUGUGAAAAAUGCAGGAUGAAUUCAUGUGUGGCCAAAAGAAACCUCACUGGGACAGGAUAUUCUGGAUGUACAACAAGCAGAAACUCCAACACGACUUGCGCGAAUGCUAAAAUGUAAGUGAGCCUGCGAAGAGUGAUGCACAGUAUCAUGACUGGAAUGAACAUGCGACGGUUUUCACAUCAUUUCUUUUUUCUAGUUCAUGGUUGCCGCUGAUAGUGGAUGAUGUCUGGUGCCUUUAUGAGUUCGACAUCAAACGCAUAACUCUGUAGGUGAUGGACCCAAUGUUGGCAUUGGCCCCGCUUAGGCAAAUGAUGAAGAAGCAUGCCCGGACAAGCAAGCUUAUUCUGCACAGCCUAUGGUGAUGUCUUCGUGAAUUCUUUCCAGACUAGCAUUUUCCUACUUUCUCAUGCACUUACAAAUACUCCCUCCGUUCCUAAAUAUUUGUCUUUUUAGAGAUUUCAAAUGGACUAUCACAUACGGACGUAUAUAGACAUAUUUUAGGGUGUAGAUUCACUCAUUUUGCUCCUUAUGUAGUCACUUGUUGAAAUCUUUAGAAAGACAAAUAUUUAGGAACGGAGGGAAUACAACUCUGCAUACAUCCCAGCCGCAGCAGGUAUUCCCUAGUGUUUGUGUUCUGGAUUCCAUUUCCGUGCUCAGCGGGCAGUUUUCUAGUACUGAUCAACAACACAAAUUGAAACAUAGCGCUGACAGUGGGUUUUAUGUGCUCCAUUAUAUGCAAGAGUUCGAUGGUGUCAUGCUCAAGACGACUCCUCCCAACACCUGUAACUGUAAGUACCACAUCUCGCCCCUGGAACCAGUGCCAGAGCAAAUAAAAGCACAGUUUCUUUGUUGUUGAGAAAAAAACAAAAGAAAAAUUACUUGGUAUUUGAACAUAUCUUGCUCCUUCCAUCCUUUGGCAGUUUGGCUCAUCGACAGAUCGUCUUGGCAGUUGCACGCAACAGCAUGAGCAGAUCGGUCCAGAACGUCGUGGCUGACUCUAGCAAACAGCUGUCCGCUAUGCAUGUGGGUCCGUCACAACCCUAUACGGUCGACAAUACCUGACCAGCCCAUAUCCCGAAGGAAACGAGCGCCUACCGAUUCCAGGAGUAUGCGAGCUCGUCCGCGCUUGCGGAUUUUCGAGGCGGAAUCCACUACUUUAUCCAAAGCUGAAGAUAGGUAACUCGAGCAAAGCUCAGAUCUACAGUUCAAAUUGCUCCACGUCGUACUUGGCACCCAAAAAUAUUGGCCCGAAGGCCCAAAACCAAGAGGAACAGCAAAGUGCCUGCGCUUUCAGCUUUAAUGCUAAAGCAUGAAAUGAAUCAAUCAGAUUAUUAUUAUUACAGGCCCCCGCGGAAGUAGUAUUUCCACUAUUAACUCUUCUUUUUUUGUGGCGACAGUAUUAACUCUUCAACGGAGGGACUGAGGAAAAAGGCUGGCUUUGCAAACCAACAAAAGGCACAGCAUAAUUACGGAGCACAACAGAAGCAAGCUAUGCAAUUAACAGAAGAAGUUAUGCAAAUUAGUUAUGCGUUUACACAAAUCAACAGUGUGAUAAUGGACAAACUGAAAUGGCAGGGUAAGCAGAUUGAGCAGUAGAGAGGAGCAGAGAGCACACACCUGCGUUCUCCGCCGAUUCGACGCCUCCGUUAGCAGAUCUGGGCGACGCAGAGCCUCCGCUCGCCGCGCCAUUGCGAGGCUCCUCCCCAUCUCCCCCAGCACCUGCAGCGCAUCAAAACCCACGGAGGACCCAAAACCACCAACCAAGCCCAGACCAAACCAAACCAAAUCAAAGCACCGCCGCGUCGCACGGCACGGGCCCAUACUGACGGUUAGAUACAUCCUCUUUUAUCCAUUUUGAUGACAAGUAUUUUCGGACGAAGGGAGUAUGUACCUAGCACGAGGUGGCCGGCUCGCCGUGGCCGAUGACCGCACCACCGGAGACCAUGGGCACUCGGAAAACGGCGGCGAUGAGGAGGGGCCUCCCGUCCGCGCCACAAUGCCGCCGGCAUGGAGGCCCGGGCUCGGGUGUCGGGUACGCCGGUGAGGUCUCUAGGGACCGCGCGGUUGGGGACCGGCUUGGCUUCUGGUCAUUGGUUCCGACGAUGCCAAGUCCAAGAUCCGAGUCACCGAGCCGCAAGUAGCAUGCAGCUGGAUAGGAGUCGUGUCUGUCCAGGCGCGCCGCCAUGGGGUGCUGGUGGUGUUAGAAGGGAGAGAGAGAUUUGAUGGAAUUGUUCAUUGUAUUGCUUGAGCCUCGUGGGCAUAUAUAUAGGAGUACAUGAUCUACUUGGAAUGCAAGACAAGGCAGAAUACUUCCUAGUUUAUCCUAUGUUUCCUAAUACAAUCACGUUACUCAACAUCCCCCCACAGUCACAACGGUAGCGACGCAGACGGUGAGACUGGAGANNNNNNNNNNNNNNNNNNNNNNNNNNNNNNNNNNNNNNNNNNNNNNNNNNNNNNNNNNNNNNNNNNNNNNNNNNNNNNNNNNNNNNNNNNNNNNNNNNNNNNNNNNNNNNNNNNNNNNNNNNNNNNNNNNNNNNNNNNNNNNNNNNNNNNNNNNNNNNNNNNNNNNNNNNNNNNNNNNNNNNNNNNNNNNNNNNNNNNNNNNNNNNNNNNNNNNNNNNNNNNNNNNNNNNNNNNNNNNNAUGGUCGACGCAUCGCGGAGUCGUGGCCGGAAUGGAAACCGACGAGGUUGCUCAAGCAAGGCGGUAGCCCUUUGUGCCGUUUGUCGUGGUAGCCGAGAGCAUAGGUGGUGGAGCCGUGGUCGAGGUAGCUGUGCGAAGAAUGCCGUGGUCGAUGUCGAGUCGGGGUAGCCGUUGUCGAGGGAGUCGCUGUGGAGCCGCGGGCGCAAGGGGGCACCGAGUUAGCAUGGGCGCAGUGGUGUCGAAGUAGUGGUGCGCCGGAAAGGAGAUGUUGUUGAUGAAGCGCCGCGGCGGGUUUGCCAAGCCCGGGGACACAUCGUAGACCAAGGCACACACCGGUGUUGCCAGCACCGGGCAUGCGUAGACGGACGAAGAAGAAGUUGACGAAGCGCCGCACCAGGCUUGCCAUGCCCGGGGACACGUCGUGGACGAAGGCACGCGGCGGUGUUGCCAGUAUCGGGCAUGCGUAGACUGGGACCUGCACGAGCUGUACGCCAUGUCGAAGAGGUCGGAGAGGCCACCAGAGAAGGAUUCGACAACGGUUGCGACGCCAAUCGGCGCGGGGCCAAUAUCGCCCGCGGUUGUCGGAGUAGAUGAAGCGGUCGGGGUAGAUGACGGCGACGCUGGCGACGAGCUGGUGCUGGACGAAGACGAAGGGGGUGGACGGGCGGCGACGGCUAUAGAGGUAGCGGCGGCGGCCAAAGAAGGGCGGCGGCGGCGGCUAGGUUAGGAGUGCGGCGACGGUGCUCGAAGUAGGCGAAGAACCCUGACAGCGUGACGAAGACCGGCGCGGACGGUGGCGUUCCCGCGCCAAGGGAGAUGGCGCGGCGCAUACCAUGGGAGGUCGACGCGCGGUGACGGCAGAGUGGACCGCGGGCCGCGGCACUACAGCUCGAAGGGGCGACGCAGCGGCGGCAGGCGGGUCGGGGCGACGGCGGGAAGACCUCGGGACGGCGGCGGUGACCGUGGGCCGCGACGCUGCGGCCCGAAGGGGUGACGCAACGGCGGUUCGCGAGUCGGUGCAGCCGCGAGGAUGGCCUCAGGACGGCGGCGGGGACCGCGUAUCGCGGCACUAUGGCCCGAAGGGGCGACGCAGCGGCGACGCACGAGUCAAUGCAGCCGCAAGGAGAACCACAGGGCGGCGACGCUGCGGCCCGACGGGGCGACGCAGCAGCAACCCGAUGCUCGAUCGACGGAGAGGCGCGCGAUACUCGAGACGAUCUUCACAGGACCUGCGGAGGCGCGCGUCACCAACGGGCCAGGUCGGUCGCGCGGCGUAGAGGAGGCGGAUCGCGGCGGCGAGCGGAUGAUCAAGCCGAUCGCGCGCGAGGUCAGGGACGCUGCUCGGCGGAGGAGUGGUGGCGGCGGAGUCCGGGAUGAGGCCGGCGAUGACGGACGGCGUGGGACGUCAUGCAGACGAGCUUGUCAGCACCGGCACCCGGGCUAGGAAAGCAGCGCCAGCGCCCGGGCAGCGAGGCCGGAGCGACCAACGUAGCAGUGGGGCCCGAGCUGAGGUAGCCGACGAGUGUGACGCAGUCAGCCCGACGCAGUCGAGGACGAGGCCGGUGAGGUAGACUGUUGUAACACCCCGAGAAUCAUGCUACAGUAACUCUCUGUGAUUAAGCUAAUCAUGUUGCUAAACAAGGCUGGAUCACAUUUCUUUUCAAACUCCUAAUUCAAACUUCAAUUAAAUUUAAAGUGAAAAAUAAAAGUUUUCAAAAAUUUAAACAAAAAUGUUCGGUGGGUGCCAAAUAAUACACUGAUAAUUAUUGUGGAGAAACUCCUUUUUAGAAAAUGCCUAAGUAUUUUAAAAUGGAUUAAAAGGUGGAAGAAAAUAAAUAAAAGAAAAUGCAAAACAAAACAGAAAACAAAAAAAAUAAAAAACAAAAGCCCCCCCCCACUGGACCUGGCCCAACUGGGCCAACCUUCAGCCGCCCGAGUGGGCCGGCCCACCCCGCGCCCCUCUCUCCCCUUAUCCACUCCCCUCGCCCCCCCACCGACAGCCACCCCCNNNNNNNNNNNNNNNNNNNNNNNNNNNNNNNNNNNNNNNNNNNNNNNNNNNNNNNNNNNNNNNNNNNNNNNNNNNNNNNNNNNNNNNNNNNNNNNNNNNNNNNNNNNNNNNNNNNNNNNNNNNNNNNNNNNNNNNNNNNNNNNNNNNNNNNNNNNNNNNNNNNNNNNNNNNNNNNNNNNNNNNNNNNNNNNNNNNNNNNNNNNNNNNNNNNNNNNNNNNNNNNNNNNNNNNNNNNNNNNNNNNNNNNNNNNNNNNNNNNNNNNNNNNNNNNNNNNNNNNNNNNNNNNNNNNNNNNNNNNNNNNNNNNNNNNNNNNNNNNNNNNNNNNNNNNNNNNNNNNNNNNNNNNNNNNNNNNNNNNNNNNNNNNNNNNNNNNNNNNNNNNNNNNNNNNNNNNNNNNNNNNNNNNNNNNNNNNNNNNNNNNNNNNNNNNNNNNNNNNNNNNNNNNNNNNNNNNNNNNNNNNNNNNNNNNNNNNNNNNNNNNNNNNNNNNNNNNNNNNNNNNNNNNNNNNNNNNNNNNNNNNNNNNNNNNNNNNNNNNNNNNNNNNNNNNNNNNNNNNNNNNNNNNNNNNNNNNNNNNNNNNNNNNNNNNNNNNNNNNNNNNNNNNNNNNNNNNNNNNNNNNNNNNNNNNNNNNNNNNNNNNNNNNNNNNNNNNNNNNNNNNNNNNNNNNNNNNNNNNNNNNNNNNNNNNNNNNNNNNNNNNNNNNNNNNNNNNNNNNNNNNNNNNNNNNNNNNNNNNNNNNNNNNNNNNNNNNNNNNNNNNNNNNNNNNNNNNNNNNNNNNNNNNNNNNNNNNNNNNNNNNNNNNNNNNNNNNNNNNNNNNNNNNNNNNNNNNNNNNNNNNNNNNNNNNNNNNNNNNNNNNNNNNNNNNNNNNNNNNNNNNNNNNNNNNNNNNNNNNNNNNNNNNNNNNNNNNNNNNNNNNNNNNNNNNNNNNNNNNNNNNNNNNNNNNNNNNNNNNNNNNNNNNNNNNNNNNNNNNNNNNNNNNNNNNNNNNNNNNNNNNNNNNNNNNNNNNNNNNNNNNNNNNNNNNNNNNNNNNNNNNNNNNNNNNNNNNNNNNNNNNNNNNNNNNNNNNNNNNNNNNNNNNNNNNNNNNNNNNNNNNNNNNNNNNNNNNNNNNNNNNNNNNNNNNNNNNNNNNNNNNNNNNNNNNNNNNNNNNNNNNNNNNNNNNNNNNNNNNNNNNNNNNNNNNNNNNNNNNNNNNNNNNNNNNNNNNNNNNNNNNNNNNNNNNNNNNNNNNNNNNNNNNNNNNNNNNNNNNNNNNNNNNNNNNNNNNNNNNNNNNNNNNNNNNNNNNNNNNNNNNNNNNNNNNNNNNNNNNNNNNNNNNNNNNNNNNNNNNNNNNNNNNNNNNNNNNNNNNNNNNNNNNNNNNNNNNNNNNNNNNNNNNNNNNNNNNNNNNNNNNNNNNNNNNNNNNNNNNNNNNNNNNNNNNNNNNNNNNNNNNNNNNNNNNNNNNNNNNNNNNNNNNNNNNNNNNNNNNNNNNNNNNNNNNNNNNNNNNNNNNNNNNNNNNNNNNNNNNNNNNNNNNNNNNNNNNNNNNNNNNNNNNNNNNNNNNNNNNNNNNNNNNNNNNNNNNNNNNNNNNNNNNNNNNNNNNNNNNNNNNNNNNNNNNNNNNNNNNNNNNNNNNNNNNNNNNNNNNNNNNNNNNNNNNNNNNNNNNNNNNNNNNNNNNNNNNCUCCGUAAACUAAUAUAAGAGCAUUUAGAUUACUAUUUUAGUUAUCUAAACACUCUUAUAUUAGUUUACAGAGGGAGUACUUAUUUAAUUAAACACUAAUUAACCUAAACAGUGAAUGACAGGUGGGUCCCACUGGACCCACAUGUCAGUUGACUUAGUCAACCCCUGUUGACUGCUGAUGUCAGCAUGACAUCAUGCUGAUGUCAUAAAUCCGAAUUUCGAAUUAAAUUAAAUAAUUAAUUAAAUUCCAGAAAUUAAUAAAAUCUUUAGAAAAUCAUAUCUUUUAAUCCGUAACUCGGAUUAAAAUAUUUUCAACAUGAAAGCUGCUCAGAACGACGAGACGAAUCCGAAUACGCAGUCCGUUCGUCCACCACACCUCCCUAACCUAUCGAACUAGCAACGUUCCCCCUCCGGUCCGUCUGUCCGAAAAGCGAAACAUCUGGAAUACCUCCCGGAUGUUCCCCCCUUCGCCGGUACCACCUACUGUCGCGUUAGGACACGCCUAACACCGCUCAUUUUCAUGUCACGCAUCGUCAUGCUUAUGUUUGCAUUGUAUUUACUGUUUCUUCCCCCCUCUUCUCUCUGGUAGACUACGAGACCGACACUGCUGCUGUCCAGUUCGACUACGGAGUUGACGACCCCUCCUACUUGCCAGAGCAACCAGGCAAGCCCCCCCCCCCUUGAUCACCAGAUAUCGCCUACUCUUCUCUAUUCUGCUUGCAUUAGAGUAGUGUAGCAUGUUACUGAUUUCCGAUAUCCUAUCCUGAUGCAUAGCCUAUCCUUGCUACUACUGUUGUUACCUUUACCUGCAAUCCUACAUGCUUAGUAUAGGAUGCUAGAUUUCCAUCAGUGGCCCUACAUUCUUGUCCGUCUGCUGUGCUAUACUAUCGGGCCGUGAUCACCUAGGCGGUGAUCACGGGUAUAUACUUAUAUACUUUAUACAUGACACAUGUGAUGACUAAAGUCGGGUUGGCUCGUAGGAGUACCCGCAAGUGGAUCUUUGUGGCGGAGCGACAGGGCAGGUUGAGACCACCCAGGUGAGAGGUGGGCCUGGCCCUGGUCAGCGUUCGCGGUUACUUAACACGCUUAACGAGAUCUUGGUAUUUGAUCUGAGUCUGGCCAUUUGGUCUAUACGCACUAGCCAUCUACGCGGGAGUAGUUAUGGGUAUCCCGGCGUCGUGGUAUCAGCCGAAGCCUUCUUGACGUCAGCGACUGAGUGGCGCGCGCCGGAUUGGACUGGAACGCCACUAGGCUAGGUCUGCUUCCGGCCGCGUACGCAACGUGCAGGUGCGCAUAGGGCGAUGGGCCCAGACCCCUGCGCGCUUAGGAUUAGACCGGCGUGCUGACCGCUCUGUUGUGCUUAGGUGGGGCUGCGACGCGUUGAUCUUACGAGGCCGGGCAUGACCCAGGAAAGUGUGUCCGGCCAAAUGGGAUCGAGCGUGUUGGGUUAUGUGGUGCACCCCUGCAGGGAAGUUUAUCUAUUCGAAUAGCCGUGUCCCUCGGUAAAAGGACGACCCGGAGUUGUACCUUGACCUUAUGACAACUAGAACUGGAUACUGAAUAAAAUACACCCUUCCAAGUGCCAGAUACAACCCAGUGAUCGCUCUCUAACAGGGCGACGAGGAGGGGAUCGCCGGGUAGGAUUAUGCUAUGCGAUGCUACUUGGAGGACUUCAAUCUACUCUCUUCUACAUGCUGCAAGAUGGAGAUGACCAGAAGCGUAGUCUUCGACAGGACUAGCUAUCCCCCUUUUAUUCUGGCAUUCUGCAGUUCAGUCCACUGAUAUGCCCCUUUACACAUAUACCCAUGCAUAUGUAGUAUAGCUCCUUGCUUGCGAGUACUUUGGAUGAGUACUCACGGUUGCUUCUCUCCCUCUUUUCCCCCUUUUCUUUUCUAUCUGGUUGUCACAACCAGAUGCUGGAGUCCAGGAGCCAGACGCCACCGUCGACGACGACACCUACGACACUGGAGGUGCCUACUACUACGUGCAGGCCGCUGACGACGACCAGGAGUAGUUAGGAGGAUCCCAGGCAGGAGGCCUGCGCGUCGUUCGAUCUGUAUCCCAAUUUGUGCUAGCCUUCUUAAGGCAAACUUGUUUAACUUAUGUCUGUACUCAGAUAUUGUUGCUUCCGCUGACUCGUCUGUGAUCGAGCAAUUGUAUUCGAGCCCUCGAGGCCCCUGGCUUGUAUUAUGAUGCUUGUAUGACUUAUUUAUGUUGUAGAGUUGUGUUGUGAUAUCUUCCCGUGAGUCCCUGAUCUUGGUCGUACACAUUUGCGUGCAUGAUUAGUGUACGGUCAAAUCGGGGGCGUCACAAGUUGGUAUCAGAGCCGACUGCCUGUAGGAAUCCCCCUUUCCACACUCCUUGGCCGAAGUCGAGUCUAGACAUUACAAAACUUUUACUAACAUGGUUGUGUGUCUUACGGGCCCACGUCGCCAUUGGGUGGUACUAGUAUCUUUUACUCCUCGACCUUUACUCUGGGACUCUGAACUCUCUUCUACUCAGGUUAAACGAAUUUACUAACUCUAACACUAGGAUGCCGUGACCACAUUCACCCCAAAGUUGGAUAAGCCAUAGUUGUUUCUUAGAGUAGUAUUUUGAACAAUUCACACACUGUCAUUUGACUCCUUUGAAACGUCUUUGCUUUCAGAUGGAACCCACGAGGCAGGUCGUUCGCCACACGACGGCCAUUGGUGCCUCGGGAUCACCUGUGGUGCUAGCUGAGAUGAUGACCUAUCUGGGUUAUCGCUGGCACCCUGAGUACACCGUCUACGAGGAGUACCAGGACUUUAACCAGGAGCAGUACCGUGCCAUCGUCCACCUCUACUCUCGGGAGUAUGACUCCACUACUGUGCUACACACCGCACAUGGUGUUGGUGUGACCAUCGACAUGGCUGUCCACGAUGCUGCCUAUGCUGCUCUGACACGUCUUCGUCGAGAGUAUCGGGAGUUGGACACCUCCCCCUUCAGGCACAUUGCUAUCGCAUCGGAUGUUGGUGCGGAGGGAUACUAUACUGCUGCCUACUCCACUGUCACCCGAGAGCCCUUCUACCAUCAGAACCUGGUUCUGCAUGCUGAUGGGCUGGAUCGAGCUAACCGAGCUCUUCGCCACGAGAUGUACACCACCCGUCAGCACCUUUACCGUGCUCUGACGCUGCUGCACCCCUUUGUCCGAUCUGGACAGGUACCGCGUACUGCGAUCUACCCAGCCAGGACUGUGAUGCCCCACGGUGUCGGUUGGCCAGCGGUGGGAGGCUACUCUCCCGCACUUGGUCCUCUUCUGCCACCUGAGGGUCGGGCUCUACACCUGAGUAUCCGCGGCCCCCAGUCUGCUGACGUGGAGGGCUAUCCGUUGCCUCACUACCAGCUGUCGGGCUACGAUUACCUCCACAGUACCUCUUGGGACUGAUGUAGGCUUGCUAGUAGUAUUAGUUGCAGUCGCCGCGAGCCUGUGUGCCGCCUAUGAUGUAUUAGUAUAUGUACUGAACUCUGUGCAUGACCCCUUUUGUAAGUUACGCCGACUACUACGUAGUAGCUAUCGUGCUCCUUUCGUUAUGCAUGUUUCAUCAUGAAUGAUUCUUGUCUUAGCACAUAUUCUCAAUGCUGAUCUACCCCGGUUAUAUAUUAGCAGGAUGGUUAGACCAGGUGGUCGUGGUCGUGGUGGCGAUGCCCCACCACCACCUGAGUACAUGGCUGGUAUGAUCCAACAGUUUGAACUGAACCGCCAAUUCAUGGAAAAUAUGAUGGCCCAGUUUCCUCGCCCCAAUAUGAACCAGCAGCCAGCUCAAGUGACUCUUCAAGAUUUCAUACGCCUCAACCCAACCAUCUACCGCAGCUCAACUCAGCCUCUGGAUGCUGAUGACUGGCUCCGUGACAUCACCUAUGAGAUGGAGUCUGCUGAUGUAGCCCCUGCCAGCUAUGUCACUUUUGCUUCCUUCUUCUUGAAGGGACCCGCAGCUCAAUGGUGGGACAGCCACAGGCGUACUCUGCCAGCUGGAACAAUCAUCACAUGGUCAGACUUCCAAGCAGCUUUCCGUGCCCGCUUCAUUCCUCAGGGAGUCAUGGACCGGAAGAAGCGUGAGUUCCGCAACCUCACCCAAGGCAACAAAACUAUCGAAGCUUAUCAGCGGGAGUUUCUGGACUUGUCCCGCUAUGCUGAAGAAGACAUUGCAACUGAUGCACGCAGACAAGAGAAGUUCCGUGAUGGCCUUCAAGCUGACAUCAAGCUCGCACUUCUAGUGCAUGACUUUGCUGAUUUCGCCACCUUGGUGAACAAGGCCAUCAAUGUCGAAACUGGUCUGCAGGAAUAUCAGAGCUCUCACAGACGCAACCGUGACACGGGCUCAUCUUCGGGCUCGCCCGCACAGAAGCGUAAGAUAUGGAUCUCGAACAGCAUGUACCGUCCAAAUGCAUCUGCCCCAAGGCAGACAUAUGCUGCACCUCGUCUGCCUCCACCACCGUCUAGGCAGUCAAGACUUCCAGCUCCACCAUCCCAAGCUCCUGUUCCCACUCCGAAUAAUGGCUUGUGCUUCAGGUGUGGUCAACCAGGGCACCGUGCUAAAGAAUGCAACCAGAACCAGAAUCAACUGGCCCUUCCAGCAACUGGUCGUGGUAACAAUCAGCCCCGCAACAACAAUGCUAAGUCUUAUGGUCGUGCUCAUGCCAACCACGUUGAUCUCAACGAAGCUCAAGACCAGCCUGCUACUGUGAUGGGUACACUCCUCGUAAAUUCAGUACCAGCAUCCGUUUUAUUUGAUACAGGUGCAUCGCGUUCAUUCAUGUCAGAAGAUUUUGCAUACAAGCACGACGUUAAAUGUGAGGAGAUGAACACCUCUGUAUUGGUCAAAACCCCCGUGGGACAGUGUCAAACCUCCUUGGUUGGCAUCGAUGUCCCAGUGGAAAUCGAAGGGCUGGAAUUCUAUGCCUCUCCCAUUAUCCUGAAGUCGUCUAACAUCGACCUCAUUUUGGGUAUGGAUUGGUUGAAAGCGCAUACUGCUUCUAUAGUUUGCGCCACUAAGACCGUCCAUCUGCUACACCCUUCAGAUGAAAUAGUUGCUUACCAAGCUCAUCUGGUGCAAAAUGCCGAGGCAAGGCUCUAUGCAUUGAAUGCAUUGAACGCUGCACCACUCGAGGGCAUUGAAAACAUUCCCGUCGUGCGUGAAUUCCUCGACGUCUUCCCUGAAGAACUUCCAGGGAUUCCCCCUGCUAGAGCUGUCGAAUUCAUCAUCGACUUGAAACCAGGCACCACUCCUAUAGCCAAGCGACCCUACAAAAUGCCGCCGCAUGAACUCCUUGAGCUUAAGGAGGAAAUCGACAAAUCUCUUCGCAAAGGAUUCAUUCGCCCAAGUUGCUCUCCUUGGGGAGCACCUUCUCUCUUUGUCAAGAAGAAGGAUGGGACAAACCGGUUAGUUCAAGACUACCGUCCUAUAAACCAAGCUACCAUUCAGAAUAAGUACCCUCUUCCUCGGAUCAAUGAUCUGUAUGAUCAACUGGCGGGUUCGUCAGUGUUCUCUAAGCUCGACUAGAGGUUGGGCUACCACCAGAUCCGUGUUCGAGAAGAGGAUAUCCCAAAGACCGCCUUCGUGACUCGCUAUGGUUCAUACGAGUACACCGUCAUGUCUUUCGGUUUAACCAAUGCUCCAGCCACCUUCUCUCGUCUGAUGAACUAUAUAUUCAUCGAUUACCUCGACAAGUUCGUCGUGGUUUAUCUGGAUGAUAUCCUGGUGUUUUCCAAGAACGAAGAAGAACAUGCCGAACAUCUUCGACUUGUGCUGGAGAAGCUACGAGAGCAUCAACUAUAUGCCAAGUUCUCCAAAUGUGAAUUCUGGCUACCGGAAGUAACCUAUCUUGGGCAUGUCAUCUCUAAGGAUGGUAUUGCCGUCAACCCCGAGCGAGUUCAGGCUAUUCUUGAUUGGACUCCUCCCAAGAACGUUAAGCAAGUCAGAAGUUUUCUCGGUCUCGCCAGCUAUUGCCGUCGAUUCGUCGAGAACUUCUCUAAGAUCGCCAGGCCUCUGACUAACCUGUUGCAUAAGGGUGUCAAGUUCCAAUGGACAGACAAAUGUCAGGAAAGUUUCCAGGCACUCAAAGACAAGUUGACUUCUGCUCCAGUUCUAGCUCCACCUGAUACUAAGGACUUUGUCAUUUACUGCGACGCUUCCCGUCAAGGAUUAGGCUGUGUCCUAAUCAAAGACCGCAAAGUGAUUGCUUAUGCCUCUCGGCAAUUGCGCCCUCACGAAGAGAACUACCCAGUUCACGACCUCGAACUUGCUGCUGUCAUUCAUGCGCUGAAGCAGUGGCGACAUUACCUUCUCGGUAAUCGUUGCGAGAUCUUCACUGACCACCAAAGUCUGAAAUAUCUGUUUACUCAGCCAGAUCUGAACCUCCGUCAACAGAGAUGGAUGGAGCUUGUUGCAGACUUUGACUUGGGUAUUUCCUAUAUGCCAGGCAAGGCUAGUGUAAUGGCUGAUGCCUUGAGCCGCAAGUCUUACUGCAACCACCUCCAGGUUCAUAAAGUUCAGCCCUCGCUUGUUGAAGAAUUCAGGAAGCUGAACCUCCAUAUUGCUCCUCCGUGUGCACUCGCUCCCCCUCCUAAGGAGUUUGGCAAGGUGAACCUCCACGUUGUUACCUAGGGUUCCCUCAAUACCCUAGUUGCUAAACCAGAUCUCGAGGACAGCAUCAAAAGGCUACAGAAGUAUGACUCUGAAGCCCACAAGAUUAAGCGCUACCUCGCAGAAGGAAAGCCCUCAUUCUUCACUAUUGCUGAAGAUGGCACCUUAUACUUCAAGGGCCGCCUAGUGGUGCCAUGUGCAGAGAAAAACCUGGAUAUGACACAGGAAGUUAUGAAAGAAGCUCAUGAUACACCUCUGUGUAUCCAUCCUGGUAGUACAAAGAUGUACCAAGACAUCCGUCAGAGAUUCUGGUGGUCUAAUAUGAAGCAAGCCAUUGCUCGUUAUGUUGCUGAGUGUGACGUUUGCCGUCGUAUCAAAGCAGAACAUCAAAGGCCUGCUGGAACUCUGCAACCUAUCUCUAUUCCUGAAUGGAAAUGGGACCAUGUUGAGAUGGACUUCGUCACUGGAUUUCCCAAAUCACAGAAAGGUAAUGAUGCUAUUCUUGUCGUCAUUGACCGACUUUCCAAAGUUGCACAUUUUCUGGCAGUCAAAGAAACGAUCACUGCUAGCCAGUUGGCAACGCUCUAUAUGUCCAGGAUUGUUUCACUCCACGGUAUUCCAUUGGUUAUCAGCUCAGACCAUGGCAGCUUAUUCACUUCAAGAUUCUGGGCAAGUUUCCAAGAAGCUAUGGGAACUCAUCUGUCAUUCAGUACUGCGUUUCAUCCUCAAUCGCAAGGACAAGUUGAACGCGUCAACCAAGUCCUCGAAGAUAUGCUUCGAGCUUGUGUUAUUUCCUUCGGCAAGAAAUGGGAGGAAUCUCUCCCGUAUGCUGAGUUCUCUUAUAAUAAUAGCUAUCAAGCUAGUCUGAAGAUGGCCCCCUUCGAAGUGUUAUAUGGACGAAAGUGCCGAACCCCUCUGAACUGGUCAGAAACUGGGGAACGUCCACUCUUCGGUCGGGAUAUUAUCCAAGAUGCCGAAGAACAAGUCCGCAUUAUUCGUGAGAAUCUCAAGACUGCUCAGUCACGUCAGAAGAGUCAGUAUGACCGUCAUCAUAAAGACAUGGUCUAUCAACCUGGCGAAAAGGCUUAUCUUCGAGUCACACCUAUGAAGGGUGCUCACCGCUUCGGGAUCAAGGGCAAACUAGCUCCUCGCUAUAUUGGCCCAUUCACUAUUCUUGAAAGGCGUGGAAAAGUGGCAUACGAACUGGAGCUACCGCCGAACCUUUCUCAGGUUCACGAUGUGUUCCAUGUGUCACAGCUCCGCCGUUGCUUCCAAGACCCAAUCCGAGCUAUGGAUCAUGAAGUGCUCGAAUUGCAGCAAGACCUCUCCUAUAAGGAGCAUCCGGUCCGCAUUCUCGACCAAGCUGAACGCCGCACACGUCAGAAGGCGAUCAAGUUUCUCAAAGUCCAGUGGUCGCACCAUUCUGAAGAUGAGGCCACUUGGGAACGAGAGGAUCGUCUGCGCGAAGAAUACCCCGCACUGUUUCCUUCUACCUCCUAAAUCUCGGGACGAGAUUUCUUGUAGUGGAGGAGAUUUGUAACACCCCGAGAAUCAUGCUACAGUAACUCUCUGUGAUUAAGCUAAUCAUGUUGCUAAACAGGGCUUGAUCACAUUGGAAUCACAUUUCUUUUCAAACUCCUAAUUCAAACUUCAAUUAAAUUUAAAGUGGAAAAUAAAAGUUUUCAAAAAUUUAAACAAAAAUNNNNNNNNNNNNNNNNNNNNNNNNNNNNNNNNNNNNNNNNNNNNNNNNNNNNNNNNNNNNNNNNNNNNNNNNNNNNNNNNNNNNNNNNNNNNNNNNNNNNNNNNNNNNNNNNNNNNNNNNNNNNNNNNNNNNNNNNNNNNNNNNNNNNNNNNNNNNNNNNNNNNNNNNNNNNNNNNNNNNNNNNNNNNNNNNNNNNNNNNNNNNNNNNNNNNNNNNNNNNNNNNNNNNNNNNNNNNNNNNNNNNNNNNNNNNNNNNNNNNNNNNNNNNNNNNNNNNNNNNNNNNNNNNNNNNNNNNNNNNNNNNNNNNNNNNNNNNNNNNNNNNNNNNNNNNNNNNNNNNNNNNNNNNNNNNNNNNNNNNNNNNNNNNNNNNNNNNNNNNNNNNNNNNNNNNNNNNNNNNNNNNNNNNNNNNNNNNNNNNNNNNNNNNNNNNNNNNNNNNNNNNNNNNNNNNNNNNNNNNNNNNNNNNNNNNNNNNNNNNNNNNNNNNNNNNNNNNNNNNNNNNNNNNNNNNNNNNNNNNNNNNNNNNNNNNNNNNNNNNNNNNNNNNNNNNNNNNNNNNNNNNNNNNNNNNNNNNNNNNNNNNNNNNNNNNNNNNNNNNNNNNNNNNNNNNNNNNNNNNNNNNNNNNNNNNNNNNNNNNNNNNNNNNNNNNNNNNNNNNNNNNNNNNNNNNNNNNNNNNNNNNNNNNNNNNNNNNNNNNNNNNNNNNNNNNNNNNNNNNNNNNNNNNNNNNNNNNNNNNNNNNNNNNNNNNNNNNNNNNNNNNNNNNNNNNNNNNNNNNNNNNNNNNNNNNNNNNNNNNNNNNNNNNNNNNNNNNNNNNNNNNNNNNNNNNNNNNNNNNNNNNNNNNNNNNNNNNNNNNNNNNNNNNNNNNNNNNNNNNNNNNNNNNNNNNNNNNNNNNNNNNNNNNNNNNNNNNNNNNNNNNNNNNNNNNNNNNNNNNNNNNNNNNNNNNNNNNNNNNNNNNNNNNNNNNNNNNNNNNNNNNNNNNNNNNNNNNNNNNNNNNNNNNNNNNNNNNNNNNNNNNNNNNNNNNNNNNNNNNNNNNNNNNNNNNNNNNNNNNNNNNNNNNNNNNNNNNNNNNNNNNNNNNNNNNNNNNNNNNNNNNNNNNNNNNNNNNNNNNNNNNNNNNNNNNNNNNNNNNNNNNNNNNNNNNNNNNNNNNNNNNNNNNNNNNNNNNNNNNNNNNNNNNNNNNNNNNNNNNNNNNNNNNNNNNNNNNNNNNNNNNNNNNNNNNNNNNNNNNNNNNNNNNNNNNNNNNNNNNNNNNNNNNNNNNNNNNNNNNNNNNNNNNNNNNNNNNNNNNNNNNNNNNNNNNNNNNNNNNNNNNNNNNNNNNNNNNNNNNNNNNNNNNNNNNNNNNNNNNNNNNNNNNNNNNNNNNNNNNNNNNNNNNNNNNNNNNNNNNNNNNNNNNNNNNNNNNNNNNNNNNNNNNNNNNNNNNNNNNNNNNNNNNNNNNNNNNNNNNNNNNNNNNNNNNNNNNNNNNNNNNNNNNNNNNNNNNNNNNNNNNNNNNNNNNNNNNNNNNNNNNNNNNNNNNNNNNNNNNNNNNNNNNNNNNNNNNNNNNNNNNNNNNNNNNNNNNNNNNNNNNNNNNNNNNNNNNNNNNNNNNNNNNNNNNNNNNNNNNNNNNNNNNNNNNNNNNNNNNNNNNNNNNNNNNNNNNNNNNNNNNNNNNNNNNNNNNNNNNNNNNNNNNNNNNNNNNNNNNNNNNNNNNNNNNNNNNNNNNNNNNNNNNNNNNNNNNNNNNNNNNNNNNNNNNNNNNNNNNNNNNNNNNNNNNNNNNNNNNNNNNNNNNNNNNNNNNNNNNNNNNNNNNNNNNNNNNNNNNNNNNNNNNNNNNNNNNNNNNNNNNNNNNNNNNNNNNNNNNNNNNNNNNNNNNNNNNNNNNNNNNNNNNNNNNNNNNNNNNNNNNNNNNNNNNNNNNNNNNNNNNNNNNNNNNNNNNNNNNNNNNNNNNNNNNNNNNNNNNNNNNNNNNNNNNNNNNNNNNNNNNNNNNNNNNNNNNNNNNNNNNNNNNNNNNNNNNNNNNNNNNNNNNNNNNNNNNNNNNNNNNNNNNNNNNNNUAAAAAUAAAAAUAAUUUUGAUUAAUUAAUUAAUUAACUAAAUUAAUUAAGUUAAUUAAUCCUGUUUAAUUUAAUUAAAUAAUAAUUACUUAAUUAAACACUAAUUAACCUAAACAGUGAAUGACAGGUGGGUCCCACUGGACCCACAUGUCAGUUGACUUAGUCAACCCCUGUUGACUGCUGAUGUCAGCAUGACAUCAUGCUGAUGUCAUAAAUCCGAAUUUCGAAUUAAAUUAUAUAAUUAAUUAAAUUCCAGAAAUUAAUAAAAUCUUUAGAAAAUCAUAUCUUUUAAUCCGUAACUCGGAUUAAAAUAUUUUCAACAUGAAAGUUGCUCAGAACGACGAGACGAAUCCGAAUACGCAGUCCGUUCGUCCACCACACCUCCCUAACCUAUCGAACUAGCAACGUUCCCCCUCCGGUCCGUCUGUCCGAAAAGCGAAACAUCGGGAAUACCUCCCGGAUGUUCCCCCCCCCUUCGCCGGUACCACCUACUGUCGCGUUAGGACACGCCUAGCACCGCUCAUUUUCAUGUCACGCAUCGUCAUGCUUAUGUUUGCAUUGUAUUUACUGUUUCUUCCCCCCUCUUCUCUCCGGUAGACUACGAGACCGACACUGCUGCUGUCCAGUUCGACUACGGAGUUGACGACCCCUCCUACUUGCCAGAGCAACCAGGCAAGCCCCCCCCCCCUUGAUCAUCAGAUAUCGCCUACUCUUCUCUAUUCUGCUUGCAUUAGAGUAGUGUAGCAUGUUACUGAUUUCCGAUAUCCUAUCCUGAUGCAUAGCCUAUCCUUGCUACUACUGUUGUUACCUUUACCUGCAAUCCUACAUGCUUAGUAUAGGAUGCUAGAUUUCCAUCAGUGGCCCUACAUUCUUGUCCGUCUGCUGUGCUAUACUAUCGGGCCGUGAUCACCUAGGCGGUGAUCACGGGUAUAUACUUAUAUACUUUAUACAUGACACAUGUGAUGACUAAAGUCGGGUCGGCUCGUAGGAGUACCCGCAAGUGGAUCUUUGUGGCGGAGCGACAGGGCAGGUUGAGACCACCCAGGUGAGAGGUGGGCCUGGCCCUGGUCGGCGUUCGCGGUUACUUAACACGCUUAACGAGAUAUUGGUAUUUGAUCUGAGUCUGGCCAUUUGGUCUAUACGCAAUAGCCAUCUACGCGGGAGUAGUUAUGGGUAUCCCGGCGUCGUGGUAUCAGCCGAAGCCUUCUUGACGUCAGCGACUGAGUGGCGCGCGCCGGAUUGGACUGGAACACCACUAGGCUAGGUCUGCUUCCGGCCGCGUACGCAACGUGCAGGUGCGCAUAGGGCGAUGGGCCCAGACCCCUGCGCGCUUAGGAUUAGACCGGCGUGCUGACCGCUCUGUUGUGCUUAGGUGGGGCUGCGACGCGUUGAUCUUACGAGGCCGGGCAUGACCCAGGAAAGUGUGUCCGGCCAAAUGGGAUCGAGCGUGUUGGGUUAUGUGGUGCACCCCUGCAGGGAAGUUUAUCUAUUCGAAUAGCCGUGUCCCUCGGUAAAAGGACGACCCGGAGUUGUACCUUGACCUUAUGACAACUAGAACUGGAUACUGAAUAAAAUACACCCUUCCAAGUGCCAGAUACAACCCGGUGAUCGCUCUCUAACAGGGCGACGAGGAGGGGAUCGCCGGGUAGGAUUAUGCUAUGCGAUGCUACUUGGAGGACUUCAAUCUACUCUCUUCUACAUGCUGCAAGAUGGAGAUGACCAGAAGCGUAGUCUUCGACAGGACUAGCUAUCCCCCUUUUAUUCUGGCAUUCUGCAGUUCAGUCCACUGAUAUGCCCCUUUACACAUAUACCCAUGCAUAUGUAGUAUAGCUCCUUGCUUGCGAGUACUUUGGAUGAGUACUCACGGUUGCUUCUCUCCCUCUUUUCCCCCUUUUCUUUUCUAUCUGGUUGUCACAACCAGAUGCUGGAGUCCAGGAGCCAGACGCCACCGUCGACGACGACACCUACGACACUGGAGGUGCCUACUACUACGUGCAGGCCGCUGACGACGACCAGGAGUAGUUAGGAGGAUCCCAGGCAGGCGCGCCUCGUUCGAUCUGUAUCCCAAUUUGUGCUAGCCUUCUUAAGGCAAACUUGUUUAACUUAUGUCUGUACUCAGAUAUUGUUGCUUCCGCUGACUCGUCUGUGAUCGAGCAAUUGUAUUCGAGCCCUCGAGGCCCCUGGCUUGUAUUAUGAUGCUUGUAUGACUUAUUUAUGUUGUAGAGUUGUGUUGUGAUAUCUUCCCGUGAGUCCCUUAUCUUGGUCGUACACAUUUGCGUGCAUGAUUAGUGUACGGUCAAAUCGGGGGCGUCACAACCGUCGGGCCGCCGUGCAGACACGACGGAGGCGGGUGACGUCGAUCGAUGGGCGGGCCGGCGCGCGAGCGACGGCUAUGAUUGGCCGUCGCAUGGCGCGAUGCCGCCGGGUCGGGGCGAUGCAGGUGUCCCGGUCGGAGCAGGGUGGUGACGGAUGGCGCAGGGCGACGGGCGGACCGACGCGCGGACGGCGGCUGGCCCGGACGGGCCGCCUCAGCGCGCGUGGCCGCCAGGUCGGAGGAGAGGCCGGCUGGUCGCGUCGGGGUCGGAGUAGAGGCGCACGGGGGUCGACGGUCGCGGUGGGCGACGCAAACCGAUCAAGAUUAGAUCGGAAAACCAAAAAGAAAAAUGCCGAUCAAAACGACCGGCGAGAGAGCGAAAAAACCCGGAGUAAGGGCUCAGGGAAAAGACUCUGUAGGGCAGCUGGCCAACACGGCUGGCGGACGAACCCUAGGUACGGGCGGCGCGGCCCCGGGCCCCGGGCGGCGGUCAUGGAGGCCGAUCGCCCCGGGGGCGGCGCGCGGGUGCGGAAGCGGCGGCUGCUAGGGUUUGGAUCGUGAUUAGGCUGAUAUCAUGUUAGAAGGGAGAGAGAGAUUUGAUGGAAUAGUCGUUGUAUUGCUUGAGCCUCGUGGGCAUAUAUAUAGGAGUACAUGAUCUACUUGGGAGUACAAGGCAAGCCAGAAUAUUCCUAGUCUAACCUAUAUUUCCUAAUACAAUCACGUUACUCAACAGGUGGUGUUGCCGUCGAGGGCGGCGAUGAGGAUGACGCUCCGCCCGCGGCCAGGAUGUCGCCUUCUCCCUCGGCUUCUUCUGCCGCCUGAUUCAUUCUCGACCGCCUUGUCUCCAAGGUUUGCGGGUACGCCACCCCUCCCCUGCUACCACCUCCUCCCUCCCUCCCUCCCUCCCUUCCUCCCUCGGCGCGUGCUGUUCCGAAUGGACUGACUGGCUGGACGAAUCGAUUCCUCUCGAUGCUCUGCCUUUGGGAAGCGGAUCCUCUAACAUCCUCAAGGGAUGUCACGAAGCUACAGUGAAAUGUGUGUGUAAAGCAAAGAAGGGAUGUCAGGGUUACUGUAGCAACUAAUGUGCGGAUUUACUGUAGCACGUAUAAAAAUAAAUCAAAAAAUAAUUUUAUUGCACCAUAAUUUUGUUUAUAUGUUAUUUUUUUUAAAUAUAUAAAGUAGAUUUGUAAUUUGCAAAUUAAUUAUAAUUAUUUUAGGCUUAACCAUAUGGGUGUAAAAAAUGAAUGUCACGGUUACUCUAGCUUAUGUGACAUCCCUUAAGGAUGUUAGAGGAUCCGGUUCCCUGCCUUUGCCCCUCGCCUUUUCCUCCCAGGGAGACGAUGUUUUGUUCCUUGUUGCGGUAGGGCAAUCUGUAGAUUUCCUUUUUGUCUUGCGCGUGUAGCAGUUUUUCAGAAAAGUGGAGUUGACUCGGCUGUAGCUUGCCUGGGUACCUACCAGAGAGAUAGAACAAUACUUGGUUGUGUAGAGCUCAUGUCGAAUUCAGAUUUUGUGUAAUCGUUCAGUUACUCAGGGCCGACCCAGAAAUUGCUUACAGCAACUUAAUCUUUCAAAUUGAUACUGUAUGCUAUAAGCUGUGCCUGCUUGGUAAAAGUCACAUCUGUGUCGUCUUGUAUGGUAGACUCAGAGUUGGUGCUUGCUUGGCCUGCUGCUUUGUGAAAGUCACCUCUGCGUCUUGUAUGGUCGACUCGGAGUUGCUGCUUGCUUGGUAGUAACUAUUUGGUCUUGUGACACUCGAAGUUCUGCUCGAGAAACAUGUUUAAUCGAGUAUUUUAAGAAAAAAUUCCUGCAACAUAGGAUGUUACUAUUACCCUGUUACCAUUUUACAGUUCUAUUUUCUGCCCUGUCGAUUUUUACCAUAUCAUUUCUGCUGCACUCAGGUUAGUCGGCGUCGUGCCCGUCAAGCCCGCCGCUGGGUACGGGGACGAGGAGGAAGAGGAGGCGAGAGAUUUGUUCGGCUCCAACAACCAGGAGUACGUCAAGACCCGCGUAGCAACUACCUAAUUCCAGGUCCGCCUCUCGCUACUGAAUUAGCCGCUAGAUUCUCCGGGGCCAAGUUAUCUCCUCAAUAUUUGGUGAGCAAAAUUUCUUAGGAGAUUGCUACAUAAUCCUACCCAGUUUGUGCUGAAAUUUGAUAUGGGCUCUAGGCCCAUGUAGCAAUUUCUGAAAAAUCUCUAAGGGCCCAUGUGGGUUAUAUGGCACUAGGUGUAGUGGAAGUUUAGUCCCACCCCGGAAGUGGAAGAGGAGUUGGACCUCCUUAUAAGGGUUUCUCUUCUACAUGCUAUUGGAGCUUGAGAAGAGAAGAGGUCCUCGUGCACUCCUCCUCCGCCGCCCGCCUCGUCGCGGGUUGCGGGAUUGACGUACUCCUCGUUGUUAACAUAUACCCAGUUGUGGCCUGUUGUGGCUUUAUUCCUUCUGUGCGGAACACGGCAUUAUUCAUGAGAGGACGCCUCCCUAUGAGAAAUGGGCAAAGAGGAGGACAACACUCUCGUACUUGCGCACUUGGGGCUGUCUGGCGAAAGUCAAUGUGCCGAUCCCCAAAAAGGACUGCGUUAAUUUGGGCUACGCUAAGAACAACGUUGGCUAUAGAUUUCUAGUAGUGAAAUCUGAGGUACCUGACCAGAAGGUCGGUACAAUUAUGGAGUCUAAGGAUGCUACAUUCUUCGAGGAUACUUUUCCUAUGAGAGAUAUGCAAAGCACUCCUAGACAGGAAUCUGAGGAGACUCCUGAACCUGCCAUCCCUACCCUUGGUAGGGACAAGAGACAAAGGACUGUAAAGACCUUUGGUGAUGAUUUCUUCGUGUACCUCGUGGAUGAUACUCCCACUUCUAUUUCAGAAUCGUAUGCCUCUUCAGAAGCUGACAACUGGAAGGAUGUGGUCCGUAAUGAGAUGGAUUCCAUCAUGGCUAACGGGACAUGGGAGAUCACUGAACGUCCCUAUGGUUGCAAACCAUUAGGAUGUAAGUGGGUGUUCAAGAAGAAGCUUAGGCCCGAUGGUACGAUUGAAAAGUACAAGGCUAGGCUUGUGGCCAAGGGCUAUGACCAGAAAGAAGAGGAAGAUUUCUUCGACACUUAUUCACCUAUAGCUAGACUGACCACCAUUCGAGUAUUACUCUCGUUGGCAGCCUCGCAUGGUCUUCUCGUCCACCAGAUGGAUGUUAAGACGGCUUUUCUGAUUGGAGAGCUAAACGAGGAAAUCUACAUGCAACAGCCAGAUGGCUUUGUGAUAGAUGGUCAGGAAAGAAAGGUGUGUAGGUUGCUGAAAUCUUUAUAUGGCUUGAAGCAAGCACCUAAGCAAUGGCAUGAUAAGUUUAAUACAACUCUGACAUCUGUUGGUUUUGUUGUUAAUGAGGCUGACAAAUGUGUAUACUAUCGCCAUGGUGGGGGCGAAGGAGUUAUACUGUGCUUGUAUGUUGAUGACAUACUUGUUGGAAAUAUGCCCUAGAGGCAAUAAUAAAUAGGUUAUUAUUAUAUUUCCUUGUUCAUGAUAAUCGUUUAUUAUCCAUGCUAGAAUUGUAUUGAUAGGAAACUCAGAUACAUGUGUGGAUACAUAGACAACACCAUGUCCCUAGUAAGCCUCUAGUUGACUAGCUCAUUGAUCAAUAGAUGGUUACGGUUUCCUGACCAUGGACAUUGGAUGUCGUUGAUAACGGGAUCACAUCAUUAGGAGAAUGAUGUGAUGGACAAGACCCAAUCCUAAGCCUAGCACAAGAUCGUGUAGUUCGUUUGCUCAGAGCUUUUCUAAUGUCAAGUAUCACUUCCUUAGACCAUGAGAUUGUGCAACUCCCGGAUACCGUAGGAAUGCUUUGGGUGUGCCAAACGUCACAACGUAACUGGGUGGCUAUAAAGGUGCACUACGGGUAUCUCCGAAAGUGUCUGUUGGGUUGGCACGAAUCGAGACUGGGAUUUGUCACUCCGUGUAAACGGAGAGGUAUCUCUGGGCCCACUCGGUAGGACAUCAUCAUAAUGUGCACAGUGUGACCAAGGAGUUGAUCACGGGAUGAUGUGAGUUACGGAACGAGUAAAGAGACUUGCCGGUAACGAGAUUGAACAAGGUAUAGGGAUACCGACGAUCGAAUCUCGGGCAAGUAACAUAUCGAUGGACAAAGGGAAUUGCAUACGGGAUUGAUUGAAUCCCCGACAUCGUGGUUCAUCCGAUGAGAUCAUCGUGAAACAUGUGGGAGCCAACAUGGGUAUCCAGAUCCCGCUGUUGGUUAUUGACCGGAGAACGUCUCGGUCAUGUCUGCAUGGUUCCCGAACCCGUAGGGUCUACACGCUUAAGGUUCGAUGACGCUAGGGUUAUAGGGAAAGUAUGUACGUGGUUACCGAAUGUUGUUCAGAGUCCCGGAUGAGAUCUCGGACGUCACGAGGAGUUCCGGAAUGGUCCGGAGGUAAAGAUUUGUAUAUGGAAAGUUGUUGUUCGGGUUCCGGGAAAAGUUCGGGUUUUUUCGGUAUUGUACCGGGAAGCUUCCAGAAGAUUCCGGAGGAUUCCGGAGGGGUCCGGAGGUCCGGAAAAUGUUCCACCACGUCCAAUACAGUAGCAUGGGCUGUAAGGGGGCGCCCUAGCCUUAAUGGGCCAGGGGCACCAGCCCCCCCAAGGCCCAUGCGCAUGGGAGAGGGGAAACCCUAAGGGGGAGGGCCUCCACUUGACUUGGGAGGCACUCCUCCCCCCUUUGGCCGCCCCCAAGCCCCAUCUAGGGCUGGCCGCACCCCUUGAGGGGGGAAACCCUAGAUGGGGGCGCAGCCCUCCCCCUCCCCUAUAUAUAUUGAGGUUUUGGGGCUGCCAUAGACAUGAGAACGUCUCCUUUUUGGCGCAGCCCUACCCCUCUUCCUCCUCCUCCUCUCCCGCGGUGCUUGGCGAAGCCCUGCGGGAUUGCCACGCUCCUCCACCACCACCAUGCCGUCGUGUUGCUGCUGGAUGGAGUCUUCCCAACCUCUCCCUCUCUCCUUGCUAGAUCAAGGCGUGGGAGACGUCACCGGGCUGCACGUGUGUUGAACGCGGAGGCACCGUUCUUUCGGUGCUUAGAUCGGAAUCAACCGCGAUCUGAAUCGCUACGAGUACGACUCCCUCAUCCGCGUUCUUGCAACGCUUCCGCAUCGCGAUCUACAAGGGUAUGUAGAUUCACUCCCCUUCCCCUCGUUGCUAGAUUACUCCAUAGAUUGAUCUUGGUGAUGCGUAGAAAAUUUUGAAUUUCUGCUACGUUCCCCAACAGUGGCAUCAUGAGCUAGGUCUAUGCGUAGUUUCUAUGCACGAGUAGAACACAAAGUAGUUGUGGGCGUCGAUGUUGUCAAUUCUUCUUGCCGCUACUAGUCUUAUCUUGUUUCGGCGGCAUUGUGGGAUGAAGCGGCCCGGACCGACCUUACACGUACACUUACGUGAGACAGGUUCCACCGACUGACAUGCACUAGUUGCAUAAGGUGGCUAGCGGGUGUCUGUCUCUCGCACUUUAGUCGGAACGGAUUCGAUGAAAAGGGUCCUUAUGAAGGGUAAAUAUAAAUUGGCAUAUCACGUUGUGGUUUUACGUAGGUAAGAAACGUUCUUGCUAGAAACCUAUACAAGCCACGUAAAAACUUGCAACAACAAUUAGAGGACGUCUAACUUGUUUUUGCAGCAUGUGCUAUGUGAUGUGAUAUGGCCAGAAGAUAUGAUGAAUGAUAUAUGUGAUGUAUGAGAUUGAUCAUAUUCUUGUAAUAGGGAUCACGACUUGCAUGUCGAUGAGUAUGACAACCGGCAGGAGCCAUAGGAGUUGUCUUUAUUUUUUGUAUGACCUGCGUGUCAUUGAAUAACGCCAUGUAAAUUACUUUACUUUAUUGCUAAGCGCGUUAGCCAUAGAAGUAGAAGUAACCGUUGGCGUGACAACUUCAAGAAGACACAAUGAUGGAGAUCAUGAUGAUGGAGAUCAUGGUGUCAUGCCGGUGACAAAGAUGAUCAUGGUGCCCCGAAGAUGGAGAUCAAAGGAGCAAAAUGAUAUUGGCCAUAUCAUGUCACUAUUUGAUUGCAUGUGAUGUUUAUCAUGUUAUGCAUCUUAUUUGCUUAGAACGACGGUAGUAAGUAAGAUGAUCCCUCACUAAAAAUUUCAAGAGACGUGUUCCCCCUAACUGUGCACCGUUGCGAAGGUUCGUUGUUUCGAAGCACCACGUGAUGAUCGGGUGUGAUAGAUUCUAACGUUCGAAUACAACGGGUGUUGACGAGCCUAGCAUGUACAGACAUGGCCUCGGAACACAUGCAAAACACUUAGGUUGACUUGACGAGCCUAGCAUGUACAGACAUGGCCUCGGAACACAAGAGACCGAAAGGUCGAACAUGAGUCGUAUAGGAGAUACGAUCAACAUGGAGAUGUUCACCGAUGAUGACUAGUCCGUCUCACGUGAUGAUCGAACACGGCCUAGUUUGACUCGGAUCAUGAAUCACUUAGAUGACUAGAGGGAUGUCUAUCUGAGUGGGAGUUCAUUAAUCAGAUGAACUCAAUUAUCAUGAUCAUAGUCAAAAGGUCUUUACAAAUUAUGUCAUUGCGCUUUAGUUCUACUGGUUAAGAUAUGUUCCUAGAGAAAAUUUAGUUGAAAGUUGCUAGUAGCAAUUAUGCGGACUGGGUCCGUAAACUGAGGAUUGUCCUCAUUACUGCACAGAAGGCUUAUGUCCUUAAUGCACCGCUCGGUGUGCUGAACCUCAGCGUCGUGUGUAGAUGUUACAAAACAUCUGACAUACACGUUUUGAUAACUACGUGAUAGUUCGGUGCGGUUUAGAAUUGUGGCACCAAAGACGUUCUUGAAACGUCGCAGAACAUGUGAGAUGUUCCGAAGACUGGAAUUGGGAUUUCAGACUAGUGCCCACGUCAAGAGGUAUGAGACCUCUGACAAGUUUCUUAAGCCUGCAAACUAAGGGAGAAAAGCUCAAUCGUUGAGCAUGUGCUCAGAUUGUCUGAGUGCCACAAUCGCUUGAAUCGAGUGGGAGUUAAUCUCCCAGAUGAGAUAGUGAUAGUUCCCCAUAGUCAUUGCCACCAAGCUAGUAGAGCUUCGUGAUGAACUAUAACAUAUCAAGGAUAGUUAUGAUGAUCCUUGAGCUAUUCGCGAUGUUUGACACCGCGAGAGUAGAAAUCAAGAAGGAGCAUCAAUUAUUGAUGGUUAGUAAAACCACUAGUUUAAGAAGGGCAAGGGCAAAAGGGAUACUUCAUGAAACAGCAAGUCGUUUGCUGCUCUAGUGAACAAUCCCAAGGUUGAACCCAAACCCGAGACUAAGUGCUUCUGUAACGAGAGGAACGGUCACUGAAGCAGUACUACCCUAGAUACUUGGUAGAUGAGAAGGCAGGCAAGGUCGACAGAAGUAUAUUGGAUAUACGUUAUAUGAAUGUGUACCUCACUAGUACUCCUAGUAGCACCAGGGUAUUAGAUACCGGUUCGGUUGCUCGAAAUAAAAGCUGCGGAAUAAAUGGAGACUAGCUAAAGGUGAGAUGACGAUAUGUAUUGGAAGUGUUUCCAAGGUUGAUGUGAUCAAGCAUCGCAUGCUCCCUCUACCAUCGAGAUUUGGUGUUUGCAUUGAGCAUGAUUGGAUUAUGUUUAUCGCAAUACGGUUAUUCAUUUAAGGAGAAUAAUGGUUACUCUGCUUAUUUGAAUAAUACUUUCAAUGGUCUUGCACCUAAAAUGAAUCUCGAUUGUAGUGAUACACAUGUUCGUGCCAAAAGAUGUAAAAUAGUAAUGAUAGUUCCAGAUACUUGUGGCACUGCAAUUUGAGUCAUAUUGGUAUAGAACGCAUGAAGAAGCUCCAUGUAGAUGGAUCUUUGGACUCAAUCGUUUUUGAAAAGAUUGAGACAUGCGAACCAUGUCUAUUGGUAUAUAUGCAUGAAGAAACUCCAUGCAGAUAGAUCGUUUGGACUCACUUGAUUUCGAAUCACUUGAGACAUGCAAAUCAUACCACAUAGGCGAGAUGACUGAAAGUCCUCGUUUUUCAGUAAGAUGGAACAAGAGAGCAACUUAUUGGAAGUAAUACAUUUUGAUGUAUGCAGUCCAAUGAGUGCUGAGGCAUGCAGUGGAUAUCAUUAUGUUCUUACUUCACAGAUGAUUUGAGUAGAUGCUGAGAAUAUUUACUUGAUGAAACACAAGUCUGAAUUAUUGAAAGGUUCAAGUAAUUUCAGAGUGAAGUUGAAGAUUGUCGUGACAAGAGGAUAAAAUGUCUAUGAUAUGAUCAUAGAGAUAUCUGAGUUACGAGUUUGGCACACAAUUAAGACAUUGUGGAAAGUGUUUCACAAUUAAUACCGCCUGGAACACCAUAGUGUGAUGGUGUGUCCGAACAUCAUAACUGCACCCUAUUGGAUAUGGUGCAUACCAUGAUGUUUCUUAUCAAAUUACCACUAUCGUUUAUGGGUUAGGCAUUAGAGACAACCGCAUUCACUUUAAAAGGGGCACCACGCAAUUCCGUUGAGACGACACCGUUUAGAGAAACCUAAGUUGUCGUUUUCUUAAAAGUUUGGGGCUGCGAUGCUUAUGUGAAAAAGUUUCAAGCUGAUAAGCUCGAACCCAAAGCGGAUAAAUGCAUCUUCAUAGAAUACCUGAAACAGUUGGGUAUACCUCCUAUUUCAGAUCUGGAAGCAAAAGUAAUUGCUUCUAGAAACUGGUCCUUUCUCGAGGAAAAGUUUCUCUCGAAAGAAUUGAGUGGGAGGAUGGUGGAGACUUGAUGAGGUUAUUGAACCGUCACUUCAACUAGUGUGUAGCAGGGCACAGGAAGUUGUUCCUGUGGCACCUACACCAGUUGAAGUGGAAGCUUAUGAUAGUGAUCAUGAAACUUCGGAUCAAGUCACUACCAAACCUCGUAGGACGACGAGGAUGCGUGCUACUUCAGAGUGGUACGUGAUCCUGUCUUGAAAGUCAUGUUGUUAGACAACAAUGAACCUACGAGCUAUGGAGAAGCGAUGGUGGGCCCAUAUUCCGACAAAUGGUUAGAAGCCAUGAAAUCCGAGAUAAAUGGAGAAGAAGACGGACGUGGACGGUAAUGUUACCGUCUAUGAAGCUCGACUUGUGGCAAAGAGUAUUUUCACAAGUUCAAGGAGUUGACUACGAUGAGAUUUUCUCAUCCGUAGCGAUGCUUAAGUCCGUCGGAAUCAUGUUAGCAUUAGCUGCAUUUAUAAAAUCUGGCAGAUGGAUGUCAAAACAAGUUUCCUUACCAGUUUUCGUAAGGAAAGGUUGUAUGUGAUACAAUCAGAAAGGUUUUGUCGAUCCUAAGGAUGCUAAAAGGUAUGCUAGCUCCAGCGAUCCUUCCAUGGACUAGAGCAAGCAUCUCGGAGUCAGAAUAUACGCUUUGAUGGAGUGAUCAAAGUUUUUGGGUUUAUACAAAGUUUGUUAGAAACUUGUAUUUACAAUAAAGUGUGUGGGAGCGCUACAACAUUUCUGAUAAGUAUAUGUGAAUGACAUAUUGUUGAUCCGAAAUGAUGUAAAAUUUCUGGAAAGCAUAAAGGGUUGUUUGAAAGGAGUUUUUCAAAGGAAGACCUGGAUAAAAGCUGCUUACAUAUUGGGCAUGAAGAUCUAUAGAGAUAGACGCCCGAUGAUACUUUCAAAAGAACGCACACCUUGACAUGAUUUUGAAAGAGUUCAAAAUAGAUCAGCAAAGAAGGAGUUCUUGGCUGUGUUACAAGGUGUGAGUAUUGAGUGAGACUCAAGACCGGACCACAGCAGAAGAUAGAGAAAGGACGAAGGUCGUCCCCUAUGCUUUAGACGUAGGCUCUAUAGUAUGCUAUGCUGUGUACCGCACAUGUAGUGUGCCUUGCCAUGAGUUGGUCAAGAGGGUACAAUGGUGAUCCGGGAAAGGAUCUCAUGACAGCGGUCGAACUUAUCCUUAGUACCUAGUGGAUUAAGGAAUUUUCUCGAUUAUGGAGGUGGAAAGGAGUUCGUCGUAAAGGGUUACGUCGAUGCGAACUUUGACACUAAUCUGGAUGACUCUGAGUAGUAAAUCGGAUUCGUAUAGUAGAGCAAUUAUUUGAAAUGGCUCCAAAUAGCGCGUGGUAGCAUCCACAAAGAUGACAUAGAUAUUCGUAAAGCACACACGAAUCUGAAAGGUUCAGACCCGUUGACUAAUAACCUCUCUCACAAGCAUAACAUGAUCAAACCAGAACUCAUUGAGUGUUAAUCACAUAGAGAUGUGAACUAGAUUGUUGACUCUAGUAAACUCUUGGGUGUUGGUCACAUGGUGAUGUGACCUGUCAGUGUUAAUCACAUGGUGAUGUGAACUAGAUUAUUGACUCUAGUGCAAGUGGGAGACUGUUGGAAAUAUGCCCUAGAGGCAAUAAUAAAUAGAUUAUUAUUAUAUUUCCUUGUUCAUGAUAAUCGUUUAUUAUCCAUGCUAGAAUUGUAUUGAUAGGAAACUCAGAUACAUGUGUGGAUACAUAGACAACACCAUGUCCCUAGUAAGCCUCUAGUUGACUAGCUCGUUGAUCAAAAGAUGGUUACGGUUUCCUGACCAUGGACAUUGGAUGUCGUUGAUAACGGGAUCACAUCAUUAGGAGAAUGAUGUGAUGGACAAGACCCAAUCCUAAGCCUAGCACAAGAUCGUGUAGUUCGUUUGCUCAGAGCUUUUCUAAUGUCAAGUAUCACUUCCUUAGACCAUGAGAUUGUGCAACUCCCGGAUACCGUAGGAAUGCUUUGGGUGUGCCAAACGUCACAACGUAACUGGGUGGCUAUAAAGGUGCACUACGGGUAUCUCCGAAAGUGUCUGUUGGGUUGGCACGAAUCGAGACUGGGAUUUGUCACUCCGUGUAAACGGAGAGGUAUCUCUGGGCCCACUCGGUAGGACAUCAUCAUAAUGUGCACAGUGUGACCAAGGAGUUGAUCACGGGAUGAUGUGAGUUACGGAACGAGUAAAGAGACUUGCCGGUAACGAGAUUGAACAAGGUAUAGGGAUACCGACGAUCGAAUCUCGGGCAAGUAACAUAUCGAUGGACAAAGGGAAUUGCAUACGGGAUUGAUUGAAUCCCCGACAUCGUGGUUCAUCCGAUGAGAUCAUCGUGGAACAUGUGGGAGCCAACAUGGGUAUCCAGAUCCCGCUGUUGGUUAUUGACCGGAGAACGUCUCGGUCAUGUCUGCAUGGUUCCCGAACCCGUAGGGUCUACACGCUUAAGGUUCGAUGACGCUAGGGUUAUAGGGAAAGUAUGUACGUGGUUACCGAAUGUUGUUCAGAGUCCCGGAUGAGAUCUCGGACGUCACGAGGAGUUCCGGAAUGGUCCGGAGGUAAAGAUUUGUAUAUGGAAAGUUGUUGUUCGGGUUCCGGGAAAAGUUCGGGUUUUUUCGGUAUUGUACCGGGAAGCUUCCAGAAGAUUCCGGAGGAUUCCGGAGGGGUCCGGAGGUCCGGAAAAUGUUCCACCACGUCCAAUACAGUAGCAUGGGCUGUAAGGGGGCGCCCUAGCCUUAAUGGGCCAGGGGCACCAGCCCCCCCAAGGCCCAUGCGCAUGGGAGAGGGGAAACCCUAAGGGGGAGGGCCUCCACUUGACUUGGGAGGCACUCCUCCCCCCUUUGGCCGCCCCCAAGCCCCAUCUAGGGCUGGCCGCACCCCUUGAGGGGGGAAACCCUAGAUGGGGGCGCAGCCCUCCCCCUCCCCUAUAUAUAUUGAGGUUUUGGGGCUGCCAUAGACAUGAGAACGUCUCCUUUUUGGCGUAGCCCUACCCCUCUUCCUCCUCCUCCUCUCCCGCGGUGCUUGGCGAAGCCCUGCGGGAUUGCCACGCUCCUCCACCACCACCAUGCCGUCGUGUUGCUGCUGGAUGGAGUCUUCCCAACCUCUCCCUCUCUCCUUGCUGGAUCAAGGCGUGGGAGACGUCACCGGGCUGCACGUGUGUUGAACGCGGAGGCACCGUUCUUUCGGUGCUUAGAUCGGAAUCAACCGCGAUCUGAAUCGCUACGAGUACGACUCCCUCAUCCGCGUUCUUGCAACGCUUCCGCAUCGCGAUCUACAAGGGUAUGUAGAUUCACUCCCCUUCCCCUCGUUGCUAGAUUACUCCAUAGAUUGAUCUUGGUGAUGCGUAGAAAAUUUUGAAUUUCUGCUACGUUCCCCAACAAUACUGAUAUUCGGAACCAACCUCAAAGUCAUUGACGAGGUCAAGUCGUUUUUGUCUCAGAACUUUGAGAUGAAAGACCUUGGUGUGGCUGAUGUUAUCUUGAACAUCAAGCUACUGAGAGAUAAUGAGGGUGGGAUUACACUUCUGCAAUCCCACUAUGUUGAGAAGGUGUUGAGUCGUUUUGGAUAUUCGGAUUGCACACCAUCUCAAACACCAUAUGAUCCUAGCGUGUUGAUUCGAAAGUCCAAAGGCACGGCUAUAGAUCAGUUGAGAUACUCUCAAAUCAUUGGUUCACUGAUGUACCUAGCAAGCGCAACGAGGCCCGACAUCGCGUUUGCUGUGAGCAAACUGAGCCGGUUUGUUUCCAAACCGGGUGAUGUACAUUGGCAUGCUGUUGAACGAGUUAUGCGCUAUCUGAAAGGUACUAUGAACUAUGGACUUCACUAUAUCGGAGACCCGUCGGUACUUGAAGGGUAUAGUGAUGCAAAUUGGAUCUCUGAUGCUGAUGAGAUGAAGGCCACAACUGGGUAUAUGUUUACUCUUGGAGGUGGCGCUGUUUCCUGGAAGUCUUGCAAGCAAACGAUCUUAACGAGAUCGACAAUGGAAGCAGAAUUAACGGCAUUAGACACAUCUGGUGUUGAAGCGAGAUGGCUUCGAGAUCUUUUGAUGGACUUGCCAUUGGUUGAUAAACCGGUUCCGGCUAUCCUUAUGAACUGUGACAAUCAGACUGUCAUCACCAAGGUGAAGAGUUCAAAGGACAACAUGAAGUCCACCAAACACAUAAGAAUGAGAUUAAAAGCUGUCAGAAAAUUAAGAAACUCCGGAGUGAUAGCGUUGGACUAUGUUCAUACGGCUAAGAAUCUGGCAGAUCCCUUUACGAAAGGGCUAUCACGUGUUGUGAUAGAUAAUGCAUCGAGGGAGAUGGGUAUGAGACCCACAUGAGUUGCCAUGGUAGUAACCCAACCUAUGUGAUCGGAGAUCCCGUGAAUUAGGACCUGGGAAAACAAGCCAGUGGUGAACUGAGGAGAGUAACUAUACUAACCCACUCCGUUGGAGAUGCAAUACUCUCGAUACUGUAUGGUAGGAUGACUACUGUCUUAAUGUGUUCCGAAGCUUAUAUAAGCAAGAUGCUAUCGUACAGAGUGAUCUUUGGAGGAACACACCUAUAUGAGUCCGACUGCUGGUCACAGUCUAUGAGAUUGGUGUUGGGGAACGUAGUAAUUUCAAAAAAAUUCCUACGCACACGCAAGAUCAUGGUGAUGCAUAGCAACGAGAGGGGAGAGUGUUGUCCACGUACCCUCGUAGACCGACAGCGGAAGCGUUAUCACAACGCGGUUGAUGUAGUCGUACGUCUUCACGAUCCGACCGAUCAAGUACCGAACGUACGGCACCUCCGAGUUCUACACACGUUCAGCUCGAUGACGUCCCUCGAACUCCGAUCCAGCCGAGUGUUGAGGGAGAGUUUCAUCAGCACGACGGCGUGGUGAUGAUGAUGAUGUUCCACCGACGCAGGGCUUCGCCUAAGCUCCGCAACGGUAUUAUCGAGGUGUAAUAUGGUGAAGGGGGGCACCGCACACGGCUAAGAGAUCUCAAGGAUCAAUUGCUGUGUCUCUGGCUUGCCCCCCUGCCCCCGUAUAUAAAGGAGCAAGGGGGAGGCAGCCGGCCAAGGGGAGAGGCGCGCCAUAGGGGGGGAGUCCUACUCCCACCGGGAGUAGGACUCCUCCUUUCCUUGUGGGAGUAGGAGAAGGGAAGGGGGAAGGAGAAAGAAGGAAGGGUGCGCCCCACUUCCCUAGUCCAAUUCGGACCAGACCAUGAGGAGGGGUGCGGCCACCUUUUGAGGCCUUUCUCUCCUUUCCCGUAUGGCCCAUCAAGGUCCAAUACGAAUUCCCGUAACUCUCCGGUACUCCAAAAAAUACCCGAAUCACUCGGAACCUUUCCGAAGUCCGAAUAUAGUCGUUCAAUAUAUCGAUUUUUACAUCUCGACCAUUUCAAGACUCCUCGUCAUAUCCCCGAUCUCAUCCGGGACUCCGAACUCCUUCGGUACAUCAAAACUCAAUAAAACUGUCAUCGUAACGUUAAGCGUGCGGACCCUACGGGUUCGAGAACUACGUAGACAUGACCGAGACACGUCUCCAGUCAAUAACCAAUAGCGGGACCUGGAUGCCCAUAUUGGCUCCCACAUAUUCUACGAAGAUCUUUAUCGGUCAGACCGCAUAACAGCAUACGUUGUUCCCUUUGUCACCGGUAUGUUACUUGCCCGAGAUUUGAUCGUCGGUAUCUCGAUACCUAGUUCAAUCUCGUUACCGGCAAGUCUCUUUACUCGUUCCGUAACACAUCAUCCCGCAACUAACUCAUUAGUCACAAUGCUUGCAAGGCUUAUAGUGAUGUGCAUUACCGAGUGGCCCAGAGAUACCUCUCCGACAAUUGGAGUGACAAAUCCUAAUCUCGAAAUACGCCAACCCAACAAGUACCUUUGGAGACACCUAUAGAGCACCUUUGUAAUCACCCAUUUACGUUGUGACGUUUGGUAGCACACAAAGUGUUCCUCCGGUAAACGGGAGUUGCAUAAUCUCAUAGUCAUAGGAACAUGUAUAAGUCAUGAAGAAAGCAAUAGCAACAUACUAAACGAUCGAGUGCUAAGCUAACGGAAUGGGUCAAGUCAAUCACGUCAUUCUCCUAAUUAGGUGAUCUCGUUAAUCAAAUGACAACUUAUGUCUAUGGCUAGGAAACAUAACCAUCUUUGAUCAACGAGCUAGUCAAGUAGAGGCAUACUAGUGACACUCUGUUUGUCUAUGUAUUCACACAUGUAUCAAGUUUCCGGUUAAUACAAUUCUAGCAUGAAUAAUAAACAUUUAUCAUGAUAUAAGGAAAUAAAUAAUAACUUUAUUAUUGCCUCUAGGGCAUAUUUCCUUCAAUUGGGGUGAUCUCUAGUAAGCUCAUGAAUAGGCCAGGAGUGUGACUUAUAUGCUCCACCCGAGGGGUCAGCUUUCGGCAGCCCAGUACUAGUGAGACAUGUGGUGAAACUUCUUUACGCCAAACUGACAAUUCAAGGCAUAGUCCAUUGUUCAGUUGUGAAGGAGUGUAGCUACUUGCUCUAGGUGAAGCUCAACCUUAACAGGUCUUCACUGAAACACUGGUAUAUCGAAACAGUAAUUGGAACAGAGGACACAAUGGGCCCUCGAGAUCUGGUGGGGGAUUGCUGAAAUUUGAGAUGGGCUCUAGGCCCAUGUAGCAAUUUCUGAAAAAUCUCUAAGGGCCCAUGUGGGUUAUAUGGCACUAGGUGUAGUGGAAGUUUAGUCCCACCCCGGAAGUGGAAGAGGAGUUGGACCUCCUUAUAAGGAUUUCUCUUCUACAUGCUAUUGGAGCUUGAGAAGAGAAGAGGCCCUCGCGCACUCCUCCUCCGCCGCCCGCCUCGCCUCGUCACGACGCGACGCGACGCGGGAUUGAGCCGAGCCCAGCUCACACCUACGCGCUUAUUUUUGCCAGUCACUAACGGGCUGUCACGGACUCGGACGUCGGAUCGUGGGCUGUCACGGACUCGGACGUGGGUCGAGCCCACGUCUCUCCACGCGGCUGCGCCUAUAUAAGUGUGCGGUGUCUCCUAACCCUAGCCGCCACAAACAGAUCACAUCUGCUCCACGCGCACGCCCACCGUCGUUCCCUUGCUGUUGCUGCCGCCGGUGACUCCAUCCCGUUCGCCGCGUACACGGUCGACGGGAGAGCAGGUCUCCAAAACCACGCCCUUCUUGUUCCUGUAUGGGGUGAGGGGCGAAUAGGUUUUUGGGCAGCGAUUACGCGACUGCUCACUUCCGAUCGUCUACUUCCUCUACGUCUGCGUCGCCUUCAUCAUCACCAUGUCCACCGACGCCGAACGUGCCGCCGCCGAGAAAGCUGAAGCUGACAAGAAGGCCGCCGAGGACGCUGCUGCUGCCACCAAAGCCGCGGCCUCUGCAUGGCCUACUGGAGGGUAUAACUCGUUUAUCCCGCUCCUACUGUUUUCUGUUUUAGCCAUGCUAGCGUUAUACGUAGAUCUUUCUGCAAUUAGCGUAGUAUGUGCUAGUUUGACUGAAUAUCAGUAUGCGAUUAUAUGUGUCAAUGCCAUGCUAGUGAUUUACUCGUGGAUUAAUUUAAUCGAGAAAUUGCCUAUUUACUCAACAGUUUGUGUGUGAUUGGCUGGUUUUGUUGCUCGUGGGACUCUGGGAGCUGCAGUGAACGUUUUGUCUGUGGCAGAAUUAACCUUCUCGCUUGAGUACACGAUGAACUCUUUAUGCUGCAGACUUGUGUUUGAAUCAUUGUUCCAAAUUUCAGCAGUGUAUGUCAGGCUAAGUAGAGCAUAAUGUUGGAUUAAAUUCUCUGCUAGCAUCUUCUGGUUCUUGCUUGAUUUUCUAGAGUCAGAGAGACUUUGUUACAAAAGCAUUAAGCAGAACUACUGAAGAGAGUAGAAGAACGAACCAUGAAACCAUAUAUAUAAUUGGGUCGUAUUUGCCUCAAUGGGUCU